rnacentral:lncRNA from 1 species
UUUUUUUUUUUUUUUUUAGUGUAAGCAGGAGUACUCGAUUCCGAGACCUCUUACUUACACUCUCUCCUCCCCGUACUAUCCAACCCAUCCCUCCCCCGGUUAUGGAACUUGAAUUAAUGAGAAUUCAGACAGUUGUUUUGGCUCUUUAGAUAAAUUAACGAUGACUAAGAAAUUCGGGUUGUGAAUAUCAAAAGCGGAUUAGGUUCCUCAGAAGUGGAUCCUGUCCUACAAAUGAAUUUAGUAUCCAAAACCAUGGACAAUUGUAGUAUUCUGAAGACCAACCAAUGAGUUUUUUACAAAAUGCAGUAUCCAAAACAAUCCCCCAACGUAUAUGAGGAAUUUUACAAGAUUUUUUUUUGUGCUUCUAGAAUCUUCAGUAAAAAAAAAAUAUUAUGGGACAAGGUGCGAGGAAAAGAGAAUGAAUUUUACUUGGAAGAAAUAGGACCUAAUGGCAUCAGUUUACAUGCAAAAAAAAAAAAAAAAGAAGCAAGAAAAUGCAGAAAUAAACAAACGAGAAGGCAUCAUGAACCUACAAAAGUUACUCUUGAUCCAUAUUACAAAUAAAAAAAAAAAAUUUUAAUGUGCCUAUACAUUAGAAAACCAAAGUUAACACAGAUUAGCUUUGCAACUUGUUAGUCAUAUGCAUUUAUACCAAUCACAAACACCUGUGUGACUAAAUAUACUAACUUUUUUUUCCCACUAAAAUACAAAUAUUCAUACAUUAACCACUAAAACACAAAUAUUCAUACUAAAAUACAAGCAUUGCAAGAGUGAGCUUUGAACGAGGAAAAUGACUAAUAAACGCCAGAUGCACACCUUGUUACCUCUCAUUCAUACAAUUGAUAUUUGUGGGCCAGACAAAAAUAGUUCAAAUCCUUUCCACAGGUUACAAAUCCUUUCCAAGUUUCACCAGAUUAGUAGUCCAGACAAAUACUGGUCCAAGGGAUUACAAAUCCCUUUCAAGCAACAACAAACAUGGACUUCAUAGCUAAGCAUACAGUUCAUACUCUGCCGUGGAAAUUUUGAUGUCCUAUCCACAAGCCACUACACAAUAGAAGACCUAAUUAGUAAUGUCGAUGAAGGUACAUAUGGUCGGCCAUUGCCCGACGCACCUCAUUCCACUCAGCGAUGUUUUGUUGUGACAUAUUAAUUUGCUGUAAUCCUGGGACUUGGUAACCAUCUUCAUAAGCAUCUUCGAUUUCGAUUGCUCCGGCAGCAGCCCCAGCGGCAAAAUAGUCGUCAUUCGACACUUUCUCCCUCAUGAUGUUGUGGAGAGCACAAGAAGCAAAGACAAUGUUGUUUUGAGUGGCAAUGAGAUAAUUCUGCAUUGGACCUUUGAGUAUUGGAAAUCGCAUUUUCAGGACAUCGAAAGAGCGUUCAAUCACGCUUCUAAGUGAUGCCUGGCGGCGAUUGAAAAGGGAUUUAGUUGCACGCGCUUGUACUGUCCCCCGGGCAGGCCUAAAUGGUGCUAUAAACCCAAGCAUAUUCGUAUAUGUGGCGUCAACUAGGAAAUAUUUAUCUGCAAAUCCACAUUUCCACACAUGUAUCAUUUUUUUGGAACAAUUAAAUAGACUGCACGAAUAGGGGACUAGUCAGUAUAGACAAAGCAUACCCUCUGGUGGCAUGGGAAAGUUAGACUCUGGCGCAAACAAAGCCUCUUGUAGCACCCGUGCAUCUUGUGCACUGCCUUCCCAAUCACAUCGGACAUAGACAAAUCUCAUAUCAUAAUCGCAGGCAGCUAACACAUGCUGAGAUAAGUCUCUCCUCCUCUUCCGGGUAAUGGUCCGGUUCUCAGCAGUGAACCAGGCUGAGAUGUGAGUUCCGCCUAUUGCCCCAACACAAUCCUAUAACACGAACAUUAGUAUUACUCCUAACCAUUGACCUAAAGUAAAUUCAAGAACAGAAAUUAAAUAACCUUGAACCAGGGAUAAAACUUCUCGCUGUUCAGAAUCCGUGGAUGAGUUUCAUUGUAAUUCCUUGGUCUGAUUAUAUCUCGUCCUAGCCGCACCAAUGCUCUAAGGCAACGCCUCACAAGUUGAUCAACUGUCUCCGGGGAAUGUUUAAAGUGUUCAGAUAGAAGCCGAUGGCAUUCAUUAUGGCUAAGGCAUACCAGUGCAAUAGCCAUUGACUUGUGAAUUCCCACGACCAACAAAUUACACAGGUGCAAGAACAGGGGAACACCCAUGCGCAAGUUCUCGAAGAUCCUGUCCCGAUGCCCGUUUAUAAGCUCGAUUACCCAUUGUUGCCUAGAUAAUGCGCUAUCACGAUACCUUCGUCUUGGAAUGUGCAGCAGUGGGUCUAACAGAGCUAAUCCUAAUAGCAAAAAUGCUAAGAAAAUCAACUCAUCAUCGGAGUGGUCCGCCAAGUUCAUGCCAUGGAAAGGUAUGAGAUUAUCCCUGCAGUAAUUAGUAAUACACAGCUGCAAAUCAUUUUCUCCACAACCCUGCAACCAUUAAGUGAAUACAUUAAUCCUGUUCCAUAUUUCCCCACCCAAACAUAUAACCACGAAUGCAUUACUGCAUACCCUUCAAAGCACGCCUCCUUAGUCGGGGCAUGUAAUAUUGACACCCUAUUCAGCGUUACCAGAACACCACCAGUGGAGAAUUUGGUGCCCAACAAGAUUUUAGCUUCAGUAUAUAGAGAUAACCCAAAAGCAAGAGCAAUAAACAAGUUAAUAGCAUGAAAUGAUGCAGCUAUUUGACAAGAACAGCCAGCCAGCUAAUUAGAUAUAUUUUUUCCAGCUAAUUACUCAGUAAAGAGAACAACAAAAUUUGAUGGAAGUAAAUGGAUCGCUAGAAGAGCAAAUCUACAUUAUCAAUGUGCACCAAAGCCAAAUAAGGCAAUCAAGUGGCCAGCAGGGAGAUUUCUGCUUGAGAGCUGAAAUGGCAAGAAACAAUAUAGACAUGGCUGAUGUAAGCCAUCCAUGCGCAAUUAUUUCAAUGGCAUCAUAAAGAGCGCAAUUCACAGUAGAACUUGACAACUGGAUCAGAAGUCAGAAAUGCAAUGAAGAAAUCCCGAAAUAUUGACCAAAUCCACUAACAACUGUUAACCCAAGAUGAAGUUUGUGCAUGCUGUUAAACGUUGUGAGAAUAACAUAAGAUGCUUCAGGCAAACAUGGGACUAGAGAAAUGUUCUCGACAAAAAUGGAGAUAUUGCACCUUAAAAACCAGUGUUCUGGCCAUGCGGAAUAUUAGGAUGAAGCCUCUUCGCUUUUUUCAGAUGCAAUUCCACGAUUCUUGGAAGAAGAUGUCAAAAGCUCAAAGAUAAAUACUACUUUCAUAAUUCAAGAAGGACAUUCUCUGAGGAACUCUCUCUCUCUCUCUCUCUCUCUCUCUCUCUGUUGAUGCCGGAAAUCAAAAUGGGAAAAGAGAAAAAAGAUAAGAUAAAAACAGGACCCAAAAGAGGACUGAAAGCAGACCUUGGAACUUCACCGGAGCCCGAAUUGGUUUUCCAGAAACCGGUUGAGGUUAGUAGAAGUUUGUUGCUGUCACUCGGAUGACUGCCUCGAGGGAGUGUCUUCGAUGACAAAUCUACCGAGAACUGAGACGAAAUUCAUCGAUCGGGGAGUACGAACCUGGAACAAUGCACACCUUGACCGGCGCCGACGGCAGCUUUUCUCUGUGCUUAACCGGGUAAUGAAUUAAAUUUUGGACAGUCGAAUGGGGAUGGGAGAAGAAUUUGGCGGCCAAAUACAAUAAUGUGUUUUUAAAUGGGAAAAUCGUCCAAAACGUCCAUCACAUUUUGUAAAAUGACUUUUUUCGUUCCUCACUUUUAAAAGUGUAAUUUUAUAUCUCUUACAUAUUCACAUCGGUCAAAUUUAGUCCCUAACUAAGUUUUCGAUCAUUUUUUGGCCGGAAUCCAUCAUGUGCAAGGCAUGUGAUCAUUUUUUAAGGGUAAAUUUGUUAAAUUAUAUUUUACAUAAUCUAAUCUAUAGUCCUCCAUAUUUUAUAAAACAAAUUUUUUCGUCCCUCGCAUUUUAUAAAAUAAUUUUUUAAUCCCUUACAUUUCACAAAAUGAAUUUCUCCAUCCCUCAUAUUUCAAAAAUGAAUAUUUCCAUCGCUCACUAAUUAUGUGUGUAAGGGAAACCCUAAAAAAAAAUAUGUGUGUGUGAAUACAUUUUGUUUAAACACAUGUAUAUGUCUAUUUGAUUUUGCUUAAUAAUACGAAUAGCAUAAAUAUAUGUAUGUGUCUAUUUGAUUUCACUUAACAAUACGAAUACCAUAUAUUAUACAUGAUCAUUUGAUUUCAUCUGGUAUUAGCUAGUAAAAAAUCUUGCAUUCAUUGUCAAGUUGGCCAAUAAAUCUAUUUUCGGUCAAAAUACAAUAAGAAUAUGCAAAUUAAGGUUCUAUUGGUAAAUAUUAGUCAUAAUUAUACAAAAAGAGAAGAUAGCCCACAAGUUGGGCCCAAUUACAUACAUGUGUUUAUGCUAUUAUUAUUAUGCAAAAUCAAAUAGACAUAUACAUGUGUUUAAAAAAAAUGUAUUCACACACAUAAUUAGUGAGAAAUGAAAAAUUCAUUUUUUGAAAUGUGAGGGAUGGAGAAAUUCAUUUUGUGAAAUGUGAGGGACGAAAAAAUUUAUUUUAUAAAAUGUGGAGGACUAUAGAUCAGAUUAUGUAAAAUAUAAUUUGACAAAUUUACCCUUAAAAAAUGAUCACGUGCCUUGCACAUGAUGGAUUCCGGUCAAAAAAUGGUCGGAAACCUAGUUAUGGACUAAAUUUGACCGAUGUGAAUAUGUAAGGGACAUAAAAUUACACUUUUAAAAGUGAGGGAUGAAAAAAGUUAUUUUACAAAAUGUGAGGGACGUUUUGGGCGAUUUUCCCUUUUUAAAUACUUAAAAAUGACGUCGUACAAAAUUUGGGAUAUUCUAUGAUAUGUUUUGCUCACAAAGCCCAUCCAUUUGUUUUUUGCAUUUCUAUUUGGAUUAGUUAUUUUUGAAAUAUUUUAUUAUACCAAUGUAGGUGGAAAAUUUUUAUUGUAAAUAUUUUUGAUAGUAUUUUUGAAAGGAAAAAUGACCAAUUUAGUCGCUAUACUUUUAUACUUGUGUCAAUUUAGUCCCUUUAUUUUAUUCUUGGCCAAUUGGAUACCUUAACUUAAAAUGCAAGUCCAAUUGAGACUCUUUGCGGCGGCGCCACUAGAAAAUAUCAAGCGGGCAUGAAAUUGACCACAUAAUGAGGGCUACUUUUGGAACAUCACUUAUGGGAUUCUAAAAUAGCCAACUAAAAUCAUACGGCAACAAAAUUAGACUAAAAAAUCAUCCCAAACUGAAAGUGACUUAUGUAGAAAAUAAUUAGGCUUAUAAUCCAAGAGAUAUUUGGGCAAAAUGCUAGUGAUUGAUGAUGGACAAGAAAGAGGAGGCCGAUGGGAUUGCAACAACAGACAAAAUGGAAGAUGUCCAUUGAACCAUGCAACUGAAGAGUGUUACACAGAUUACUUGUACCAAAUGUCAAAAAAAGGGCAUAAUAAAAGAAGAUGUCCAUUGAACCAUGCAACUGAUGCAGUGGCUGCUGAAGGUAGUGGAAGGCAACCUCCUUUGAACUCCAACAAGUGCAGAAAAUGCAAAGGACUUAGGCACAAUGUCAGAACUUGUCUAUUGAUUGCCUCAGGGACAACUAAUACCCAAGCAACACAAGAAACACAAGUGUCUGCAUCUACAACAAUCAUUGAAGAUGACAGUGAACCUUCAAAAAAUAUGGCAGCCACAAAGUCCAAUUCAGGUAUACAGCUUGCAUAUUUUUUAAUUUAAGUGUGUUUAAAUGGCAUGCUUACUACAUGUAUGUUUCACUGCUCAAUAGUCAAUACCCAAGCUGGUGAGGUGGCUGAAACAAUUCAUGUGCAGUCCUCAGCUCCAGAGUUAAGUUCAAAAAAAGUUCGUCAAACUGUCUGCUGUCUUUUCUGUCAUGCUUCAAGCCAAAGCAAAAAAACCUGCGCCUGCGCGCGAGCCCAACUUUGGAGAUCUAGGGUGGCUGCUGUUGUAUCUCCAGGAAAAGGCAAAAGAAGAAAACAAAUUGUAUGUUUUUUGCAUUAAAAAAUUGGUCUAAUUUCGAACUAUCAGCCAUUACUCUUUGUUGGUUCUCAUUUCAAAUGUAUUUUGCAGGUGCAUAGAUUGUUGGAUGAAUUGGAUAACUUCAUGAACAAUAAUGAAGACAGUUGAAGAUAGCCAUAUUUUGCUGAAACAUGUUGAUGGCAUUUACUUUUUGCUAAUUUAGUUAGUUUUGACUAUUUUUGGGACUUCUUGUACUGGAAGGGUUAAAAUGCGUUGGCUUCCACAACCAAGUUCCUCAAACGGCUAUUGUUGUAGUUACUUUUGGAUUUUAUGGCAUUAGCAGACAGCUUGUUUGUGUAAACAUUGGCUGUUGUAGUUACUUUUGGAGGCACUUUUGGCAUUAGCAGAUAGCUUGAUUGUGUAAUUCUGACUGCAUAACCUUUAUUUAACUCUGUAAGCUAUUUUGUUGAAUUGGUGCCCAAUGGAAGGGUCAAAUUACAAGCAAAAUUCUGUCCUUUAACAACUGUAUUUGCUGACCAUGUUAGAUAUUUCAUUGAAUUGGUUCCAAGCGGAAAUGUCCAUAAACAGGCUUCAAUUUUGUCCAUUUUCUUUUUUGCUUCCACAAGUUUCCAGUGACCAAACCAAUUCCCAAACAAUUCAAAACCAAAAAACUAGUGCACUUGGCUGCUUAUCAUUCACAUUCAAGUUUACAAUGAAUCACAUUUCUCCUCAAACUUUAACAAGUUCAUAACAUGCUACCAUAUUUCUCUUGACAACAUGUACAAAUUCAGGAGAAAUUAGCAGCCAUGUAUUUGAAGGAUCUACAACAUGUCCAAAACUAGUUCAACAUCUUCAACUCCAACACACCUUGCUUUUGUCUUCCAUUGCCAGCAAGCAUAGUAGUAAUUAAAACAUAGCAACAUAAACAAACACAUGCCAAAUUCAUUAGUUUCACUUUUGUUCUCAAUUUUCGAAUCUCAAGCUUCAAUGUUGCAUUUUCUGCUUCCACAUGUCUGAGGUCCCUCAAUAAUGAAGCAAUUACAUUCUUCAUCUUCUGAGGUAUGGGUGGAUCGUACCAUAGAAAGAAAUUACAAGCUCCAGAUUUCUGCAUUCACAAUUAAUUCAUAGUUUGCUUCAACAAAAUUCAUUAAAUUUUCAGAUUUGAAAUAUGUUUACCAAGAACCAAGAAAUAGUACCCCAUAGUUUUUGCAGCCGUGAAAUCUUCUCGAAGGAUUUGAUUUUGUCCACGAAGUAAUUACUCGACACUCUUCAAGGCAGUGGCAGUGCACAACUAGGUCUCCAUUGCAGUAUUCAUCCUUUCCUCGAUAAAUCUCUGUUGCUGUUUCAAAUCGAUUUGCGCCAUUAUUACUUGAAACACUACCUGAACUUGAUGUUGCUUUGGCCCAAUUUCUCCUUCCCUGCAUUUGCAAUGAUUCUGUACACAAUCUGGGAAUUUACACAGACUACCUGUUUCUUAGAUGAACCCUAGCUCUCCAAUUCACCUUAAGCUCCUCACUUUGAUUUCAUAGUCUUAAGCUCCUCAUUUUGUUGCUGUAUGAUUUUAGUUGGCUAUUUUAGAUCCCCAUAAGUGAUGUUUCAAAAGUAGCCCUCAUUAUGUGGUCAAUUUCACGUCCGCUUGAUAUUUUCUGGUGCCGCCGCCGCAUAGGAUCUCAAUUGGACUUGCAUUUUAAGUUAAGGUAUCCAAUUGGCCAAGAAUAAAAUAAAGGGACUAAAUCGACACAAGUAUAAAAGUAUAGGGAUUAAAUUGGCCAUUUUUCCAAUUUUGAAAAUAUAUUUUGGGGUAUUUUUAAAAUUUAAAAUUUUAAUGGAAUAUUUUUAAAAUGUUAUAAAAUCUUACAACCACCCACCACUAUCCCACCUCUUACCUCCCUUCCUCCCUCCUCCUCCCACUCUCUGGUUGAGGGGUGAGAGGGAAGGGGGCAGUAGGAGAGACGUGGGGAGAAAGAAGGAGUAGGAAGAAAGAGGGAGGAGGAAGAAAGAGAGGAGAAAGGGGAGGGGGAGGAGAGAGGGGAAUGGGCAGCGGGUGGUGAUGGCGGUGUAUUUUUUUUUUUGUAUAUUUGGAGUUGUUUUUGAUAUAUUAUAUGGAUGUGAUAUUUUGGAGUUGUUUUUGUUUGUAUAUUAUUGUAGCAUUGCAUAUAAAAAACUUGUUUUUCAAAAAUUAAGGAAUCCUAACGGAGACACUUUCCUGCAUUUUGUGUAAAAAUAGAACAUUUAUUUUUGCCUUUUUAAAAAUAUGAUUGAGUUCUAAAUUAUUUAAAAGUUUCACAUUUUGUCUAGCAACCAGUAAUUAAACUAAAUAAUUCACUUCAUAAUAUGACUUUCCAAUAUUUAUUUAUUAUAUUAAAAGUAUUUUUUAUUUAUUAAAAAUUUGGAAAUUUUUUAGGGCUUUUGCCCUACGCCUUAAGGUUUUUGCCCCGUCUAAGCACACACAAAAUGCCUCGCCCAAUAUUUUUGUCUUUUGAAACAUAGAUAAUAAAAAAAACUAGAAUUGUCUCUCUUAGCAGGUGCCUUUUCUCUCUCUAGUAGAGACCAAGUCACUUGGGUGGGUGUUUCUUGAACCUUUCAAAAUUCAAAAAUUCAAAACUCCUAUACUCUUUCUUCUUCAUUUAGUUUCCCUUUGCAAAUCUCAGUAGCUUAGACCUACCUAAAAUUCAGCAAUCAAUGGAGAAAACAAGGAACAAUGAUGCAUUAUUAUGAUUUUGUCGUCGUGGUGUCUCCUUUCAGUAGGUAGUAGGAUGCCAUGCUCUAUGAGACCAAGGAUGCCUUCUAUGGUUAAAAUAUAGAUCUGUUAUCUACAUCAGUUUUCUUAGUUUUCUGGAGCCUUUCAUUAUUGUUUUGUUCUUUUUAGUGUUUCAUUUGUGAUUUCAUUUUCUCUAUGUUGUGAUUUCUUGCUAGGAUAGUGUUGCUCGUUUCCUUGCUUAUUGUGUGCUUCUGUAGGUUCAGUUUUCUUUGCUUUUAGCCUCUUUGACAAGAUCUAAUGUGUAGUGAAUUUGGCUGGUUGAUUAUUUGGGGAUCCUGUUGUUUGAGCUAAAUGGCUGAGAAUUUGAAACAGGUUUUGAGAAACUUUGUUCUAACUAAUGAGAAAGCUUAUAUUUAGUUAUGAAAGAGAUAUGAACAGAGUUCUUAAUGGGCAGACCAUGGAUCUAUGAUAACAUGCCUCUAGUCAACUUACCAUGGAAGGAAGGGAUGGAAUAGGAUGAGGGGGCUUUUUCAAAGACAUGUAUCUAUGUCUAAUUAUGGAAUUUACCUAUCCAUUGGGUUACAAAUGAGGUUGGAAUGAAGAUUGGGAGGCUUUUUAACAAUGUUUUAGAGGUUUUAAUUCCAAAUGAGGGAGGGAAAGAUGGAAAGCAAAUAAGGUUUUAACAAGGGAAAGAUGGAGUUGGAUUUGCACAAACCUUUAUUAAGAGGAACAAUGGUAAAACUAAAUGGAAUUGCUAGUUGGAGAGAAUUUAAGUGUGAGAAAUGCCCAGAUUUCUGUUAUUGUUGUGGGAUUAUGAGACAUAAUGAGAGAAACUGUAGAGUGAAACGUAGUAAUAUGAGUAGGGAAUCUCAGUAUGGGGCCUGGUUGAGGGCUACCAAUUCUAGGAGCCCAGUGAAAAAGUAGAAUAAUAGGAGGAACUCAAAUCAGACCGAGAAUUAUGAAGCUACCGAGAAAAAGGAUAUGGGGGGAGAAAACUCAGAAUGCCUGAUAUUGACUUGGAAAAUGAAUGAACAACAAUUGGAAAACCAUGAGAGGGGUUCAGUAGUUAGGGAACAAGAGGAAAGGGAAUAUGUUCCAAAGGAGUCUCAAGAAGAUAUUGCUAUGACAGCUGAGAAAAUGCACAGGAGAAGUAAGCAGCAAAAUGAGGGAAAGAGCGGUGAGAAGACGGUGGAAAUGGAUCAAUUCAAUAUAAAUGGCAAAAGGAUAGAGCAGGUCAAGAGCACAGAGUCAUUGGUAAGGAAUGUUCAAUGUGACAAGGUAGAAUAUGACACAAUGUGGAUUGAUGAAUAUGAUCCAGAAAUGUUGGGAUCGAGUAGAGGGGGUGGGAAGAGUACUAUUGCUAAGAGGGAGCAAAUUACUUUGAAUGGAGGGAAGAGUCAAAAAGCUGGGACAUACAAAAGGAAUAAAGGAUAGAAGAUGUUAGUUCAUGAUGUAGGUAAAAGAGUGCCUCUUUUUGAGAAAAAUAAGGGAAUGGAAGUAGAGUAUGAGGGUAGUGAGAGGAAAUAGAUGGAUGGACAAGGGAAAGAAAAUGUGGGGAGGGAAUACAAAAGUAGAAGAAAUACAGAAGAGUGAAAAGAGAUUUAGUUUCGAAAUAUACUGAAGAGGUGGCGGAGCCCAACCUCAAUAGGGCUCCCCACCCUCAAUCAGAGCUCUGGUGUGGAAUUGUCAAGGUGUGGGAAGCCCCUUGAUAGUUCUCUAACUUGAGGAAGUUAUUAAAAUCCACUCCCUAGAGUUAAUAUUUCUAUCUGAGACUAAAAAUAAAAAGGAUAUUAUGAAUAAAGUGAAGCUAAAAAUUGGAUAUGAUAGUUUAUUUGUUAUUGACCCUAUUGGUAAAUCUGGGGGUGUGGUUGUUUUGUGGAGAAAAGAGUUGCAAGUUAAGAGGGUACUUUUCAUAGAUUUUACUAUUGAAGUGUCAAUUCAAAGAGCUGGUAGUUUGACUGACUGAUGGUUUAUUUUUAUAUAUGUUAGUAAUGAUGUUCAUGUGAGGGAAAAAUAGUGGAAAACAAUUGUAAAUAGGAAGUGCCCGUGGGCAAAAAAUUGGUUGUUAGCUGAUGAUAUGAAUAACAUUUCGUCUAAUGAUGAAAAAUAGGAAAGGAUUAAAAAAUCUGAGAAAAGCUUUGGUAGUUUUAGAAAUUUUGUGAGCAGUAAUCAACUUAUUGGUAUUGCUUUUAAUGGUACUCCUUGGACCUGGACAAACAACUGGGAAGGAAAUGGGGAAAUCAAAGAAAGGUUGGAUAGGAUCCUUUGUAGUAGGCAUUGGAAGAAAGAAAAUGGAAAAGCUAAGUGUCCCACAUUCAAAAUGAAGCAUCUGAUCAUCUUAUAUUACUUCUGGAUACUAAGCCUAGUGAAAGGAUGUGGAAGAGAAGACUUUAUUUUGAUAAGAGCUAGCUGAAACAUAAGGAAAUAAAGAAUAUUAUUAGUAGAGUUUGAGAAAACAUCAAGAUGGUUCCAGGUUUUCUAAACUGUAUCAAAAGAUUAAGAAUUGCAGGAUGGCACUACUACAAUGGAACAAAAAGAAGAAUGUAAAUGCUAAAAUGCAAAUUCAGAGAUUAAAACAGGAGAUUAUUGAGAAACAAAAAGAUAGGGAUAAUAGGAAAAUUGGGAUAAUAAGGGAGCUGAAGAGGGAACUAGCAAAGGCAUACAAGAAGGAAGAAAUCUAUUGGGGGCAAAAAGAAACAAUAAAUUGGCUUAAAGAGAGUGAUAAGAAUACUAAAUAUUUUCAUGCCACGGUAGAAGGGAGAAGGAAACAGUAACAACAUAUCAAGAUUGCAGAGGGAGGAUGGUGUUUGGUACAGUUCAGUGGAAGAGAUUGAGGGUGACACAUAGACUACUUCCAAUCAUUUUUUACAUCAAGUAGCCCUCAGCUAUUUGACUCAAUCCUUCGUGGAAUCCUUUAGGUAAUCACAGAUCAAAUGAAUACAAUGCUGAUCAAACCUAUAUCAAAGGUGGAAGUAAAGAAAGCUGUAUUUCCUUUGCAUCAAAACAAGGUUCCAGGUCCUGAUGGUAUGACUCCUGUUUUCUUCCAACAUUUCUUGCAUGUUAUUAAGAAUGAUUUGAGAAAUGCCAUCUCCGGUUUCUUUCAUUUAGGGAAUCUGCUCAGAGCUAUUAAUGAAAUAAUAAUCACUCUAAUCCCUAAACUUGAGUCCCCCGUCUUAGUGUCUCAGUUCAGACCAAUUAGCUUGUGUAAUGUUACUUAUAGGAUCAUAUCCAAGAUUCUUGUAAAUAGAUUGACACCUCUCCUUAAGCACAACAUUAGUCAUAAUUAGGCUACUUUUAUUCCUGGGAGGCAAAUCAUUGAUAAUGUCAUUAUUGCCCAUGAGUUCACCCAUUAUUUGCAUGAUAGGAGAAGUGGGUCUAAUGCUUUUAUGGCCUUGAAGUUAGAUAUGUCCAAAGCAUAUAGUAGGGUUGAUUGGCCUUUUGUUAUGAAAGUAAUGGAAAAAAUGAGUUUCUGUCAGUAGUAGAGGGGGUGGAUUAUGAAGUGCAUGUCUUCGGUGUUGUACUUUUUUACGAUGUGCGAGGCCUACAAGAGGAAUUAGACAAGAGGACCCUUUGUCCUCUUAUCUAUUCCUUUUGGUUUCUGAGGGAUUAUCUAGCUUGUUGAAAUAAGCUAUCCAGGAACAAUGUAUCUCAGGGUUAAAAAUUGCAAAACAUAGCCCAACUUUAUCUCACUUAUUUUUUGCCGAUGGUACAUUGAUUUUUUGCAGAGCAAAUAAAAGGGAAGCUAGUCAUGUGAAGAGGAUUCUAGAGCAAUAUGUUGAAGUUUCUGGACAAAUUGUUAAUGCAGAUAAAUCUUCUAUGUUCUUUAGCAAAAAUACUGAUGAGUAGCAGAAUGAGGGGAUUUUAGGUAUGUUGGAUGGUAUAAAAGAGGUUAAACAGAGCAGGUAUCUUGGGUUAUCUAUGGUGAUUGAAAGGAUAAAGAAACAGGUUUUUACUUACAUCAAAGAGAGAGUUGUUAAAAAGUUGAGUAGCUGGAAGGAGAAGUUGUUGAGUAAUACAGGUAAAGAGGUGCUGUUAAAAUCAGUUGAGUUAUAGCCUUGCCUACUUAUGCUAUGAGUUGUUGUAAGUUGCCAAAAGGAUUGUGUGUGGACUUAUGUAGAGAAAUGGUAAAAUUCUAGUGGGGGGAUAGAGGAAAAUCAAAAAAUUCAUUGGAUUGGUUGGAUGGUCCUUUCAGAGGUUAAGGGCAGAGGAAUCUGGGAUUUAAAGAUUUACUGGAGUUUAAUAAUGCAAUUUUGGUUAAGCAGCUUUGGAGGAUUUUAACGAAUCCAAAGCUACUAGUAAGUAAGAUUUUGAGAGGGAAGUAUUUCAGAGGUGUUUCAAUUUGGAAGAUAGAAAGUAAUACUGGGGAUUCAUGGAUGUGGAGGAUUAUUUGAAGCUCUAAGGAGCUAUUGUAGAGAGGGGUAAGAAAGACUGUGGGUGAUGGACAACAUACAGACAUUUGGAGGAUAACUAGAUACCUGAUAUGAAAAAUGGAAGAAUCAUGACCAGAAAACCUCAAAAUUGUCAACUGAGAUAUGUUCAUGAAUUGAUGAAGAAUGGUAGGUAGAAUGAGGACCGGAUAAGAACCAUUUUCAAUGAGGAGGAUAGUAAGAAGAUAACGAAAAUUCCAAUCAGUAAAUAUGGAGCCAAAGACAGAUUAGUGUGGGCGUGCUCAAGUUCUAGCCAAUAUACUAUCAAAAGUGGCUAUGUUUUGGCAAAAGAUAUGCAGAAAAGGAAAGAGAGGUCUGAACAACAUAGUGGCAGUAGUAGUAGAAAUGUUGAAAAUCUAGUGCUUAGAAAUUCUUGUGGAGCUUAAUUGUAAAGCAUAAGUCGAAGCAUUUUAUUUGGAAGUGUUUACACAAAAUUUUACCAAUGAAUGACACAGUGAAAUGUAGAGUAAGGAAGGGGAAUGAUAUUGUACGCGAUAAAAUUUUUAAGUCUGCAAAACGACAAGAAAAAAUACAUGACAAAUACGUAAUACAUAAAUUUAAGGAAAUAUGUGAGUACAAUCUCUGAAAUUUUGUCGAACUGGUAGAGAGUUUCCUUCGAUUCUUUUCCUCAAACGCCAAUCCAAGGCUUCGCAGCUUGCUCUUGGAUCCACUACCGAUUCCUUCAAAUCUUGAUAUGGAAGAUUUGAAGAACUUUAGAAGAUAUUUGAAGACUCAAGUCCUGAUAUAUGGGAGGCUUGGAGAGCUUGAAGAUCCAGACCUUUGUAGUUUGGAGUUUCAAUACUUGAGCGUAUGAGAUGCCUCUUCGUGUGUUUUUUCGAUUUGGUUGAGAGACCCCUAUUUAUAGUUGUAGCAAGAGAUAGAGAUUGAAAACAUGUAUACCACUCUACUUGCUUUGUAAGACGUGCAAUCAUAUUAGGAUUGUGCCAACUUAAAUAUUAUCUCUUUAUUUUGUAUUUAUUAAUAAAGAGAUAAUACCAAUAAAUAGUUCCUUGAUUGGCCAAACUUGUGGGGACCUAUGACGUGGCGCCGUUUGAUUGGACAAACUAUUGCAGUAUAUAAGAAAUAUACUUAUAUUAAACAACUCUAAAUAUUAUCUUUUUAAUAAGAAAUAAAUAUUUAGAUAUUCAUCCGUAAUUUGCCAAGUCAUAAAGACAAGUGACAUGGCGUAAUUUAAUUGGCAGGGAUAUCCUGGUAAUUUUAAUUGGCCGCAACACCUCAUCUUGACAUGUGGAAAGACAUAAUUGGUUGACGAAUAGCUAAACUUCCAAGUGUGCAUGACAUGUGGCAAUAUCCAAUUAGCUAAGUUAUAAGCCAUAGGAAUAUUUUAUAGACCAAUGGUAAUUUUAGAAUUAAUUAAAAUUUCAUUGUCUACAAAUGCUCCAUCGAAACUUGUUUGUGAUUGCUGAAGACCGAAGCACGAUUUGAACGGACAAGUUUCGACAUUUUUCUUCAAUUUGAUUUGAAUGCCAUUGGAAUCCUAAAGAAAAUGGACUAAAAUUGAAGUUUUACAAAUCACCGAACCGUGGCUUUCGAAUGGAUAUAGAAUAGCCAUGCAAAGGACUUCCCAAUUCAUCACUGUUGGACAUUAAAUGCAUGCAUAGCUUGGUGGAGCCAAUGGUUUAAAUUUCCAAGACCAAAACCUUUCCAUGCAAUAUCUAUACCAUGACUAUAUUACAAGUCUAAUGAAGUAGCUACGAUUCUCUCGUGGCUAUAUUCCAAGGACAAUGACUUCAAUUUCCAAUAUGAUUCUCUCGUGGCCCACAAGUCUUUUCCUAUCAGCUAUGAUUGCAAAAUCCCCAGCCAAAUUGGAAUUCUUUGCCAUAGCAAAUUACUUAGCCGGCUAUUAUUAACGUAGUCCACGGGACCUUUUGACAAAUCGGUUUCGGAUCAACAUAGUUAUUCCAAAAAGGAAUCGACUUUCUUCCAAAACCGCAUGGAAGAAGACUUUCUUUCUGGCUCGGAUUCUCAUCAAACUUUUCCGUAUAAAUAGCCUUGUCUAGGCCAAAACUCUUGAACGAGUUUAUUUCUUUCUUCAGCUGUAUCAUCAAGCGGCUGCUGCUGCACGGGACAAUCAUCAUCCGCUGGUUGUACUCCAAUAAGUACUUUCUUUUCGCUUCCCAGGUACUUUGAGGUUUUUUUUUAACUCGCAACAUUUAAUUGUUACAAGGAGUUUUGGUCAAGGCUCUUACAUGUUUCAUCAUUAGAUGCUUUGAAUAUGAUCAACACUUGGAAUUUGUUUGUCUACUCAACAUGUGCUUUGAAUAUGAUCAACACUUGGAAUUUGUUUGUCUACUCAACAUGUGCUUUAGACUUGUAUCUCCAACACGUUACAAGAUAGCUUGGCCUUUUCAUUUAUCUACUAAGAUAAUGCCAAACAUGAUAUUCGAGCUAUUCUUCAUGACUGAAAAUUUAAUCUCAAUUUUCGUACCAGUCUUUUGCGGCCCAAAUAUCGCUAUCAUACAUGAUUUCGUUCUAAACUUUGUCAACUUGCUUUUUCGUAGAUAACCAAAACCGACUUGAAGAAGGGUUUGAAACAAUUUCGAGGACUUGAGAAAAAGGAAACCAAUUAGGUAAUUUAAUUACCAAAAUUUUGUAAGAGUUUCCCUUCGUCAUCUAAUAUUUUCUUUUACAAAAUUUCAGCAAGCAAGCAAACUAAGAACUACGCCACGCCAUUGCCACAUAUUUCAUUGAUAGAUGAGCGGUGAGGACCUCAAUAGAAAAGUUUGUCAUUAUACAUUAAUAAGCCGGCAAUUGGUACCUUCGCCGAGUCUUUUAUACCCCCUGAAGGAUGCUUUCAACUUGAAGAUUGGACUAGCAAGUAUACUAAAGAAGUUGUAGCACCAUCGACUUUCUCCAUUUCGUCGAGAGAAGAAGAAGUGCUCGUAUUAAACUCGUCACUUCAUAAUGGAGAUCCGAAAAUAGCUAAAUUUACGCUUCCGUUCAUGGGAUUUAAUAUUUACAAAAGUACAUGGAAGAUUCCUUCGUCCUUCUUUGACGAGGCGUGCUUCACCUCUCAUUAUUAGGAGUGGGUCGAAGACAUCAUUGGAAGAUAUAAAGAAGUGCUCACACGUGCUGGCAUAUUUGAAGCUGUCUACGCGUUGAGAUUCUCCUACGACUGCUGCGAAAAUAUCUUGCGAGCUUUUUUCAAAUAUUGGUGUCCUUCGACAAAUACACUCCACAUGCCCGUUGGGGAGUUGUCCAUUACACUUUGGGACCUUUAUCGACUUGGUGGCCUUUCGAUCGAGAGCUCAUUCUUUAACGAAGUUGUUUCUUCAACGCAGGAACUUCUUACUCGUGAUAAAGAAGGGAAAGCCACUUCUCCUUGAGAGUUGCAGGCAUCUCUUUUCAGCUUACUACCACUUUUGGACGAAUGACCAAGGAGUGUGGAUGAAGGAUUGGAUCCGUUUCUAGUUCAAAGGAGAGGGUAGGUAUAGGGCCCCUCCGAGCAGGGCGAAUAGAAGAAAAGCCACAUCAUAACAAAAAAUGACCUACAACCCUUCUUGAAGCGUAGAGUCUCAUGACCUUGCUGAUACAAAGGAUUUCAACGUCCCUUUUGAUGCAUUGGAUAUCCCAGGAUUUUUUAAAAAGGAAACCUAUAUUGCGGUAUUUAUAGCGUGUUGGAUUUGCAAGUUUCUUUUGCCAAGCAAAAAGGCCGAUUGCAUUCACCCAAGUGUCUUCAAAGUUGCAUGCUUAAUGGCCACAUGGAAAAAAUUUUGCCUUGCAAUUCCCGUUUUUGCGAGCAUAUAUCAUGGGUUGAGGGAGAUCGUCUACGCCUCUAACUUUGGAGAAUACGGGGUAACUUUUCCAAUUCAUUAUGUCUAUGCUUGGAUCUGUCAAUAAUUUUAUGUGUAUUAUAAGAAUAACCAAGUGAGUAGCCACCACGCGCGUAUGACGAGAUUUAGUGGUGAGAAAAUGGCAAUAUUUUAUGGUAAAUCAGAAGAUGAGGAAAUUUUCAAAGAAGUGAAUCCUUUGAUACUUCCCAAACUGUGUUGGACUGAGAAUGAAGAAAAAGUGUUGAUCGAUGACGGAUCCUUAUCAUCAAGACUCACGAGCUACUUUAUUAGUCAACGUUCUUGCCACUUAAUUCUACGUAAGGACAAUACUUUUAUUAUUGAAAAAUAUAUCCUUGUAGGUUUAGCAGACAAUUCGACUUCUGUGAGGAUAUUCCAAAUAACUUGAAAGAGAUCACUCACACUUAUACUUUGGGUGAGGCUAUUCAACUAUGGAAUUCCUCAAUUCGCACGCAGACACGAUCUCGGAUGACUAUACUUAUACAUAGGAAGCAUCCAUUGAUCACAAAAAAUUAUGAUGCCUAGUGAUCAAUUCGAUCAAAUAGUGUCUCUUUAAUUUCCUUUAAAUUCACCGUUAAAAUCCCUCAACAAUCAUCGAAAAAGGGUAAGGUUACCUCUGUCAAUUAGUCAGUACAUCAUAAUGGAGUUAUACAGAUUGGAGCGAGUCUUACUACAUCCACCUUACAGAAUAACAAAAUUACUAGCAGUCCCUCGAAAAAUAUUGUCACAAAAAAUAAGCUUUCGAAAGACUCUCGAUAGGCCAUCAAAGAGAUACAACCAGUGAUUCCAAUAAAAAAGAAUCCAUCCAAAGUUUCAAAAUCUUUAACCGUGACUCACAUGGGAGAAGAUGUUUAAAUUGAAACGGUGGACGAUCACGAUUCCAUCGAGGCUAUUGAAAAGGAAGGGACUCAAAUUCAAGGCACCGGAUCUACCCAAGGUGAAACCCGUCAAUUGGCGAGCGGUAGUAGUAGUCAAGACCGUCAUUGGAAUCGAUCAAAAAAGAGAAUAUCUUCUGAUUUGGAAGAGGUUUCCUUCACCGCAUCACUUGUUAGAGUGUCGCCACUUAAGGUAAUUAUCUCUCCAUUCUUCUUUCCCUUCUUUUUUUUCUUCUUUUUUUCCCUUUUUUUUCUUUUUUUUGGUAACCUUUUUGUCUUUUCUUUUCAGCAUCUAUUUCUUAAAUUCCACCAAGAAAACAUUGGUAACAAUUCACCACUUGAACUUGAAGCUGAUGGCACAAUUUUAACUAAGAAAAGUGACGAAAUUGUCAUCAGCAUUUCAAAAUAAUUUGCCUCCAGUAGAGGUAAUUCAUCAAUGCAUAAGAAGGAGCUGACUAGUUCACACGAGAUUCAAAAAAGACCUAAGGUAGCAUUAGUUUCAGAAUUUCAUGGGCAAAAAUUGAUUCAACCCCAUCGAAAGAAAUACUUGCAGCGUUUGUGGAUGGAUUUCCAUGGACAGAUUUUUGAUACUCCUAUUGAGCAAAUCUUUUCUUUAAAAGAGUGUGCAAAGGAAAUUAUUGUAGAAAUCAAAAGGAUGGAUCCUACCAAUGGGCUCCCUUUAAAAGACUAUUUGAUAGAAUUAUUUGCCAAGGCAGAGGCAUAUGAUAUUUUGGCAUCUUCAUCAUGAAAAAAAAUGAGUAAAGAAACACGUGUAGAACUCCUUUUCAAAGUGACAACCCAAUUCGGGAGAGCCCAGACAAAAGAAGAAGAACUAACUUGUCAUCUGAAAAAUCUUGAAGAAAAACUGCAAUGCAUCGAAGACAGGAAAAAAGUUAUGCAACAAGAACUUAUCGAUUUGGAGAAACAAGGCAAGGAAAUCAACUUAACUAUUGAUCAAAAGAAUAAAACUUUCAAAGAGAUUCAGAUUGAGAUAACCCAAACACAUGAUAAGUUCUCUUCUAUUGAGAAUGUUGAUGUCCUAACUGAUGACGCAGUAAAGGAACUUGAAGACAUGAAAUCCGCAUUCGAAUCAUGUAAAAUAGUUGUAGUGGAUUACAAAUUUGACAUUUAGACUUUUCACCGUGUCUUCCUUUUUCCUGAAAUUUCUUUUAUCAUUUCUUUUUUCAUGUAAUGAAAUCUCCCUUAAAUAGUAAAAUGCAUUUCGUUCCUUAUCUUCAAUUUUUUUUAAGAUACAAGAAUUCAAAUGUAGCAUUUUUUUAAAGAAAAAAAAGAUUUUUUUUUCAAAAAAAAAAAGAUUUGGUUUGGAGUGGUGUAACUAAACUUAGAAGUUACCCUCCAAGCUGCCUAUGUAUUCCAAAAAGGGAAUCUAGUCACACGUAGUUCCUGCCGUUCACAUUUUAACCUCAUGUGGGGCAGGAGUGUUUAUUUAUUUACCACCUUAGACUUGGUGGAGUGUUUCAACAGUUUAACCACAUACUACAGUUUUAGCUCAUGCGGACCAGGAGCACAUGCGGUUCCGAUUACACAUAAUACCUUUUUAGGUAUUUGCCAUUGAUGGGACCAACCCUUAAUUCAUUCUCAACAACCAAUUUAUAUGAAUCGUUUGUAUACACUUCUCGGACAACAUAUGGACCAUUCUACUUAGGAGUAAACAUUCUUUGUCCACCAUGAGUGAUGAUGAUCGAUUUUCGAACAACGAGUACUAACUCUUCAAUUUGGAAAGAACAUGGCCGGACAUGCUUAUUGAAUGCUUUUGAAAGGCAGGCUUGAUAGCACUCAAUUCGUUGUUGAAUUUUCAAUCUCUUUCCAUUGAGUGCUUCUAACUCCUCAAGGUGAAAACGAACAUUAUCUUUUUUCACUGAGCCAUUCUUGAAUCAUAAUUUGUAGCGAAGAUAUUUGACAGUCAAGUGGAAAAAUAGUUCAACACCGUAAAUAAGCGCGUAUGGGAUUGCUUGUGUGGGAGUUCGAAAAGUAGUUUUGUAUACCCAAAGCACCUCUCCAAUUCAAAAAUGUUAAUCCCUUUUCGAUUUAUCCGUAAUUUUUUUCAACAUAUUACAUAAUGUCUUGUUGAAUGCUUCAGCGAGUCCAUUUGCAGCAGCAUAGUACAUGGAAGAGUUAUAUUGUUUGAAAUGAAACUUUUUGCAAAGUUUAUUCAUUGCUAUAUUGCAAAAAAGUUUAUCAUUAUCGGUGAUGAUAUAACGUGAGACUCCAUACCGAUAAAUGAUGUGCAAACAAAUGAAAUUUACUACAUUCUCUUUUUUGACCUCUCUUAGAGGAAUUACUUCACCCCACUUUGAGAUGUAAUCUGUUGCCGCCAAAAUAAAAAUGUGUCUGCCAAAAGAUUUUGGGAGCGAUCCAAUUAUAUCCAAAUUUUGAGUAUCGAACAGUCAAGAAGCCACAGUUGGGUGCAAUGGUUUAGGUGAUGGAUGAAAUUGUCAUGAAAUUGACAAGUUUGACAUCUUCUAGCAAAAUCGAUACAGUCAUUUACCAUCGUUGGCUAGUAGUAUCCCAUUCUCUUAAUGUGAAAGUGUAAUUUCGGGCCAGAUUGAUGAGCACCACAUAUCCCAGAGUGAGCCUCUUCCAUUGUUUGCAUGGUUUCAUUUUCUCCAAAAUAUUGUAGAAACACCCUAUCAAAUGAUUUUCGAUAAAGCGUCCCUUUGUAAUAAUUGAAAUAUGGCGCUUGACGAUGUAUAUUUACCCUUUUCUUGGGCUCUUCUAAUAACUUUCCAUGAUUAAGGUAAUCAAUGAUGAGGUGACGCCAAUCCUCCUUUUCAAUCUCAUGGACAAAAAUAUGAUAAACAUUUUCUUCUCCACCAUUAUCUUCUUCAUCGAAUAUCGAAGAUAUGACCCAAUUUUGAUAUAUCGAAAUUUGAUUUUGAUAAGAAGAUAGAGUGAUCAUGGACGCCAACCUUGCCAAAGAGUUAACUUGUUGGUUGAAUUUUCUAGAGAUAUGUUCUAUAGUGACAUUGUCGAAAUAUCCCAUGAGUUGCCUUGCAUACUUAUAAUAUGGGAUCAAUUCAGUUUUUUUGAUAUCAAAAAUACCAAAAAGUUGAUUUACCACUAAUUUUGAAUCACCAUAGAUUCUAACAUACAAAUGCUUCAUGUUUAUGGUCGUUUCAAGACCGAGAAUUAACGCCUGAUAUUCGGUCAUAUUAUUUGAAUACCGACGUGUUAAAGUGAAAAAAUACGGCAAUAUAUCUGCUUCAAGAGUAUAAAAGACAACUUCCGCAUCAGCUCCAUCACGGUGAGCAACUCCAUAGAAAUACAUUGACCAUGGAGUUUCGAUCAUAAAUACUUCUUCAUCGGAGAGUUCAUCAGUCAACUCCCACUCGGCAGGCAUAGGAUGAUCAGUUAGAAAGUUUGCCAAUAUUUGUCAUUUGACAAGCUUUACUGGUACAUAAAUAAUUUCAAAUUGUUGAAAUUGAAGGUACUAUCUCGCAAGUCAGUCAAAUAGUACAGAUUUUGUCAUGACAUAUUUAACGGGAUUAGACUUGGAUAUGAGUCGGACAGUGUGUGCUUGAAAAUAAUGUUUCAACUUCUGAAUGGCAAAUAUAAAUGUCAAACACAACUUCUCGAUAGGUGAGUGAUUCAACUCAUUAGAUGUCAUCAUCCGACUCAAGUAAUACAGCUCAUUCUCCUUACCGUCAUCAUUUUCCUGAGCAAGUAAGGCUCCAAUCGACCGUUCUUGAGCGAAAAUAUAAAGGAUCAAUGGUUUUCCUGAAAUUGGCGCCGCUAACACAGGGGGAUUCAUAAGGUACGUUUUAAUACUUGUAAAAAUAUUUCUACAAGCUACAUCCUACUCGAAGGGUGCUCCUUUUUUUAUCAGUCAACUGAAAGGUUAGCAUCAUUCGGCCAAAUUAGAGAUAAACCUCCGGAUGUAAGCCAACUUUCUUUGAAGAUUUUUCAAUUCAUGGAUAUUUCUCGGUUCAGACAUAUUUAUAAUGGCAUCAAUUUUAGAUCUAUCGACCUCUAUUCCCCGUUGAUGAACGAUGAAAUCGAGAAAUUUAUCAGAAGUGACUCCAAAUGCGCACUUCAAAGGAUUCAUCUUCAGUUGGUAUCUCCAAAGGCGUUGAAAAAUAUUUCGAAGGUCUUGAAUAUAACCUUCUCGCUUUUUUGAUUUCACCACAAGAUCAUCAACGUAGCACUCCACAUUUCUAUGGAGCAUAUCAUCAAAAAUUCUUUGUAUUGCCCUUUGAUAUGUCGCUUCAGUAUUUUUCAAGCCAAACGGCAUCACUCUAUAGCAAUAAAUUCUCUUGAAAAUGUGAGAGGCAGUAAGCUCCUCAUCCUCGGCUGCCAUACAUAUUUGCUUGUAAUCAGACGAUCCAUCAAGAAAAAAUAGUGUUUCAUGUUCUAUUGUAGCAUCUACUGUCAAUUUUGUGAUGGGGAGUGAAAAAUCAUCUUUGGAACAAGUCUCAUUUAAGUCUCGAAAAUCAAUACAAAUUCGGAUUUGAUCAUUCUUCUUCCUUACAGGGACGAUGCUUGAAAUCCACGUUGGAUAUUUCACUUCUCAUAUGAGUCCAAUUUCAAUCAAUUUAUUUAUCUCAUUUUCUAUCAAAGGAAUCAAUGCGGGUCGAAAGUGUUUUUGAGUUUGCUUGACAAGUUUUGUUCCUCGCUUGAUAGACAAAUUGUGAGCAUCGACCUUUGGAUCCAAACCAAGCAUUUCUGAGUAAUUCCAGGAAAAUAUAUCCUUGAAUUCGAGCAGUAAAUCAACAUACUCUUUCUCUUCUUCAGGAGUCAUACAAGAACUUAUAUAAAUUGGACGAGGGUCAUCACUUGUGUCAAGGUUAAAUUUUUUUAACAUAUCGACUAUAUUUUUUACUCCUUGUUCAAAUUCAGGGGGAGCGUCAUCCGCAUCUUCUUCUUCUUCUUCUUCUUCUUUUCGGGAUCACUGAUCGAAUAUGAUAGCAAGAAUCAAUACUUUUUUAACCAUAUUCUUCAAAAAUUGUUUCGAUUCUUACGUUAAACAAGUUUUCAUAAUGCAUAAAGAAAUUGAAAACUCGUUUUCUCGGACCAUUCUUUUUAAUUGGAGUAAGAUUUUCUUCUUUGAUAACUUGGUACUCUUAUUUUUUACUGCCUAAUUUCUCAUAGACGGGCGGUUUCAAAUUCUACAAUUACGGGCCAAGUCGAUCAAAUACAAAAGUACGUUUUGACUUAUUUUCCAAUCUAUUGAAAACAGAUCUCUUUCGGCUUGUGACCGCCAUUUCUUCGUUCAUAUAAUUACAACUUGCCCUUUUAAUCAUUAUACGAACAGGAGAAGGUGUUCGAGAAGGCGGUCAAUAACCAAGACUCAUCAACGAACUUUUAACAUUAUAGGCUCUUUCUUUCAACAUUUUCUACGUAGGUGUCAAUCUAUGAGUUUUCUUGCCAGUCACUUCAGGAGGAAGUUUAUCCAAUGUAUUCUUCUCAUUUGGAUUAUAACCCGUCUUAGCAAGAAGUCUAUAUGCGUUUGGAUCAAAACCUUCUUGAGUCCGAUUAAUUGAUAGUGAGUAAUGUUACACUACAGUUCUUCUUUGGGAUGGACAACCCCUUCCAAGUUCAUUUUCUUACUUUUAACAGGCUCUAUUUUAGUAAGUGAAACAUUUAAUGCGUCAUUUCUGAUAAAAGAAGACUGACAUUCUUCUUUCUUUGAUUUUGGAAUAUAACGCAAAAUGGAUACUUUGAAAUUUUGACUUUCUUCCCUUACUGAUUAUUUUCUUUUUACUUCUUUUUGAAGAUAAAAUUUGGCAUCAACAAAGUGAGUCUCAGUUUCAGUGAAAGGUUUAUCAUCGGCAGUAACUUUUUUAACUAUACCAUCUCGAUAAUAUUUGAAACAUUGAUGAAGAGUAGACGGUAUAAUUUCAUUUUCAUGAAUCCAGGGUCUUCCAAAAAGCAUGUUAUAAGAGGUUUUGGCGUCAAUAAUAUGAAAUAACACACUUGAAGACAACUCAUCAAUGAGCAAUUCAAACCUUAUGAGACUAAUUGCUCUUUGCCCCCUUGGUUAAAUCCUUGGAUCAUGAGGCGGCCCUGGGAGAGCUCAUCGUUUGAAAUUUCUAGUUCUUUCAUAGCACGUACAAACAUGAUAUUGACAGCAGAUCCCCCAUCAAUGAGUAUCCGAUUCAUCUUCUGUUUUCGGACAUAUGCACUAACAAACAAAAGUCGAUUAUGAAUUUUGAAAUCAACUGUUAAAUCGUUAUCAUAAAAAAUGAUAGUCAUUGCAUAAUCCACCAGUGAUUUAUCAUCGAUUUUGAGCUUUUUCUCAAAUUCAGUGCUAAUUUGUGCGGUUUGAGGAUUUUCAGCUUUGACAGCAUUACAAGAAAUAGAAUUAUCAUUAUCGUCACUUAAAUACCCCUUGGACAUAAAUUCUCUCAGUGUCACAGGUUGUCGAACCUCUUGAAGGAGUUAAAAAUUUGAAGAAAUUGGUGUUGUGGCCACUAGGCCUGCUGAUGACUCGAGCUGCUCGCGAGCAGCUUGAGUCAAAGCUCAGCUUGAGCUCAGUCAACACGAGCUCGAGCCGAGCUCGAGCCUUCAUUUCUUAGGCUCGAUAACUCGACGAGCUGCUCGUUAGACUCGAAUAGAUAUGAAAUUACAAAAAAAUCCCCUUUAUUAGGUUACCUAAAUUUCGUUCCUCACUUUCACUUCCUCUAAUCGAACAACUUCCUCCGUCGACUGUCCCAGCUCCACCACCAUCUAGCCCAUCUCUGAAAACCAUCUCCAAUUCCACAUGGGAUCUUAUCAAAUCUUUCAUUUCCUCCAACUAUGAUAACAAGACCUUAAAUGAUGGUGUCAGUGGCCUCGGAUGGUCCUACGAGGACCCUUCUUCCAGUCCAUUCGCAGAAUUGGAUGCAAACAAACACGCCAUCCAUAGCUAUAGCGGCCGCCGCUGCCGCCGCCGUUGCCGAGGCUGCUCUUGUUGCCACUCAGGCAGCUGCAGAGGUCGUCAGGUUGACUAGUGCCAGCAUGGCUGCUGCUGUGACUAGAACUGUUUCCUUUUCUCCUCCGGGCAGCAGCGGCAGAGACUGGCAGCAAGAAGUGGCGGCUAUUAAGAUUCAGUCGGCUUUAGAGCUUACUUGGUUAGUGAUUUUUUCAAAAAGAGGAUAUCACUAAAGAUAUAGUUAGUAAAGUGUCUGGAUAUGAAAGAAAGUAAAAGUAGGUCCGAGAAGUAUAUUAUUCUUUCCCUAGAUGUGAUUCUGUCGGCACCAGAGUUUUUUAGUUCAUUAUGUAAAGAUCUAAUCAGAGUUUGAACUACUGGUUUUCUUUUCACAGGGCUAAAGGGAGAAAAUUUUAAUGAAAUUGCAUAUCCAGCUCUUCCAAAUAAAAGAUCUGAGAGCUUACUGCUGCAAUUUUUCUUGAUGUGUUCUAACGGGUAACUAUUGCUUGGCAUCUCAAUAUGGGAUUUUGACGAAGUGAACAUGCAUGUCUUUGAGGGUCUCGGAGUUCACGUGCUUACAUUUUUCUUGAAUUAUUGUGUUUGUAGUGGCUAUGCAGUAGGUUAACAUAUUACAGCUCAUUUUGAUUCAAGAGCUUGAAUCAAUUAGUCCGAUAACCAAUAUAAUUUCUAUCAAAACUUUAUCCAAUUAGAUUGGUGAUUUUGUGAGCAUUUUUCAUAUUUUGCUUGAAGAUUACCCUCCUUUAGUUUCUGAUGUAAAUUUUAUCAUAUUUACCACAUCACCGCUAAGCACUGUUUAAGUAAAAUAUUUUUAGAAGUGGCCUCCUGAUGGUGUCUGUUUUGUACUGUAGAAAUUCAUUCUUUCUUUCUUCAAGUUUACUUUCUAUGUGAUGCGGCCACUGCACUUCUCUUUCCCAAUAACUUAAGCUGAUUUCGAGCUCGAGCUCCUGACGAGCUAAAUUCGAGCGAAACGCGUGCCAAAAAUUGAGCAAAACUUGAGCAGCUCGCGAGCCAGAAUUCGAGCUAGGCUCGCGAGCCAUAAGCGAGUUGAUCUCGAACUUGCCUUUUUCUAAAUCGAGCCGAGCCCGAGCUUUAUUUUACGAGUUUGACGAGUUUGAGCUCAAACUCGAGUUCAUAUAUAAAUAAGUCUAACCCGACUCAAUAAUUUUAAAACUCGAUUUGACUCGAUUCAUUUGCACCCUUAGUGGCUACUCCUUUUUGUUUCUUUAUUGUACUUCGUUGUUUCGUUGUCACUUUAGUUUUUGUCGAACGAAUGAUUUUCAAAAAGAUAUAUUUCUUUAUCUUUGGCUAAUAAGUCCCCUUUCGAGUGAUUAAAGUCCAUCCUUCAUUACCAUCUUCAAUAAUAUUUUCAAUUGAAGAAUUUUCAAACUCCCUUUUUAUAGACAGAGCAUUGCUUAAUAUGGAUAGAACUACUAUCGGACAAUAUACAGAACCAAACAUUAUUGUUGUUUGAUUUACGGAUACUUUAUCCUCCUCGAGAAGGAUUUUUUUUUACCGGGCUAAUUCCAUAAUUUUAUCAUUAAAGACAAAAUAUUUAGUGAGAGGGUGGCCAAUCAAGUGAUGAUAAUAGCAAUAGUUUGAAUCAUUGACUUAACCGGCUUCCUCUGGGCACUUCAUGUCGGAAAGUUCAAGGAGUUUCUCUUUGAAAAGAUAAUCAAACAUCCCCUGUAGAUCAGAUUCAAGGAAAGGGUAUUCUUUUUCUUGCAUUUCUUUUAGAGUGGGUCUUCUUACUGACCUAUUUUGGAAGGAAUCUAACUUCUUAGUGACCUUUCGGCUCACUUUGGUAACAAUUUUUAUGGGAGUUGGGUUUAUUGUCAUAGACUCCUUAUUACUGAGUCUUGAAGGAAGCUUGCCCCCUUUUUUAUUUUCUUGUCUUUCAUUGUUUUGAUGGGGCGGUUGUACUCACGGAGCUUGAACAGGAAGCCCGUCAGUUGCAUUGGCAGUGAUACUUAAUUCCAUAUCAUAAGCACGAGUAGCUAAUUCUUCAAAUGUGUUUAGACGUAUGCCUUGUAGAAUGUAACUUAAACUCCAAUGCAUUCGUCGGAUGCACAUUUCUAUGGCAGAGGGUUCAGACAGUCUAUCUUUGCAGUUAAGACUCAAACAUUUUCACCUAUCAAUGUAGUUGACCACGGGUUCAUCUUUCCAUUGACGAGUGUUAAUCAAUUCUAGCAUGCUAACGGUUCUUCUAGUACUGUAGAAGCGAUUCAAGAACUCUUACUCAAACUGUUCCCAACUGUUAAUGGACCCCGGUGUGAGAUCAGAGCAUCAAUCAAAUGUAUUGCCCUUCAAGAACUGAACAAACUGUUUGACUAGCAGGUCACCAUAGGUUCCAGCAGUAUUACAAGCCUCGAUGAAAUGGGCCACAUGUUAUUUUGGACUGCCUUUUCUAUUGAAUUGUUGAAACUUAGGCAGUUGAUAUCCAGCAGGUAUUGUUAGGUUGUCAAUUCUAGUAGUGUAAGGUUUGGAGUAGGUAAAGCUGACUUUGAUCCACCCUCUUUUUUGUUUUUAAUCACGUCUUCAACAAGUUCCAAGUUCCUUCAGUUGUUCUACAGGGAUAGUUUUUUCGGCGGUCAUAUAUACUUCCUUCACCUUGUUCUUGCCUUUAGAUGAGGGGAUUUCACACUCUUAGUGCUCCUUAGGGUUCACAUGACUUCCUUCAGGAGCGUGAUCUUUCUAGGUGAGCAGUUGAGUGAUAAGAGCAUCUUGAUCCUUGAUGUAUUUCAUCAUAGUCUCCAUCAUCUUGGACAUGUUCGAAACUUGUUCUUCGAGACUUAAAAGUGUUUGUCAUCAUAGCAGACAUUGCAGCAGAAGAAGCAGCAAAAUCUUCAAUACAAAACUUUGAUUGAAGAAUUUCAUGUAAAGAGGUUGACCCAGUGCUUGAUGAAUCAUCAUCAUGCUUAGAAAAUUUGGAUCUGGAUCCAAAUUCGAGCAUGGCAAGAGCUUUCUCAAUCGAGGCAGGAACGUCUUUGAUCUCUAUCGUGGAAGAAUAGCUCAUUGGUGAUGUUGCACCAAAUAAGGGAGUUGACGCCGACGAAGCUUCCAUGCUACUUUAGGUGGAAGUUCUCGUCAUACUCCUUGUUAUAAGACCAAUAGCGCGAGUAUUGGUGGCAACAUGUGCAGUUUUCUGAACAGAUUUGGCAUUAGUAGCCUUGGAACAAGCAGUCAUGAACUUGUUCUUCUUUGGUGCCAUUAGUGAUAUAUGUAGUUGAAUAUUCGAGAAGAACAAAUGGAAGGCAGAGAUGGUCCCAUCGGGCGUGCCAAAAAUUUGUAUGCGAUAAAAUUUUUAAAUCUGCAAAACGACAAGAAAAAAUACACGACAAAUACGUAAUAUAUAAAUUUAAGAAAAUAUGUGAGUACAAUCUCCGAAAUUUUCUUGAACUUGUAGAGAGUUUCCUUCAAUUCUUCUCCUUGAACGCCAAUCUAAGGCUUCACAGCUUAUUCUUGGAUUAAUCACCGAUUCCUUCAAAUCUUGAUAUGGAAAAUUUGAAGAACUUUAGAAGAUAUUUGAAGACUCAAGUCCUGAUAUACGGGAGACUUGGAGAGCUUGAAUGAUGCGAUUGAGCACGAGACCCAAAGUGUACAAGUAGACCCUGUGAAGGUGCCCUUAGACCCAGUGACACGAGCACGAGCUAAGAGAUUCAAGGAGUCCCUCCAAGCCUUGGUACGUGCCAUCCAAAUCCAAGAGAAACCGGCCAUUGAAGGAAUUGAGUUGGAAUAUCCUUGCACGACUACUAAAAUGCUGCUUACAAUUGAAGAUGCAAGUGUUCAAGCUCCAAAUAGCGGGCCAAGCUGCAGUUAAGUAUUCUCGCUGAGCCGUACGGGGAUCUCGCUUAAGAUCUAUAGUUAGUUGGGCUAGCUUUCGGUCAAGUGGAGGCCCAAGGGCCUUGCCGAACUUUCCUUGUUAUCUUUCCAGUUUAUUAGGUUUUAGUCACGGCUAUUAAUAGCCUCAAGCCGCAUGUUACAUUGAGUUUUUGAGAGUAUUGAAUAAAAUUUCCAGAAUUUCGUCCAUUCCUUGUGGCAAAUUCCCUUAGCUUGUGAAAGAUAAGUUGAACAUCCUAGAGUUGAUCCUAGGCUGUUCUUGACUUAUCAAUCAAGCACACAUACUUGAUUGUGGCGUCCUCUACCGUUAAAUCUGUUCUUGAGUGGUCCAAGUUCAGAUUCAACUCCAUCAAAUCUUCAUCGUGUUCCUCUAGAUCCGAAGUAGCUUCCGCGUCUCGCAUCAUUGAAGAUCCAGACCUUUGUAGUUUGGAGCUUCGAUACUUGAGCGUAUGAGAUGCCUCUUCGUGUGUUUUUUUGAUUUGGUUGAGAGACCCUUAUUUAUAGUUGUAGCAAGAGGUAGAGGCUGAAAACAUGUAUACCACUUUACUUGCCUUGUAAGACAUGCAGUCAUAUUAGGAUUGUGCCAACUUAAAUAUUAUCUCUUUAUUUUAUAUUUAUUAAUAAAGAGAUAAUACCAAUAAAUAGUCCCUUGAUUGGCCAAACUUGUGGGGACUUAUGACAUGGCGCCGUUUGAUUGGACAAACUAUUGUAAUAUAUAAGAAAUAUACUUGGAUUAAACAAUUCUAAAUAUUAUCUCUUUAAUAAAAAAUAAAUAUUUAGAUAUUCAUUUGUAUUUUGCUAAGUCAUAAAGACAUGUGACGUGGCGUAAUUUAAUUGGCAGGAAUAUCCUGACAAUUUUUAAUUGGCCGCAACACCUCAUCUUGACAUGUGGAGAGACAUAAUUGGCUGACGAAUAGCCAAACUUUCGAGUGUGCAUGACAUGUGGCAAUAUCCGAUUGGCUAAGUAUAAGCCAUAGGAAUAUUUUAUAGACCAAUGGUAAUUUUAGAAUUAAUUAAAAUUUUAUUGUCUACAGAUAUGCUUUCAUGUUGUGGUGAAAUGACAGAGACAUUGGAACACAUGCUGUUCUUCUGCUAGCAUGCUGAGUUAAUAUGGAUGGCUGCUCCCAUUUGUUGGGAUGGUCUUAAUAGGUACAGGAACAAUUUCUAGCAUUGGUGGAAUAGUUUGGUGAAGGCUAAGGAGAGGAAGGAAGGCAAAAGUCAUAUUGAAAUGACCAUUAACAUACUAUGACAAAUUUGGAAGUCAUGAAAUCUGAUUUAGUUGAGUAAUGAUAGGAAAUGCCUGGGCUUAACUAUUGGUAAAAGUUGUACAGGAAUGGAAGGAGUACUCUAAGAUAAGUAAUAAAAUGGGACAGCUUAAAAAGGAGGGAAGGGAAGUAGAUAUAGAGUGGGGAAAUGGUCGCCACCACAACAAGAUUUUAUUGCUUAAACACUGAUGUAGCCUUGAGGUAAAAGGAUGGAAAGAUUGGCUGGGAAGUGGUGGCUAGAUGUAGUAGAGGUAAUGUGAUUGGAGCCUGGGUAGGAAAUGAACAGAGAUGUGGUGAGCCUGCAGUGGAAGAAGCUAGGGCGAUCAGGAAACCUUUGAUCAUUGUUAAGCAAAACAAGUGAGAGAACAUAGUUAUACAAUCGGAUUGCAAGAUAUUGAUUGAGAAGAUCAAACUAGAAAGUAUGGAGAGUCCAUUGGCCAGUGCUGUAUUAUUUGACAUACCAAGGAUUAGCAAAGGCUUUUGUAACUGUUUCUUCUCCUUCAUCAAAAGGAAGGAAAUGUUGCGUCGCAUUGUUUGGAAAAUUUGCCUUAAAUUUAGUUGCAGAAAUAGCUUGGAGAGUUUCAUUUCCUAGCUGGCUGAUUGGUUUAGCCAAAAAUGAUGUAGAAGUGAUUGCUUCGAUGAUGUAAGCAUUUUCUGGUUUUUAAUGAAAGUUCUGUUAUCAUUUGGAAAAAAAAAAAAAAGAAACACGAGUGAUCAAUAAAAAGUGUGGUGAAACAUUCUAAAUUUCAUCAAUGAGAGGGAAUGCAGAGUUGACUAUCAAAUGCUAAAUAAAGUAGCUUAACUUCGUAUUUUAGGGGAGUGGGGGUUAAUUAGUUAUAUUAUAAAGGGUUUUGACAAAUAAAAGGGAAUAGGUUAAUUAUUUAUUGAUCAUCAAUAGUGUAUUGAAAUUUAUAAAUAAUGAGUGAGGGGAAACUGAUACUAUUACAUUUUUAUCCCUACCAAUUUUUCCUUUAUCCAACUGAUGCUAUUACAUUUCUAUUUUAGUCAAGUUACUUUAAUGAAAAUGUUAUAGAACUUGCAAGUGACGAGAGUAUGAUACUCCAUUAGAUUUAGAAGACAGAAAGAGAAUGUGUAAUGGGAGUUGAUAAAGAGUAUAAAUGGGUGGUGUUUCUGAGUUCCUUUCUGAGAGUUUUUUGUGAGUUCAUGAAUAAGACAAACCAAUUAUUGAUGUUUUUGUUUUUGCAAGAACUUUUUACCUUUCUCCCUAAUAUAUAUAUAUAUAUAUAUAUAUAUGUAUAUAUGAAAGUAGCUGUUUUAAUCAGAGUUAUUUCUCAUUUCUAUGUGGCAUGCCUAAUUGAAGAGAGUUAAUGUGCUGUGGGUCACUUAAAUUUUACUAAUAUUUAAUCCUAUGUGGAUUACAUUAUAUGCAUAAAAAUUCUCUCUAAUUUUAAAACUAGUUUAAAAUUAACUAAUCUUAUAUUAAUGAUUUCUAUUUUCUAUCCAAUUAUUAUAUAAAACUAUAGUAAAACUUUUUCAAAUCACAAUUAUUAAAAUUUUAUAUAUCCCAUAAAUUACUUUCCUUAACCACCAUAUUAUUGAGUAGCAUUCAAAUUGUUUAUCAUCUCAUUCUUUAAUUUUGAAUUAACUUAGUGUAAAAAAGAGAAUUAAUUAUUACAUUGACAAAUUUACCAAUAUUAUUGAAAACUGAAUAUUUAUUGAUAAAAAAAUGGAUUGCUGGAUCCUUUCUACUUAAUUAAAUAUGAAUAUAUAGUUCUAGAUUUAUGGCCAUUACAAAAAUUUAAAUUAUCUAAAAUAAUGCUUAUAAAAAAAGAAUAUCUACUAAGUUUUUAAUAUAGGGUAUAUUAUUUUAUGUAUAUUAUCAUAUUAUAGUGAGAGUAUGCAAACAAAUUUUUAGAAAUUAGUAAAUAAUUGAACAUUUAGAAUACAUUAAUUUUUUAAAGUUAAUAUGGAUCAACAUAUAGGAUUGUUAUUAAUUUUUGUAUUUAAAUUACUCAUUUUUGUAUAAAUUCACAAUAAAUAAAAAAGACCGUGCUAAGGUAUGGGAAAAAUUCUAGUUUAAUAAGAAAUUUACUUUUUUUCCAAAAAGUUAUUGAAAAACUAUUUUUCUUUAUUUUAAUAUUGGGCCUCACUUUUACUUCCUACAUUACCCUUGACAUUUGGAUUGGAAAUAUUUUAAUUGGCGUUGCUGUCAUAAAAGGAUUUAAGUUGUAGGACUAAAUUAUGCUAAAACAAAGUUAUGGAAUGAAAUCGACAUAAGUAAAAAAAGUUGAAGUGCUAAAAUGGCCAUUUUCCUGUAGAAAAAUGAUCAAAUGUAAUGUUGGUAUUGCUGUGCUUGAACGUUAUCUAACCCCAAUCAACUUGUGAACAAGUGCACUAUCUUCCAAACAAUUGGUAACAUCCAACCAUUUGCUAACAAUGAAACCAAGAAGUAGAUUUCAACUUUCUUUUCUAUAGAUUAAAUUUGUACUGAAUAUUGUCAUUAAUUCUGUGGACAGCCAUGUUAUGUUCAAAACAGUUUGCUUUUCCUCAUCAAUGAAACAAAAAUAAAGGUAAAUCCUGAACAUCGUGAGCCAUUAUCCUAUCUCAAAAUACCUACCUCAAAAAACCUUCUUGUUUCCUAGAAGGGACAAUGACAAGGUGACAUUAGUACUAGGAAACCAUGUGAGAAACAUCAUCAAGGGUAGAAGGGCUAGUUCAAGUUACUCCUAUAAAUUGUGAUUCGGAAAUGCCUUUGUUGGUUUUUUUUCAAUGGCCACAAUUGUAGACUUUUGGCAAAAUUUAUUAUCCCACAUCGGUAGGAUUAUGAGAUAGGAAGGUUUGUUAGAAUUAUAAAUAAACUCUCUACCUUCCCAAUCCAGAUGUACCAACACCAAAGAAUUAUUUAUAAUUCUUUCUUCUCCUAAAAAUUAUUAAGAGCGGGCUGCUUGAGCAGUGCUCGGAAAUUAGGGAAAAAUGGGCGAACUUCAUUAUCAAUUUUUUAGGUGCGUUCUUUCCUUAUCUCUUUUAUUUAUUCCGCAUUUAUUUAGUAAUUUCUUUUCUAUUGUGGUAUAGUAUUCAAUAUAUUUGACGGAUAUAUUUGUAGGGUUUUAUACGGUUUAUUUGGGUAUAUUUUCUUAUUUGUGUGUACGUAUUAUUUAUGUAUACACGAGUCUAGUUAUGAUAAUACACCGUGCACGUAAAUUCUAUCUAGGAGACUGGAUUUUAAGUAGGACCGCUUGUGACCCCUCCAGUCUUUUCUAAAAAUUUACUUGGAAUGGUAAUUCUAUCUAAGGAGAUUGUUUUGACGAUCUAUUCUGAGAAUUACUGAAUCAGUUUAAUCACUAAUUGAAUAUUUGAGUGAGAAAUUACCUGAUUUUCCCAACAAGUGAUAUCAGAGUCGAAGGUUCGUCCUUUGGCUUGUUUAUAAUUUAUUAUAUAUUGAAUACUAUCAUUUGAGUCUGUAAUGGCAUCAAACGAUUCCACAUCAAGAAUUACAUCUGGGGUAUCGGCUUCCUCGUCCACAUGGUCGAGAACUCCAAUGUCAAGUUCGAAGCUGGUGGUGGAGAUAUUUGACGAUACUGGCCAUUUCGGUAUGUGGCAAUGUGAGGUCAUAGACUCCCUUUUCGAACAGGGCAAGACUCCCUUUUCGAACAGAGCCUUGAUAUUGCCAUUGAAGAAAAGAAACCAGAUGACAUAGAAGAGAAGGAGUGGAGUACCAUAAAUCGGUUGGCAUGCGGAACUAUUCGAUCGUGUUUGUCCAGAGAGCAAAAGUAUGCUUUCAAAAAUGAAACUUAUGCAUGGAAGUUGUGAAGGGCAUUGGAGGAGAAAUUUUUGAAGAAGAAUGGUCAGAAUAAACUCCUAAUGAAGAAAAGAUUAUUCCAAUUCGAUUACCAAUCAGGUACUACUGUGAAUGAACAUAUCACUAUGUUUAAUCAGUUAAUAGCAGACCUGUUACAUUUAGAUAUGAAAUUUAAAAAUGAAGAUUUGGCUUUGAUGUUGUUAUCAUCCUUUCCUGAUGGAUUUGAACAUUUGGAGAUUACGUUACUUCAUAGGAAGGAGAAUGUGUCUUUAGAUGCUGUAUAUUUUGCUUUAUAUAGUCAUGAAUUGAGAAAGUAGGAUAAAAUAAAAAAUAAAGGAGUUACAGCAGAUGAAGUAUUAGUGGUAAGAGGUCAUCAACAAAGCCAAUCAAAGAGGAGAAGAGGAAGGUCCAAAUCGAAAAGCAGAGUUGCUAAAGAUGAGUAUGCUUUCUGUUGUGAGAAAGGACACUGGAAGAAAGACUGUCCAAAGUUGAAGAAGAAAGGAAAAGUUCCACAAGACGUAAGUGUUGCAGAGUGCAAAAGAGAUGCGAAAUCAGAUUUCUCUUUGGCUGUAUCACCUUCAACAUCCCAUCCAGAUGAGUGGAUUUUGGAUUUAAGUUAUACCUACCAUAUGUCUCCCAUGCGGGAGUGGUUCUUUGAAUUUGAAGAACUUGAUGGUGAAUUGUUUACAUGGGAAAUAAUAAUCCAUGUAAAACAGUUGGGAUAGGUUCAAUCAAACUGCGUAAUCAUGAUGGAUCCACCAGAAUCAUGAAGGAUGUUUGGUACGUACUGAAUUUGAAGAGAAAUCUCAUCUCCUUGAAGCUUUUGGAGUCAAAAGGCCUGGAAGUGAAGAUGCGAAAUGGAAUUCUUAAAGCAACUUCAGGAGCACUUGUGAUGUUAAAAGGUGUGAGGAAAAAUAAGCUAUAUUACUACCAAGGUAAUACAGUUGUUAGGACAGCAGCAGUAGUAACAUCUUCCAGUAGCAAGAAAGAUGCGGAGGCAACAAAGUUGUGGCACAUGCGAUUGGGACAUGCUGGUGAAAAAUAUUUGCAAAAUCUUGCCAAGCAAAGAUUGUUGAAAAGUACGAAAGCUUGCAAAUUAGAAUUUUGUGAGCAUUGUAUUCUGGGAAAACAAAGAAGAAUGAAAUUUGGCACUGGCAUCCAUAAUAUCAAGGGUAUUUUGGAUUAUGUGCACUCAGAUAUGUGGGGACCUGCCAAGACUCCAUCCCUUGGUGACAGGUACUAUUUUGUCACUUUUGUUGUUGAUUUUUCAGAAGAGUUUGAGUGUUUACUAUGAAGAACAAGGAUGAAGUGCUAGGAAAUUUUCUUAAAUGGAAAGGUCAGGCUGAAAACCAGACGGGAAGAAAGAUCAAGAUUCUCCGAACAGACAACGGUGGAGAAUACAAGAAUGAUCCCUUCCAGAAGAUAUGCCAACAGUGUGGCAUAGUUCGGCAUUUCACAAUUAGAAGAACACCAUAGCAGAAAUGGGGUGUCAGAGCGCGUAUGAACAAGACACUAGUGGAGAAAGUACGUUGCAUGCUGUCUAAUGCUGGGUUAUACAGAAAAUUUUGGGCUGAGGCUGUGACAUACACUUAACAUCUCGUCAAUCGCUUGCCAUCAUCUGCAAUAAGUGGCAAGACUCCAUUAGAGGUAUGUUCUGGAAAAUCUGCAAUAGAUUAUGAUUCUUUGCAUAUUUUUGGUUCUACAAUAAAUCAAAGUUGGAUCCACGUGCAAAGAAGGCUCUCUUUAUGGGCUUUAAUGUUGGAGUUAAAGGAUACCGUUUGUGGUGUCUAAAAGCAAAGAAGACUAUUAUUAGCAGGGAUGUUACCUUUGAUGAAACUACCAUGUUGAAUAAGGUAACACAAGAUGGAACAGGUGGAGUGUAUGCCGAAACAGGUGGAGUUUGAGCAAAUAGUGAGCCCAACAAAUAGCACCAUCAGUGACUCUCCCAUGGUAGAAGAGGAGUCAGAUGAGGAAGAGGUUUCAACCCAAAAACCUCAACAGCAACAAGAAUCAAUUGCCGUCAAUAGGUCAAAACGAUAAAUUCAAAAACCUGCUCGUUUUGCUGACAUGGUGGCCUAUGCACUUCCAGUUGUUGAUGAUGUUCCAUCCACUUUUUCUGAAACAGUUCGAAGUACAAAAAAUGGUAAAUGGAAAGAUGCUUUGGAAGAAAAGAUACAAUCUCUUCAGAAGAAUAAGACGUAGAAGUUGACGCAACUACCGAAGGACAAUAAGGAAAUUAUGCAAGUGGAUAUUUGCAAAGAAAGAAAGAUUUCCUGACAAGAAUGAUGUUCGCUACAAGACAAGAUUGGUGGCUAAAGGUUACGCUCAAAAAGAGGGAGUUGAUUAUAAUGAGGUAUUUUCUCCAAUUGUUAAACAUUUCUCUAUUAGAAUUUUGUUGGCCUUCGUAGCACAGUUAAAUUUGGAGUUAGCUCAACUUGAUGUGAAAAUAGCAUUCCUUCACGGUGACUUGAAGGAGAAAAUCUAUAUGUCUCAGCCAGAUGGAUUUAAAGUUGCUGGUAAAGAGGAUUGGGUUUGUAAGUUGAGCAAAUCGUUGUACGGAUUGAAACAAUCACCGAGAUAAAGGCAAUGGUACAAACGAUUUGACCAGUUUAUAAUGGGUCAGAAGUACACAAGAAGCAAAUACAAUUACUGUGUGUAUUUGCGCAAGCUACGAGAUGAUUCCUAUAUCGACUUACUCUUGUACGUUGAUGAUAUGCUGAUAGCGUCAAAGAGCCAAGUUGAAAUUGACAAAAUGAAGAUUCAGUUGAGUAAGGAGUUCGAGAUGAAGAAUUUGGGAGAAGCUAAAAAGAUUUUCGGCAUGGAGAUAAGCAGGAAUAGAACGAGAGGCAAGUUUUGUCUGACACAGAAGCAGUAUUUGAAUAAGGUACUACAACGUUUUGGUAUGAAUGGAGAUUCAAAAUCUGUAAGUACUUUGCUUGCUCCUCAUUUGAAACUUAGUAGCCUAUUAUCUCUAAAGACGAAUGAAAAACGGGUAUACAAGGCAAAAGUCCCGUAUGCUAAUGCAGUUGGUAGCUUGACGUAUUCAAUGGUAUGUACUAGACCUGACAUUUUACAAGCAAUUGGUGUGGUAAGCAGGUUUAUGCAUUAUCCGAAUAAGGGUCAUUGGAAAACUAUGAAAUAGAUUCUACGGUAUAUCCAAGAUACUGUAAAUGUUGGAUUAUAUUUUGAGCAGGAUGAAUCACUUAGUCAAUGUAUAGUUGGAUAUUGUGAUUCUGACUAUACAAGUGACUUGGAUAAGCGACGUUCUACGACUAGCUACUUGUUCACGUUUGCUAAGGCGUCAGUUAGUUAGAAGUUUACUUUGUAGUCAACGGUGGUUUUAUCUACAACGGAGGCAGAGUAUAUGGCAAUUACAGAAGCUAUGAAGGAGGCAAUUUGGUUUCAAGGACUAUUUGAAGACUUGGGAAUUGGUCAAAAAUACAAUGACGUGUUUUGUGACAGUCAGAGUGCUAUUUACUUAGCAAAGAACCAGGUCUUGCACACAAGAACAAAGUACAUUGAUGUUCGCUAUCACUUCGUACGGAAAAUUCUCGAAGAAGAGGAGAUUUUUCUUCAGAAGAUUCGGACUACAGAGAAUCCUGCAGAUAUGCUGACCAAGGUGGUUACAAGGUCCAAAUUUGAACAUUGUUUAGACUUGGUCAAUAUCCUGCACAUUUGAGUUGGCGUCUAACGGCGCAAAUUUGGAAGCACCACAAACCCUAUUUGUUAUUUGUUUAAGGGAGAAGGUUUGUAUUUUUUGGUGGGAUUAGAAAUUAUGCCAAGGUGAAGAUUUGUUGAUUUUUUUUCAACGGCCACAAUUGUAGACUUUUUGGUAAAAUUUAUUAUCCCACAUCAGUAGGAUUAUGAGAUAGGAAGGUUUGUGAGAGUUAUAAAUAAGCUCUCUAACUUCCCAAUCCAGAUGUACCAACACCAAAGAAUUAUUUGUAAUUCUUUUUUCUCCCAAAAACUAUUAAGAGCGGGUUGGUUGAGCGGUGCUCAGAGAUUAGGCAAAAUUGGCCAAACUCCGUUAUCAAUUUUUCGGGUGCGUUCUUUCUUUAUUUCUUUUAUUUAUUCCGCAUUUAUUUAGUAGUUUCUUUUCUAUUGUAGUAUAGUAUUCAAUAUAUUUGUCAGGUAUAUUUGUAGUGUUUUAUACGGUUCAUUUGGGUGUAUUUUCUUAUUCGUGUGUACGUAUUAUUUAUGUAUACACGAGUCUAGUUAUGAUAAUACACUGUGCACGUAAAUUCUAUCUAGGAGACUGGAUUUUAAGUGGGACCGCUUGUGACCCCUCCAGUCUUUCCUGAAAAUUUAUUUGGAAUGAUAAUUCUGUCUAAGGAGAUUGUUUUGACGAUUUUUUCUGGGAAUUUUUGAAUCGGUUUAAUCACUAAUUGAACAUUUGAGUGAGAAAUUACCCGAUUUUUCCAACAGCCUUAUCCUCCCUUCUUGUUCAAGGCGCUAAAAAUCAUUGUUUAGGUGGUACAAAUUUGGGUGAAUGUUGCAAUUAACCCUACUAGCUACUGUUUAUUUCAGUUAAUAUGCAACUCAAAGUAUUAAAUUAACAUUUGUCUGUUGAAAAUGGUAGUGUUUCAAUCUGUUAUUUUGAUUAGAGAUAAUGGUGGAGAAGGGGAUCUGAGACAACAGAAUAAUACCAUUUGACGUAUGUUCGUUUAAGAUAUACUUUCAUUAAUAUCAUUCAAAUCAUUGACCAAAAUCCAUGAUACCCUUAGAAAUAAACUCAAACACCUAACACCUUGAACAUCACGAGCAACAUUUUGACUCUUCUUGUAGCUUUGCUCUCAUCCUAAUUUAAAAUGACAUUCUCACGUUCAACAUUUUUCCAUUUUUUUUGGCUUUUGUCUUUUGUUCCCUUAUCUAAAACAUCAGUAGCUGCAAUAGGAGACAACAGUAUUGGACAAUUACAUACAUGCACAAUUUUCCAUCUAAAAUUGCAUGGCUAUAGACACGUCUGACUUCUCAUCAUCCUCAGAGGAAAACGCCGUCAAAUGAAAUUUCUUAAACCUUUCUUCAGUAACUUGAUCCAAAUGAUCCAUCAUUUCACUUUCAAGAUAGUUUUGGGAAUCAUCAAUCUGACCUUCCCUGAAAAAGAUCUUGUUUUCUAUGACCAGAAACCCGAACCCUGAGUGUGAUCCUAUUUUAUUCACAUCCAGGUUGCUCAGAUUCUUAAAACUACAGAGCUCUACCAAUUUACUUACCAGGCUUUCACCUUCUUUGUCUGUUGAGAAAGGCAGCCCCAGGAAUUCUGCUAAUCUCUUUGUAUGGAAACAAGGCUCUUUCUUCAAGUCCUCAUAUCUAAUAAAGAAUACUCUUUCAAGCAAUUCUAUACUUGCUUCCCAACACAUGAUGCCAAUAUGGUCCAUAUGGUGAAACACCCUUAGAGAAGUUUUCAAAUGCCUCUGCUAAUGAAAUUCGUGGUACUGCUUCAGGUUUCAGCUUGAUUACAAAGUGCCAACAUGACACUGGCACAUCCUUUGGGUCUCGAAAAACAUAAACACUAUGGCAGCCUGAAGAUUUUGUAGAUUCUGGUAAAGAGGAGUAAGGAAUGUGAGUGUGCACGAGUGUUAGCACGAAAAAUCCCCGCGCACAGAGUGGAAGCAAUUUCAACACAUAUAAAAAUAUGUGGGAAGAAGAGAAGAACAAAUACAAUAAUUUAUUUAACUCAAACCUUAAUAGUAACAAAUAUUAAGUCGUAGCCUUUUGCUCAUGACAAUUCACAGAUCUCAAUUAUGAGAUUUUCUCUCAAGUAUAAUCUCUGAAUUCAACUCAACUCUCCACUUUUCUUCGAUUAAUAAUUUACUAGACUGAUAGUAUUUAUAGACUCUAAAUCUUCCUAAAACAAAUACAGUUGUAAACCAAAAUUUAUUUAGAAACUGACUCAAGAUUUCCUAAUCUAAUAUGGAAACUAAACAAAUAAAACGUACUAGGAAACUAAUGCUAAAAUAGUUUGGUUUAAUUUCCUUCAUUGCCUCUCUUAAACCAAGGUCUUAAUGUUGUCAUCUCCAAUGCCAUCACGGGCUUGAAUCUCCAUGAAAAAUUCAGUCACGGUAUAAAUGACAUGGAGUUCUAACUUGCAAUUGACCUUCAAUUUCAUCUUCACGCAUGGUAGUGGACGAAACUUGUACUUCUCAACCAACUUCUUGACUUGAUCACUCUUGUCAAAAAAUUUAAACAUCUUCACCCAUAGUCCAUUUGAUACUCCACAAUUUAAUUCAUUCAUAUCACCAAUAAAGUCUCCCAAAACUAGAAAAUCAUAGUUGAUGCUACCAAUGCUUUUAACAUCACCAUGUUUUUCCUUUGCUUUUUUCACACUAACAAUUGCAUCAACUUUAGCAGUAUCACAAUUUUCAAUUAAUUUGUCCACUUCACAAUUGAUCUCAACCAAAUCCAUCACUUAAUUUUUUUUCUUCAAAAAUUCAUCAACCUCGAUAAAGUCAAUAAUUUCUCUAUCAUCAUGAUCUUCAAUCACAUCAUUAAUUUGAUCAAUGAUUUCACUUUCUUUCUCAACCACUUGCAAAAAUUCUUCUUCAAUCACAAUUUCUUCAUCUUCAUGUGUAUCCACAAUUGUUACAAUUUGUUCUUUCUUUACCUCAUCAAAAAUUUCUUUUUCUUCUUCCUCGUCAUAAAUUUCUUCUCCACCAUGACCAUAGGAAUUUAUUAAAAAUUUCCAAGCCUCCUUUGCUAUCUUUACAUGUAUGAAUUUUUUUGCUACAUGUAACUGGACUUGGAUACUGAGAUAGUAGAGUGCCUUGUAAUUCAACUGUCUAUUCCUCUUUAAUUGUUGAACUGCAUCGUUUGAUAAUUCUAUACCUGCUAUAGGUUUCGUGAAUCCCUUUUGGAUAAUAUUCCAAACUCCAAUGUCUUUGAAAAAAUCAUUCAUCAUCAAUCUCCAAGUUUCAAAAUUAUUUUUACCAUCAAAGAUAAAAAAAAAAAAGACAAUGUUGUAAAUAAUGCGGAUCCAUACUUUAAUUUCAAGAAGAAGCCCCAGGAUCAAAGCCUAGAGCUCUACCACUUGUUGGCAUGAAAAAUCCCCGCGCACACAAUGGAAGCAAUUCUAACACAUAUAAAAGUAUGUGGGAAGAGGAGGAGAAUAAAUACUCAAUAAUUUAUUUUACUCAAAGCUUAAUAGUAACAAAUACUAAGUCGUAGCCUUUCGCUCACGACAAUUCACAAAUCUCAAUUAUGAGAUUUUUUCUCAAGUCUAAUCUCUAGACUCAACUCAACUCUCUGCUUCAAUUAAUAACCUACUAGAAUGGUAGUAUUUAUAGACUCUAAAUUUUUCUAAAACAAAAACAGUUAUAAACAAAAACUUAUUUGGAAACUGACUCAAGAUUUCCUAAUCUAAUAUGGAAACCAGUGGUGGAGCCAGAAAAAAUUCUUAGUAGGGGCAAAAGCAACACAAAAAUUUUUUACUUACUCUUUUUCUAGUUUUCUAAGCAAAAAAAAAAAAAAAAAAUUUCACCAACGAGUACAAAUAAUGCAUAUGUUACAUGAAAAACAUAAAAAGACAAAUUCAAAAUUAUUAAUGUAAUAAUAAUUUUAUUUUAAAAACAAACUAAACUAUUAACAAUUGUUCACUACGAAUUUUUAUAUUUUGAUAACUAACUUGGUUGUGGAAGUAAGAAUGGCUCUCGGUUGUGGAGGGAAAACGGGGGACCAGUGGAGGAAAGGGAAAUUGGGAAGUGAGGACAAAGGAAGUGAAUGAUAUGAUUGGAUGAAUUGAUUAAGAAAAAGAGUACCUAACUGCUUAGUUGUGGAAGGUAGUGGCUCUCGGUUGUGGGGGAAAAAUGGGGGACCAAAGGAGGGAAGGAAAAUUGGGGAGUGGGGCUCAAAGAAAGUGAAUGAUAUGAUUGGUACUUGCUAGUUGAAAAGAAAAGACUUUUUUUUUUAGUUUAUUUCAAAUGAAAUUUGUGCUUCACGCAUCUUUUUAGAAUUUUAGUUUAUGAACUAAUUUAAAAAUUAAGUAAUUUUUUCACAUCCUUUUUAAGAAAACUUUAGGGGCACACUUAAAAUUAUAUCAAAAUUAUAUAAGUAUUAUAGGAAUUUAAGGGGGACAGUGGGGGCCCAUGCCCCCACCUUAAAUCCACCCCUGAUGGAAACUAAACAAAUAAAACGUAUUAGGAAACUGAUACUAAAAUAGUUUGGUUUAAUUUUCUUCAAUGAGAGAAUUGGGUGGCUUUGGGUUGACAGGAUUCGCUGCGGCAUAUGAUUCCAGCAUGGGAACCAAUUCAUGAGGGUUUGCCGUUAGCAAAGGAUUUUGAUCGGGAUGACUGAUACAUGUACGAUUUGUUAUGGUGAAAAGAAGUGCCUUUAACCAGGUUGUUCCCGAUUUUGGAUAUGUGGCCAGGAGAAUGUCACUUGGUUGUGCCCGAAAAUGUUUCUGGAGAAUUAGGAGUCCCUUGAGAACUCCUGUGGAAUACCAAAAACCUUGGUACAAGUGAAUGUGCUCACUUAACCAACCUCUUUCCCUAGGAAGCACAGAGACCAUAUGCAAAUACCUUUGGAGGAUUUUGUCACUGUCAUCUUCUUUUUCUUCAUUAAACAAUAUUGGUGCAUCACCACCUGCAAUGCAGGGAGAUGAGUUUAAUGAAGGGAUUGCCAUGAGGAAUUGGAACAUAAAAGCUGGAGGCUGGUAGACUCUAUUCUCAUAACACCAGAUUAUUGUAGUGCGUGUUAGUAAAAUAGUUGCAUUAGUACGCCUGCAAGCUGGCGUGCUCAAAAUUCGAUCACUCCUUUGAAUUUGGCCAGGACCACAGUAAAAGAGAAAGUGCAACAGAGAAUUUAAGCAAGCAGAAAUGGACCUCAGAAGAGAAGAAAAUACUAGUAUCUCUCUCCCACAUAAAACGUGUGAUGGAAAUGGUUAUUCAAGUCUCAUCUGUCUUCCUUUCCUCAAUAUUUGCAUGUGGACAGGAUCCAUAAGAGUUUUUCUCAGGAUUUUUCUCCAGCGGUUAGUUAUGUGAUAUGAAAACUUAACAAUUUUAGUGCUCAAAUGAUGCGAAAGUACCCGGGGGCAUAAGACCACCUUGAUCAUAUUGUCUAAAGAUUCAUAUUCUCAACCCAGUAAAAUUCCUUAUUGCUACUAGAGUAAACCAUGAUUGGCUCUUUCAAAGUAGCAAAACACCUACUUGGGAGCCCUUUUCUCAGAACCUGUUUGAAUGAUGGGAACUGGAAAUAGCGCUAAAACUAUUAAUAUCAUUUCAUUUGUGCCUCUUAUAAGUAGCUCACUCCAAUGCCACUUUAACCAGCACUCACAAAGGUUCAGAUGCCAAACCGUGGAUCCAGAGCUCAAAAGUCACAAAGGUUCGGGAUUGUUUGGGAGGAAAGAAGUGGGAAUAUUUAGCUCAAAGUUUUCAUUCACAGAUAUGUAGCGCACAUGUUAAAUAUGACGGUCCACAGUCAUAAAUUUUGUCCAUCCAAAAUCAAAAUGUAGUAUUGCAGUAAAGCAGGACCAUCACAUCUCCCCAUCACUGCUCAGUAAAAAUCAUUAGGAUUCUCCUUUCAACCUUGACCUCAAACAGAGUUACGGAGUCCAAAAACUUUUACAUGGUAGCCUAAUUAUUAUCUAUCUAGUUGAUUGUUACUGUGGCUACUUCAGCUGCUGCCACAUGGCACUAUGAAAGGUGAAAGCUUUUUGAUCUGGAGCCCGGGCUACAAACUUUGACAUAUGGGUCGGUCUGCCUGCUUUCCAAGAAAAUGGGAAAAGGGCCCAUCAACUUCAUGUUAUCGUUUUGGCAAACUUUUUUUUUGGUAGAAUUCAAUGUGUAGCGUGCAGCCUAUGCCAAGUCAGGAGACUAGCCAUCUCAUCCCUGUUUUUUCGCGUUUUGCUUCUUUGGCUGGAUGUCUUCGAAGACUUUGAUCUUUGAUGGGCAUACUUUCAUCUCAUCUUGAUCUUUUAAUCGCAUCUAAUGUCCUGAUUUCCAGGAAAAUUUUUUCCCUUGCCUUUUAUUUGUAUUUGCACGUCUUUUUCUCUAAUCACAUUCUCGCUUUAACCUUCGUUCAUUCUGGUUUUGGCUUUUUUUCCCCCUAUUGAUUCGAUAUGUGCAAUUUCAUACGGAAGUACAAUUUUUUGUUAUUUCCUUUUUGGUUUGAACAUUUGUUUUUUCUUCUUUUUAUUUCCUUUCUAGGGUUUAAUGAAUCUAAAUUUUGUUGGACUAUAGUGUUGAUUUUUUUGUUGGAUUUUCACAACAGAUGAAGAUAAGAAAUAGGUGAAUUUAUUUUAUUCUCAUUUUCGGUUGUGAUGAUACAAUAUUGUUGCCAUGAGUUGUGUUUCAGGCUUGAUACUAACUGGAUUUAAGCUGUAUCUUGGCGAGGCAACUCAGAUGGCAUUUUGGAGUAUAUAUUAUUCUAGAACUGCAACUGAGUUUGCAACCAUGGUUGUGCUCUUCUUCUUCGGCUGGCAUUGACAAACAAAUUCAAGCUUUACUUUUAAUUGUCAAAGUUCAUUGUUUGUUUGGAUUCGAGCUUUACUUUUAAUUGUUAAUGGCUUUGUUUGGAUUGAGAUAAUUUCAAGUAAAAUAAUUUACUUCACAAAUUUCAAUUACCUUUUUAUCUUCCCAAUCACAUUUUCAUCUCACAUACAUCACAUCACAAAAAAUAUUACAGUAAUUAUCUUAAAUAAAUCAUCCAAAUAAACUCCUAUCCAAACAAACUCUCGUUUUUUUUUUUCAUUUAUUAGUCCGACUGUAGCUUAGUUUGUUCUUCUGAAAUUCUCGUACAAAUUCAAUUCCACUUCAAGUAUUACUACUCCAUGUUUUGAUGCUUUCUUAUCACUUAUCUCAAGUAUUUUUUGAUCCCUUACAAUGAUUGCUUAUUUUAUAUUUGCUUCAUUAUCUCAAAACAUGGUUUUAUUAUGACACUGCCUUCAGUUUAUAAGACUAAUAAGAAAAGGGUUGAAUAUGUGAAAUCUCAUAGGCAUGGCUAUCAAGCGUUUGAUGAAGGGUCCGUUUGUUUCGGGUAAAAAUAUUUUUUAGGAAAAUAUUUUCCUAAUUUCCCGUAUUUGGUUGCACAAAAGUUACUGAAAACAUUUUCCUAUGUGAAAUAUUUUCACUCAUCUUAUGGAAAACAACUUCCCUUCCAAACUUACUGAAGUUGUUUUCCGAAAUGCAUGAAUUCCGCGUAUAGUAUGUUACAAACUUACUGAAAACAUCUUGUAGUAUUUUUUUUUUUGUGUAAGCAGGAGGACUUGAACCCAAGACCUCUUGCUUACACUGCCUCCCCCUAUACCACCCAACCCAACCCUCCCCCUAGUAUGUUCAAAAUAAAAAAAAAGACCUCAUCCUGCUCAUCCUAUGCUAGUAAUUAAUCAUGUAUAAUAGGGACAUUCUUUUCUAGAGAAACUUUCAGCAGUAAGAGUGCAAGAUAUAUAUCACAAUAAACAUUGCAUGUGAUUGAUAUUUAACACUGAAUGGCCAUCAAUUUGUUUAUUACUUAAGAAGAUAUUUUUUUAUUCAUAUAUAGAUUUCUCCGAGAUUUUUUUAAAGUUAAACAAUGAGAUAAAUUUAUUAAAUUUUGCAUGGGAAGAAGUAUGUGGUUAUAAUGUGUAGAAAGUAAAGAUAGAGAUAAAAGUGAAAAUAUUUCAAAAGUUAAACAAACACUAGAAAAAUGAAAUAAGAAAAUAUUUUCAAUAGGCUAACCAAACACCUGAAAAUGAUGAAAGGUAAAUGAUUUUCCCGAAAAAUUACUUCCACGGAAAAUAUUUUCCCAAGGAAAACAUUUUACUUCCAACCAAACGGACCUGAAAUGUCUGUCUGAAACUUGGGAUAAUUAGUUCUUAGGUUGAUUGCAAAUGCAACAAUAAAUCUAGAUGGUGUUUUUUGGAUCUUUUGAGAAGGUUUUUUAAACAAAAGAAUCGCUUCAUUCAUGUUUCUAUUGAUAUCUAAAACUAAUAAAUUAGAUUUAUUUUGAAUCAAAUGUUGGCCAUUUGAUGGAUUUUAGAGCAAUCUAAGCAGUUCAACAUUGUCACUCAACUUGCUGUCCAGAUUCUUCUUCUUCUUUGCAUUGAAUUCACUGGUAAGUUUCAAAACUUAUGCUAACUUAAGGAUCUUUUCCAUUUUUUCCUAUUUUAUGAAAACUAAGUGUAGCGUAACCUAAUUGCUUUUUGCUUCUCUUUUGGUGGCUUGAUAAUCCCAAACUCUUAAGACUUUUUCCUAUAUUUCUAAAAACUAGAAAUUCUAGGAAAGUGUUUUUCUUCACUGCUGAGAGAUAAUCUCUGUGUCUAAAAAUUUUUAACUUCUACGUCUUUGACCCUUGCUGCAAAGAAGAAUAGUUAACCUAUUUCUUUUAAUUUUUCUUCUCUUCAUCAAAAAGAAUAUUUGAUUUAUGCUUUUUCAUUUAUUUUGUAAGUAUCUGAAUGAAUUUUUGUUGUUAUUGUAGGAGGCAACAAAUUCAAACAAAUCUUUCUACCAUCAAUUGAAUAAUAGGUAUUUCUUGGACCUUUUUAGCUGUUAAGUUAUUCAAAAAUAUUUUGUUUUAUUUUUGCUGCUAAUUGGAGAAAUAAGUAACAGAAGAGUAACUUGAUAUUGGUCCUUUACACUUCUUAUUGGGAAUCUAUAGGGCUAUUUGUUGAGUUCAAAUGCUUGUGCUCUUCUUUUAGCAAAGCUUUUAUUAACUAAUAAUUUGAACCUUAAUUUUGAUUGUCAAAUUUGAUUGUUGAAUUAUAUUUAAUAAUUUGUAUGUAUUGUGCUUGUGAUUCAAUUUUAGCUUUACUUCUGUAGCUUUGACUAUUUUACUAUUUUUCUUGCUAUUUAAUUGCCUACUCUACAAUACUGACAAAAAAUUCUUCGUACUUCUAAUAAUUUUUUGUCCCUGCUCUUUUCUUCCUUGUACUCUUGUAGAUGUUAAAACUCUAUUUUGAAGCUAGAGUUUUGAAAUUAGCAUGCUUAAGUUGCCAAUAAUUUUUAAAUGAUGACAAUGCUAAAUAUGAGCGAAUUUAAUCUAUUGAAAAACUGAUCAUUUUCUUGUGAAAAUAAAGUUGGGAAAUAAUUAUUCUAAGUCAUUAGAUUCUCUACCUAGAUGCUUUGUACUUACCUGAGCAUUCAAAUGCAAAGUUAAUAUUUUUGUCCUUACCUGAGCGUUAAAAUGCAAGGUUAAUAUUAAGAAUGCAACCUUAUUUAUUCUUUUUAUAGAUUUUUAAAUUAUUUAUACUUUAAGGGAAAAUAAAUACCAAAAUUGAUAUUUUUUUUUCUAAUGAGAGUAUAAACAUCAUGAGAAGGGUUUCAAAUGCUAGGUUAAUUAUUUACAAAGCAUAUAUAAGUGCAUCGCCUUUAUUUAAUUUUAUAGACACUCUCCUUAUUCCUUGGAUUAGUGGCAGGAAGAGAUAUGAAAAAUUGAUAAAUUUUUCAUAAGAGAUGAUUUAAUUGAUGGCACAAAAAUAAAAACAAAUAUGCCAGUUACGAGCCUUAUGUGUUUAGAAAGUAAUUUCUUAGGUUUUUAUUUGUCUAGGAUUUAUUGGAAAAUAUGUUAAAACUUAUAUUUUUAUAGUGUGGGAAAAAAUAUUAAGAUGUAUAAAUCAUAUCUCUAAUUGAUAUUUAAAAAGGAAUAUGAAAAAAUGAUUUUUUGCAAUAAGACUACAAGUGUGUGCUAGGGAAGAUGUAUAUAAUCUAUUUUAUAAAAUUAAAAUGAAACAGUCAAAGAAUUAUCAUUUGUAGCUAAUCCGUAUUUAAUCACAAAGCAAAUUUUAAGGUUUUAAUUUAUUUGAGAUUUUUCACUUUUUUAAAAUAAUUUUGAUAUCUUGCUUAACUUUGGGCUACUGGAUUUGCAUUGGUUAAUUACUUUCCUUUUGUAACCAUUAGAUCGCUCAAACAAUCUAUACAAGUCAUAGGUCACUAUUUUACUUCCUUCAAUGACCUGCUAUGAUUGGAUGUUUACUAUUUGCUAAGAGUUAGGUUGUUCUUUGUAUAAAUUUCAACCACUUGAUCAAUUAUUUUUUGUACUUUUAUCAUAUAUUCACCAUUAGAUUGGACCAUGAAUCAAUAGAGUGGUUUACUUACCACCAUUGACUAGUUUUUUAGACGAAAUUUUUUAUAACAGUAAACAAGAGGGCUACAUUUGACGAAGCCGAUUAAAGCUCAAAAGCUUUUAUUCAUUUUGUCUAUUCUCAUAGCUUCCUUGUUGGUCAUUUCCAUAAAGAGAAAAAUAUAGUUUUGGUACCCAAAUUUUGACACAUAAGUAAUUUUAAUCCCCAAAUUUUGGACAAAAACAAAUCUGAUACCCAAACUUUUAAUAUUUGAGCACAUUUAUUACCCUUGACAAUUUUUUUCCAAAAUGUUACUAGAAAGAAUCAUGUGAUAGUCGCAUGUCCGACAACUAUGGCAUAAAAAAAAUGCCAAUGAAAUGUAAAAUAUCAUUCUGAUACUAAGUACCAAGAAAGAUAUUUUAAAAACUUUAAUCACUUACCCAACUCUACUCGUCUUAUUCCUUUUCUCCUUCUUUUGUUGUAUUUCAUCUUCACCUUAGUGGCAGAAAGAUAUUUUACGUUUUUGUGAUAUUUUUUUAUACAAUAUUUGCCUAACAUAUGAUUAUUAUGCGACUCUUUCAACUAGCAAUUUGGAAAAAAAAUCAGUAAGAGUACUAAAUGUGCUCAAAUAUUGAAAGUUUGGGUACCAAAUUUAUUUUUAUCCAAAAUUCGGGGAUUAAAACUGCAUUUUUCUCUUUCCAUUAAACAAGGAACACAAAGUGUGCAGCAUCUCCUUUUCCUAUUGCUUGGUGAACUCUUGCCUGCAUUGCUCUUUUAUUUAGUUAUUCAAUUAUUUGUUGGCUUUGUAAUAUGCUUCUUUGGAUGAACGUUUAAUGCUUUAUUUUUGUACCUUCCAGCUCAUUAUUCUGCAUCUCGGAUUCCCAAAUUGUUUACGACCAAUGAGUACAUCCCAAUGAAAACUAGCUGUGCGUGGCACAACCCACCCCUACUAGUAUAUCAAAAGAAAGAUUGCGCUAAAUUUCGGAGAGUUGUACACUUGUACUGCAAUAUUUAAGGCCAAAAGCAAAGAAAAUGGACUCGGGACCACGGUCCAUAUUAUUUUCAUUGGAGCACUGAGGCAAGAGAUGAAGGUGAAAAGACAGGGAAAAAGUUUGCGUCUCUGAAACAUUAAUUAUUACCUAUACCAGUGUGCAACAUCGUAAAGUUUCGAUUUAUCGAAUCGAAUUUAAAUUGAAAUCAAAAUUUUUGAAAUCGAUAAAUCAGAAAAUGGAAUAGAAAUCGAGUUUUUCGUUUUCGAACUAUAUGAAUUUGGUUCGAAUUUAGUAGUGAAUUUUCUCAAAUCAAAAAUUGAAUACCUAUUUCGAUUUCAAAUUCGUAUGUUCUAUAUAUGUGUGUUUAAUAUAAAAUUUAUAUUAUAUAAUAAUAAAUCUAACUAAUAAUUAUAUUAUAUAACAAUACAAUAAUAAAUUUUAUUAAGUUAGUUGUAUAUUAUGUUAUAAUUAUAAACAUAUAUUAUACAAAAGUUAGCACUUAGUAUAGCAAAACUUAUAUAUAAUUAUAAUACAAAAAUUAGAAACACAAAACAAUGUUAUAAUUCGACUUUCUUUUCUGUAGCUGUCCUAGAAGCCAAAAAGUUAAUUUGCUCCCAAUGUUCUCUCUAAUUCUGUAGACAGCCAUGCCAUUUUCAAAACAUUUUAUUUUUCCUCAUCAAUGAAAUAACAAAAGGUGUAUCUGGAACCUCUUUGAAUCAUAAUCCCAUCUCAAAAUAUCUGCCUCAACCAAAAAAGGAAUACAACCUUGUUUCCUAGAAGGAACAAUGACAAGGUGAUAUUGUAAUUAGUACACCGAAACCAUGCUAGAAGUAUCAUCGGGGGGAAGAAGGGACUGGUUCAAGUUUCUCCGAUAACUCUGGAUUCUGAAAUGCCUUAUCCACCCUUCUUGUUUAGGACGCUAAAAAUCAUAGUUUAGGUGGUAAAAAUUAGGGUGCAUGUUGCAAUUAACCCUGCUAGAUACUGUUUGUUUCAGUUCAUAUGCUACUCAUCAAAGCAUUUGAGUCUAUUGUUUUGAUUAAGGACAACGAUCGAUGGAGAAAGGGAGAUGAGAUGACAGGAUAAUACAAAUUGACACAUGUUCGUUUAGAAUACUCUUUUACUAAAAUCAUUCAGAUCAUUGACCAAUACCCUUGAUACUCUUGAAAAUAAACUCAAACACCUGACACCUUGAUGAGCAAGUUUUUGACACUUCAAAUCUCUUUAUAGUUUGCUAAUAGCUUUUGUAGAACCUAAAUUUAGGGUUCUAAUAAUAAUUAGUACAUUCAGGAUUUUAGAUUUGAAGGGAUAAAAUAAUCACUCAAAAUAUUUAGGUGGAAGAAAAGAAAAUAAACAGUACACGCUAUUAUUAAAAUCUCAAACAAUGCGAGAAAAUCACACGACAAUAAAACCUUAUCAACCCUUUUGGAUUCUCUUAAGAAAAUACCUCAACUAAUGUCCUAUUUAUAACUUAUUGAGACAUGUAAAAUAAAAAAUCACUUGCAUAAGAAAUUACCAAAUAAAACACAAACUCCUAAAUAACAUAACUACUAAAAACCUUACUCCAAUAAAUCUAGUAAAUAAAUAAAUGGGUUCUUCCAGACUUGGUUUAUUUUAUCAACUUUGUAUUUCGUAAAUAAUUUCUUUCUUAGCAAUUUUUUCUUGAUCAAAGUUUUCAAUCAUCUUCAAAGUCACCAUAUUUACCAUCAAUAUAAGUGCCAAAACAUAGAAAAUCAUAGAUUGCUUUCUUGCCAAAAUUAUCACCUCCAAAUAAUUCAAAAAUUCCACUACCAUAAUUAGUAAAAUAAACUUCACAUUAUCAAUUGACUCCACAUAUUUUUUUCACCUUUAAAAUUUAACUAAAAUAUGUAUGUCUAUUUGUGCUUAUAGGAGCCGAUAUAGAAAACUUUUCAUCAUCAACCAAAUUUUUAAAAACUUCAGCUGUUAUUUAACAAUUCAUAUGCCUAAAUAAUUUUUUUUUUCUCUUCUGUCUAGUUUUCUUGGUUUUUCUUGAUAAUUAACCAAUCAAAUACUUCAAUCUGACAACCAAUUCUUCUCUAAUUUCUGUCAUGACAUCUAUAGCAAUUUGAUGAUUCCUAGAUCAAUCUUAUGGUCGAAUUCUUUACCAACUACAUAUUUCAGGACCAACCUCAUGCCUAACUCAAUCAACUAAAUAUUUUUUUGGCAAACCAUGUGCCUUAAUUUUCUAACAAUGGAAACGCUUAGAACUAAACUCGUAGUUUGGCUUUGAUACUAAUUGUAUAAUCAAAAUUUCGGGUUUUAGUAAUAAUUAAUGCAUACUGAAGAGAUAAAAUAAUCACUCAAAAUAUUUAUGAAAAAGAGAAGAAAAUAAAUAAUACGUACUAUUAUUGAAAUCUCACAUAAUGGAACAAAAUCACACCAUAAUAAAAUCUUACCAAUGUUUUUGGACUUUCUUAAAAAAAAUCCAACUCAGUGAGACUUGUAAAAUAAAAAAUCACUUGCAUAAGAAAUUAUUAAAUACAACACAAACUCCUAAAUAACACAGCUGCUAAAAACCUGCAUCAAUAAAACUAGUAAAUAAAUAAAUAGGUUCUUCUCACUUGAUUUAUUUUGUCAACAGCUCUGCUCUUAUCCUAAUUGGAAAUGAUUUUCACGUUCCACAACCACCUUCUCGCGUUCCAGUAGCUGCAACAGGAGAUAGUGGCACUGGACAAUCACGUGCAUGCACAGUUUUCCCUUUCUAAAAUCACAGGGCAAUAGGUACCUCUGACUUCUCAUCAUCCUCCUGAGAAAAUGUCUUCAAAUGAAAUUUCUUAAAUUUUUCUUCAGUAACUUGAUCCAAAUGAUCCAUCAUUUCUCUUUCAAGAUAGUUUUGGGAAUCACCAACCCGACCUUCCCUGAAAAAGAUCUUGUUUUCUAUGACCGGAAACCCGAACCCUGAGUGUGAUCCUGUUUUAUUCACAUCGAGAUUGCUCAGAUUCUUAAAACUACAGAACUCUACCACUUUACUUACCAGGCUUUCACCUUCUUUGUCCGUUGUGAAAGGCAUCCCCAAGAAUUCUGCUAAUCUCUUUGUAUGGAAACAAGGCUCUUUCUUCAAGUCUUCAUAUCUAAUAAAGAAUACUCUUUCAGGCCAUUCUAUACUUGCUUUCCAAUACCCCAACACAUGAUUCCAGUAUGGUCCAUAUGGUGAAACACCCUUAGAGAACUUUUCAAAUGCCUCUGCUAAUGAAAUUCGUGGCACUGCUUCAGGUUUCAGCAUGUUUACAAAGUGCCAACAUGACACUAACACAUCCUUCGGGUCUCGAUAAACAUAGACAAUAUGGCAGCCUGAAGAUUUUGUCGAUUCUGGUAAAGAGGUGUAAGGAAUGUGAGUGUGCAUGAGAGAAUUGGGUGGCUUUGGGUUUACAGGAUUCGCGGCGGCAUAUGAUUCCAGCAUGGGAACCAGUUCAUGAGGGUUUGCCGUUAGCAAAGGAUUUUGAUUGGGAUGACUGAUACAUGUACGAUUUGUUAUGGUGAAAAGGAGUGCCUUUAGCCAGGUUGUUCCCGAUUUUGGAUAUGUGGCCAAGAGGAUGUCACUUGGUUUUGCCCAAAAAUGUUUCUGGAGAAUUAGGAGUCCCUUGAGAACUCCCGUGGAAUACCAAAAACCUUGGUACAAGUGAAUGUGCUCACUUAACCACCCUCUUUCUCUAGGGAGCACAGAGAGAAUUUGAUCACUGCCAUCUUCUUUUUCUUUGUUAAACAAUGUUUGUUCAUCACCGCCUUCAAUGUAGGAAGAAGAGUUUUGGGUCAAUGAAGGGAUUGCCAUGAGGAAUUGGGACUUGAAAUCUGGAGGCUGGUAGACACUAUAUUUAUGAUACGAGAUUAUUGUAAAUAAGAUAGUUGGAUUAGUACAUGUGCAAGCUGGCAGGCUCAAAAUUCAAUCAUUCUUGCGAAUUUGACUAGGAGGACCGCAAUAAAAGAGAGGGUGACAGAGAAAUGGACCUUACAAGAGAAGAAAAUACUAGCAUCCCUCUCCUGCAUAAGAACGUGUGAUGGAAUCUCAGUAAAGAUAACAACAAAAUUUGAUGGAAGCAAAUAGAUCGCUAGAACAGCAAAUCUACAUUAUCAAUAUGCACUAGCCGGCAAGGCAAUCACGUGGCCAGCAGGAACAUUUCUGCUUGAGAGCUGAAAUGGCAGGAAACAAUAUAGACAUGGCUGAUGUGAGUCAUCCAUGGGCAAUUAUUUCAAUGGCAUCGUAAACAGCGCAAUUCACUAUAGAACUUGACAAAUGGAUCCAAAGCUCAAAAGUCAUAGGUAGGGAUUGUUUAGGAGAAAAGAACAAGUGGGAAUAUUUAGCUCAAAUUUUUCAUAGACAGAUAUCCAGGGCACAUGUUAAAUAUGACGGCCAAUAUUCAUAAAUUUUGUCCAUCCAAAAUCAAAAUGUGGUAUUGCAGUAAAGCAGGACCAUCACAUCUCCCCAACACUGCUCAAUAACAAUCAUUAGUGUUUUCCUUUCAACCUUGACCUCAAACAGUGCUACGGAGUCCAAAAACUUUCACAUGGUUGCCUAAUUAUUGUAUGUCAAAAGAAAGAUUGCACUAAAGUUCAGAAAGUUUUGCUGGAAUAUGUAAGGCUAAAAGCAAAGAAAAUGGACGCAGGACCAUGGUUCAUAUUAUUUUGAGGCAAGAAAUAAAGGUGAAAAGACAAGGACAAAGUUUGAGUUUCUGACAUUAAUUAUUACCUAUACCAGUUACGAACAAGAUGGCUUGAUGGCACAUAAGGGAUUAGAGUUCAGUGUAUACAACAUACUUCCAUUGCGCUUAUUGAUGCUUUCCGAUAGGGUUUUUUGUGCCUGAAAUCCCUCGUGGCUCUCCUCUCCAACUUUAUAAAUGCACUCUGCCCUCUUCUUAAACCAGUACCAUAUAGAGUGUUUUCAUGGCCAGUUUUGGUGCUUCCUUACAGCUAUUUGUUUGGAUUGAGCAUUAUUUCUCAAAUUUUAUUUACUUACAUUAUCAUUACAAUUUUCAAUACACUUUUUUAUCUUUUCAAUUAUCUUUUUAUCUCACAUACAUCACAUCACAAAAAAUGCUAUAAUAAAAAUAUUCCAAAUAACUUACAAUCCAAACAAACUUAUUCCCUUUUAGUCCCCUCACCCACCCCCACCUCCACGCCUCACCCCACCCCCCUCUCUUGUGUGUACUUGAGAAAUCUAUUAGUCUUGCUAAAAAGAAAUAUACCAUGGUGACGACUGGCCUUCUAGCAUGUUUUGUUAACAUUCUAGAAAAAUAUUUAGUGCUCCUAGUUGAUAGGUACGGAGAAAGGUGAUAUCAACAUGACGUGCACAAAAAAGUUGAGACAAAUUAGACUAAUGAAAAAGAGAUGGUCAAAUCACGAAGUUGAGAACAGUGAAAUGCCUAAAACAAGUGUUGCAUAUGAAAGGGCGUUUGGCCAAAGGGAUAAUAUAACCAGUAGGAGACAAUUUUAAUAGUUUUGGAACUUUGAAGAAACAGAAUAUAAAUUGCACAUGCUUGCUUCUGUCACAUGAUAAUAUUAAUUUCUUUUGGCUUUAGAGAUAAACUGCUGGCUCGUCCAGCUGCUAAAUGUUACUGCAUUCUCAGUGGUUGUUUUCAAUAUUCAGGAAAUUUUAAGACGACUGGAAGACUGUCCUCUUCUCCUGAUAGUGAAUUUAAUAGGUGUUUUCUUUGGACUUUUCUUUUCUUAAUUUUGGAAAAUUAUUAUGCUAAUUCACUGAUCCUUCUCAUACUUUGUCUUUUGUGUUGAAUUUAGGGUUCUUAAUUUUGGCAAGAUGCUAAUUCACUGAUUCUUCUCAUAAUUUUUUUUUUUGUGUUGAAUUCAGGAUUCAUGAUUAAACUAAGUUUAAAAGAGAAAAUUUCAGAAGAUUUGUUGAAAAAGAACGUGGCACAUUUGGUAAGGAAAUUUCAAGGGUUAUGAGAGGUUUAUCUCUUGAAGAAUCAUGGAGGCCACGAUUGAUUCUGUUUAUGUGAAGUAUAAUGUUUAGGAGUUUUAAACAUGUUCUUAUGUUUUUUAUAAAACUUCUUCAACAACUAUCUUAUCUACUUUCUCUCUCUUCUCGAGAACAAAAACUCUAGCUCUAUUUUUAUUUUUCUUAACUGGUUUCUAGUUGAAGGAUAAUUAAUGCUUUGGUUCAGAAAAAAUUGUGAGAAAGAAUUUAUUCUUACUAUUUUGUAGAUUCAUGAAUAUUUUUAUAUUUCCUAAAUUAACUGCUCAUGGUUAUGUUGUUUAAUAUCAAUGGUUCGAUAUUUAAUUAACUAGAUGAUCUAAUGCCAAUUAAAAUGUCAAUUCCAUAAUUGUUUGAUAAUUUUAAUAUUUGUAACAAUUGGCAUAGUUGGUUUUGUGUCGGGAAAAUGUACAAUCCAAUCUAAAUGAACAAAAUCAUGAGUUUGUUGGUUAGAAUCCAUGACUUUUCUAACCUUAAUGUUGUCGGUAGAUUAAAUGCUAAAAGCUUGUUUACAAUUGUCUGUUGGCAAGAGAAGUAAUUAAAGAGUUUGUUUCAAUUAUCGAGAAAGUAAAGAAAGGCAAAGAAUCAGACCUUAUUGACUAUCAUAACCAAUUUAUUUGUGAAUAUAUAAAUUGAUUUUUGCAUCGACAAUCAAUUGAUUAAAUCAAAAGGUGAAAUUACUCCUUUGGCUAGAAGGAUUGUUUUCAUUGAUUUAGUUUUACUUCAUUUUUCAUUAUUAAUUUCUUUUAUAUUAUUGUGUGGUGUAGUUUCUCAAAACUUCCCUCUUAAUUCCUGAUUUUGUGAAGAAAAUAAAUUCACUAAUCCCUAUAAAUACGACCUUACUCACUGCUACUUAUAAAUUUGUAUUUUUGUUGAGUAAGAAAUUUUAUUUUAUUGGAUUCGCCACCCACCAUCUCGUGUGAAAUAAUUUUCUUUCAUGUACCUUUUAAAUUGUUGGCUAAUUGUGUUAGGGAAUUGCUCAGCUCGCAAGGAGUAAAGUAAAAAAAUAAUGCACAUACUUGGAACUAGAAUCGACUUUUUUGUCGAAUAUGAGUGAAAGUAACGACAAGAAUAUUUCUAGUCAAAUAUCUUUUGGCACUCCCUAGAAAUGAUUCACAAAAAAGACUUGGGAUGAAUAAUUCGAAUCAUUCACAUUCAGGUCAUGAAUGAUUGCAAUGCAUAUUAUGCAAAGAUAAGUUCCUUUUGCUAAUCUAAAUUGAAGCAUGUUAUAUAAUUGAUCAUACCAAUAUGGCAAGGCUUGAUGAAUUAAGCACGUAGAUUAAUCUGAGGUGUAUAUGAACAGCCCUAAACAUCACUGACUACUGAUUAUUUGGAAAAAAAGAAAAAAAAAAAUUGGGGCUAAUGUGGCGGAAUCAUGUGGCUAGCAGAAACCAUCAAGGGGUAGAAAUAGCAAUACGCCUAUCAAAUAAUAGCGGUUGAUGAUUUAUAUAAUGUCUAUUGCAUUGGCCAAGUUGGUGGAAUCAAAUGAGGGUGACAAACAACGACAUCCAGACAAGCUCUAAUUAAAGGAAGGACAACUUUAUUUUAUAGUUGGAAUAUUGGUGGAUAAAGUCACAUUGUUUUGAUUUGUAAUCUACAUCAAAAGAAUUGAAUCUACUUUAAGGUUUUUUUUUUUGAUAAAAUAUCAUAAUUUCAUUAAAAUGUACACUAAUGACAGAAAUUGCAUCAUCAAACAUAUACAGAUAUCAAAAAACAUAUCUGAAGAAAGGAUAUUCCAAAUCUGAAGAACAAUAAAAAUUAUAUUGUAAAGCUCCAAAUUUAAAAAAUAAGAUAAAAAAAUUGUAACUCCACAAACAUCUGUGCAUGCUUCCACUCGCGCAGAUUUGCUGAUUAAGUGCUUCAAGCCCAGAUAUUAUGGUGAGAUCUGCUAAAUAGAUCCAAAAAAUUUCAAAUCUGAUAAUCAAAAUCUGGAAAAAACUCAAAUCUAAUAAAAGAUAAAUGAAAAGAUUAUAAAAAACUCUCACUAAGAAUCCCUAAGAGAGAAUAAAACUCUCACUAAAAAAUUUAGGAGAGAAGAAUACUCGCAUAGACAAUCCUAAGGAGGGAAGCACUAGAAAAUCUUAAGAGAGAUUUUAUUCACACAAAUAAAAAAAAACUAUAGAGAGGGCUCCUCCCAUGAGAAAAGAUCAGAAAAAUCUAAUCUUUUCUAUGGGAGAGUUGAAGGAAGUUUUAGUUAAAGAGUUUUUUUCAAAGAGAAGGAAGAGAGAAGGAGAAGAAAAGGAACAGUAUUUCUAAAACCUGAAUUUUGGUACGUUAAGAUUGGUAUGGUGGUUGUUUGUAGAUAAAGCCAUCCAAAAGAGGGUCUUCUUAAUAGUUAUUGUUUCCUAUUUCUAAAUUAGAUGCUCAAGUCUAGUGAUAUUUUAGUAGUUUACUUGGUUAACGUAAGAGUAACUGUUUGGUAGUUUGGUGUUUUAGUAGUUUUUUAAUUUCCAAAGUCUUAUGUACUACAUAUAAGGUGUUUUAGUAUUGUAAUCGGCUGAGAAAAAUGAGAGGACAGGUGUUUGUAAAGGCAAUUUUGCCUAGAUUUAUGCCAGCCUUAAUAUGAAAGUCGGGUGUACUUGUUGUUUGUGUGAUUAAUAAUAAACUCCUCUUCUCCCACAUAUUUUUAUAUGUAUCAAAAUUGUUUCCGUUGUGUGCUUUUGUUUUUUUUUUUUUUGUCCCAAUAAGUGGUUUCAAAGCUCUGCGCUUUGAUCAUGGAGCUUGUUCACGAAAUUAGGGAACAAAGUUAGAAGAUUUGUUAUUGACAAUUAGGAUGGAAAAUUGGUAGUUUGGUAGAGAUUUAAAAGGAUACCCUACCAAGGUUUUUAAUUUUGGUGAUUGUAAUUGACAACAACAAUCAAACAAACUUAAGUUCCUCGUUGAAGUUGAACUGGUUACAAUUUGUGGAGUCCAAAAAAUUAACCGAGAUAUAUUACUGAUGAAUACUUUCGUCAAACAGGUUAGUUGGCAUUUGAUCCUGUUUAUCCAUUGUGUAUAGAUUGGUUACUGACGAAAAAUUUGGUGUGAUGACAACUUAUAUUAGAUAUUGUUCUGGUCACAUAUGUCGGAGAUAACCAAUGUAAAGAUAUCUUUACUCAUGCGAUUUAGGACAGACUAUUUAUGAUAUCGUGCAAAUUAGAUGACAAAAAAAGAAAGAAAAAGAAGAUAGAAUUUUUUUUUUUUCAAAUUGUGAGAAAAUCAAUUUUUGAGAUGCUUUUCAAAAAGCUUAUUUGUUAUUCUCAUGUGCCUCAUAUCUUUUAGCAAGAUAUUUUGGACUUUGUGAUAGAUAUGGAUCCUUAUUAUGGUUAUGUUUCAAAAUUUGGUAAUACAUGGAAAGUAGAUUUUGAUUAAGACUGGUAUAUAGAUAAUGGAGAAAUUUGGCAGUAAAUAGAGGGAUGGGUUGGGUGGUUCAUAGAGGGAUGGGUUGGGUGGUUCAUAGAGGGAUGGGUUGUAAGCAAGAGAUCCCAAAUUCAAACCCUGUAAUUUACACUGUAAAAAAGAAGAUAGAGAAAUUUAUGAAAAUUUUGAAUUAGUUAAUGAUUCUAGGCUGCAUGCAUUGUUUGGUGCAAUUAAUAAAAAGAAUUUUUGAAUGAGGCAGAUAAAGAAAAAAUUGCAUAAGUUAUGGAUGCGCACAAAGAUGAAAUGAAGUCAUUGGUGGAAUUGAAGAGGUGAUUGAAGACAUUGGUGAGACAGAAAUUGUUGAUUUUUGCUAUUGAUAAAUUAUUUAAGGAGAAAAAUUAAUUAAUGAAGUUGGUUAAUACCAAUUAUGAAGUUGUGAGAUUAAGUGAAAACUGUAUCUCUACUUUAAUUAGUUGGAUUGAUGGCAUGAACCAAUCAAAACGAAAGUAUAGCGAUGCUAGAAAAUUUGGUGCUAAUAAUUAUGAUUUUGUGCUUUUAGAAAAAAUUUUUGGUGAUGGAAAAAUUAAAUUAUGGAAUAUUUGAUGAAGAGUGCGUGAACAUAUUUGAGUUUUUCAACAAAGGAGAUGAUGCCAAGAAAUUAUUUGACAAGUACGAGUUCCAUAGAAUACCUUGUGUGAAGAUGAAACUUAGAGUCAUUUGCAAGUUAGAGUUUGCAUCAUUUAUACAUCAAUCGAAUUAUUCAUGGAGAUUCAAGUUCAAGAUAGCAUUGGAAGUAAUGACAAUAGAGAGGCAAUGAUGAAAAUCAAACUAAGCUAUUUUAUAUCCUAAUUAUUUUAGUUUCUUGUUUUGGCGUUACUAGAUUAAAGCUCUGUUUGAUAAUUCAAUUCAACACUUAAAAUUAAUAGGUUUAGAUCUUAACAUGUUCAAACGUAUUUAAUAAUAAAAAUAGAACAUUCAAAUUAAUUAAGUGGCACUAAAUUUUUUUUUUUUAAAAAAAAAAAACUUGCUUUGAAAAAUAAGUGAAAACUAUUCACUUAUCAUUUAAUGUGAUAUACACUCAAAUACAUCAAAUUUAGUACUUAACAAUUUAAUAAUUUAACAAAUUCAUAUUUCAAUUUUCAAACUUCAUCAAAUGCACCCUAAAUCUUCAAGGAGUUUACUUUUUUUUUUUUUGGUCGAUUAGAGUCCUUACACUUAUUGGUUUCUUUUAUAUGUCCUAGUGGGUUGAACAGUCAAGUCUUGGUAAGUCUAGUCCUAGUGAUAAUUGGUUUAGCGAGUUUCCUUUUCUUUAUAAUUUGAGUCUGUAGGAUGCCUUUAUACAUUGCAUGCAUCAAAUUAAUAUUGUUUGAUUGAAGGGGAAGCUCCAAGAAAUUUGAGAGCCUAGUGAGAUUUGUUAGUUGCCGGGAGUUAGAGAAAAAACUAUGGCUUGGUCUUAUUGUUGAGAUUUGAUUAAUAAAAUUUUUAAGUAUUUGUUGAGUAUAAUUAUUUUCUCUUUUCACAUAUUUCUUUAUGUGUUAAAAAUCGCUUCUGCUGUGUGAAAUUUUUUUUAUACCAAUAAGCAGUAUCAAAACCAUAGGUUUUUAUGUUAGGUGUUCGUCAAGUUAGAAUAACAAGGAGAUGCUAACAGGAUUUUGAAGUGUGAAUUUUUUUUUUUUAAGAGUUAGAGUGCUCAAACAUCGGAUACAAUUUGAGAUCGCUUUUCAGAUGCGAGCUUCCAACUCACAUUACGAAACUUAUUAGUCUAGUUUUCCUUUUUCUAUAAUUUCUUUUCCUAUCAGAAUUUGGCUAUUAUUUUUUAUUGCUAUAAAGUUAGGGAACAAAUUAGAAGUAGGGUUUGGCUAAUUCUCUUUUUUCUCUAGCUAUACUUCGACUCUCCGUUUCUCUCUCGGAAUGUGACUUUUGCAAUUUUCAUCUUUUUGCUUGGGUUAUCUGCAUCAGGAGCAAUUAAACCCCUUUUCCAGUCAAAGGAUAACUUGAGAAUUUGGUUUUACAAACAACUGUGAUAUCAAAUUUAUUUUAAAUGUUUCUUCCAAUUCAUUGGUAUUUGUAUGCUUCCUAAUUUCACUGCUUAUCAUUAUUGUGUUGUUUGAAUAUCACGGGUUCGAUAUUUAAAUUAAUCUAAUAAUCUACUACUAAUUAUAAUAGUUGAAUCUAUAAUUGUUUGACUAUUUUAAACCUUGUGAUGACUAGCAUGAUUAGGUCUGUAUCAGGAAGACAUAUGAUUAAAUCUAAAUAAAUCCUCAUAACAUUUUUGUUGGUUAAAACUAGACUUUUCUAAUUUUUAAUACAAUUGGGAGAUUAAAUCCUAUGGUCAUAUUUAGGGUUAUCUUUUGAUUAAGGAAAUAGUUAACAAUUGUACUUUGACUAUUAAUAUAGUAAGGAAAAGUUGGCUGUCAGGGCCUAUUUUAUCAAUGAAUGAUCGAAUUUAGUCUUGCAUCAAUUGUUUCUCCUUUGGCUAGAACUUUUAUUUUAAAUGUGUCUUUCAAUUCAUUGGUAUUUGUAUGUUUCUGAUUUCACUACUUAUGAUUAUUGUGUUGUUUUGAAUAUCAAGGGUCUGAUAUUUAAAUUAACCUAAUAAUCCACUACCAAUUAAAAUAGUUGAAUCCAUAAUCGUUUGACUAUUUUAAUCCUUGUGAUGAUUGGCAUUAUUAGAUUUGUAUCAAGGAGACAUACAAUAUAAUCUAAAUAAAGUCUCGUAGUAUUUUUGUUGGUUAGAACUGGACUUUUCUAAUUUUUAAUACAAUUGAAAGAUUGAAUCUUAUGGUCAUACCUAGGGUUAUCUUUUGAUUAGGAAAUUAGUUAACAAUCAUACUUUGAUUACUGAUACAUUAAGGAAAAGUUCACUGUCAGAACCUGUUGAUAGCUAUAACUAGUUUAUCAAUGAAUUAUUGAAUUUAUUCCAUUGUUGUUAAACUCGGAUCGGACCGACCGGUUCGACCGAUCGAACCGCAAACCAGCCAUUCAUCUGGUCCAAGUUCUUUUAAAAACCCCUCCGUUUAAUAAUCGGUCAAACUCAGUCAAAAAUCGGAUUGAACCGUGAACAGUCAAAACUGGUAAGAACCGGGGUUUUUUUUUUUUUCUUUUCAAAAUUUAGCUUAUAACGUCAUCCGGUUCAACCUCCGAACGACCCCGAUUGAAUCCAUUGAUCCCUGACCCCUAAGCUCGGUCGAGUCGAUGUCUGACCCCUGCUUCGAACGACCGGUCGAAUCGCGAACCAGCCAUUCAUCCGAUCCGAGUUCUUUUAAAAACCCCUCCGUUUAAUAAUCGGUCAAACUCAGUCAAAAAUCAGAUUGAACCGUGAACCAUCAAAACUGGUAAGAACUAGAGUUUUUUAUUUUUUUAAAUUUGGCUUAUGACGUCAUCCGUUCGACCUCCAAACGACCCUGAUUGAACCCAUUGAUCUCUGACCCCUGAACUCGGUUGAAUCGAUGUCUGGUCCGAGUCUGAAAAAUAAAUUUAUUCAUGCAUCAAGGAUCAUUUGAGUGAAGCAUCUCUAAAAGUUACUCCUUUAACUAGAGCUUUGCUUAUUAUAGAUUUAAUUUUAGUUUAAUUCCAAUUAAUUACUUUUAUGUGAAUUAAUUGUUUAUUUUAACUUUUCAAAAACACCCCAUUAACUCUUGAUUUAAAAGAAAUAGAUUUUCUGAAUCCUUAUGGAGACGAUCUUGCUCACCGCUACAUACAAUUAAUAUUUUCUCAAGUAGGUUUUUUUUUUUCAUUCACCAAAUUCGACACAUGUCAUUACAAAUCAAUUUUUUUUUCAUUUAUAAUUUGUCUAUACAUUAGAAUACCACAGUUAACAUUCAUAUAUGCAUCUAUCAUCUAAUAAUUGCUAAAGUAACCAUAAACUCCUGUGUGACUAAUACAUUUAAUUUUUUUCCACUAAUAUACAAGUAUUGUACGAGCGAACUUUAAAUGGAUUGUAUGCACAGUUCAUGAGAAGGUAUUGUGAAAUGCAUCCUAUAUCUUAUUUCAUUGCUCAUUAAAAAAAAAAAAAAAAACCAGACUUGUAUUUCGUGAAUGUUGCAUGUAUCCGCAUCUUAUGUUUCAUGUUUCACGAGGAACAAAGAAUGGAUGUGACUUGGAGCGGUCACCUUAAGCCCAUUGCUUCCGGCUAAAGCAAAGAAUGAAAAGAAAGGAAAAUAGGGGGAAAAAUGCAAGUGGGAAGGACGACGACAUUUGAAUCAAUCAAGUGGCACAAUUUUGGGGGAACCAGAAAUUGAGGAGGCUGCAGCAAUUAGAGCUGCAAUGCAAUUUGGAAAGGCAGCAAGCUGGAGAAGAAUCGAAGUACAAUCAGAUUGCAAGAAUGUGAUAGACUGUAUCUUAACCGUCUCAUGCAACAAUAGCAACUGUGCUGUGAUACUGGAGGACAUACAAAAACUGAGGGAAUUUUUUGAGCAAUGCACCUUCUCUUUUAUACAUAGGGAAGGGAAUGAAGUGUGUCAUAGGCUAGCAAAGUUUGCCUUGAAGCUAGUUAAUGAUGUAUAUUGGAAAUCAUGUUUCCCUGGCUGGAUUAAAGAUCUAGCAAGAAUAGAUUAUGAGAGCAAUGAGCUCCUUUUGUAAAGUGCUCUUGUAUUAUCAAGUUUAAAUCAAUACAAAUGUUAUCAUUUUGACCAAAAAAAAAAAAAUGUGGCACAAUUUUGGACGACCACUCACCAGCCAAUCAUAAUUGGCCACAUCACCAAAACAUCCACCCUUGCAUUCCAAAGGGAAAAUACGGGAGAAAAAGUUGGUUCACGUGCGGAGGACGACGACAUUUGGACCAAUCACAAAGUGGCAAAAUUUUGGACGACCGCUCACCAGCCAAUCACAAUUGGCUACAUCACCAAGACAACCACUCGUUUGAGCCCUAAGUGCCCACCAAAGAAAAAUUAUGUGCCGUUAAAUUGAAAAGGGUGGGAAAAAAAUCGAAAAAUGAUGAUUGAAGUGAUAAUGCACUUAGACAAACAAGAAGUGAUGAAGAAAAAUCAGAUGCUUAACUCCAAAAUCCUGUAAGAGUCCUCCAUUUCAGCAAAGAAUUACCAUUACGAUGGAGCAAUGGUGCAGAAAACAGCCAACUUUAGCAGAGAAAUUUAUCUUGUCAACGAUAUUAUCACAAAAGAAAUUAUUCAUUGCAUUCUAUAUAUCAGUUCAAGAACCAAAUAAGCCAAGGCAUGUUUUUUAAACAUUCGGAGACUCAUUGCAAUGCCAAUCAGAGAAUGUCUAUUAUUUGUCUGUGAAGAGGAUAUGAACCUGCAAUCAAAAAAAAAAAAAAAAGAGGCUUUGCAAGUCAAAAGACUCGAUACUAUUGUUAACACAAAAGCAUGAAGGACAUUGAUCCAUUUAUACAAAAAAAUAAAAUAAAAUUGUUUUCAACAAAAACUGAGAGUGAUAAUGCAUUUAGUUCCACACAAAAGACCAUCAAGCAUUCAUCAUGUUUACUUCAAAUUUCUGCUACUAGUACAUCAUUAGCUAUCUAUUACUUGUAAACUCUUCCUGUUGGAUGGUAAAGGAUGGCUCACAAAAGAACAUUCAUUUGCAUGGCAGACGAUGUUCCAACGUAGUAUAAAUGCACAUCCUCGUACAACAGCAUCAUGGAUAUCACAUAAAGAGUAUUCAGAAACCAUGAAUAUCCUACAAGUUCAGUGCACAGCGAUCACAGGAGGACUUCCAAUGGUAGUAGCUAGUUGGUGAAAUAGGAGACAAAACUUCUGCACCAACAACUUGAGAAUAAGGACUUUCAAACACGGUUUUCUCAAUGAACUAAUGAGCAAAACUUACACUACCAAACAUUAAGAUGAAAUAGUUUUAUAGUCAAUUCAAGAGUGAUUUUUAUAAGCUGAGCCAAUCUAGAGAAACACAAAUACAACUCUGUCUAUCUAUAUAUAUAUCUCAAUACAUCUAACGUCAACUGGAUUGGUAAAAGCUACAACAAAUUCACCCACAAACUUAAAAUAUGAACCAAGACCAUGCAAUAAUGUCUAUUUUCUCAAAUUCACAGUAAUAUCCAAUGCCACAUACUUCGACAAAAAUAAUACAGCAGCAGACUAAAAUGCAAAUUGUGAAAAGCACAUAACUCCCUGACCAUUCUCCUCACUCAAUUGAUUAAUCAUCACUUCCACCAUGCAGCAUAAUCUAAAAAACUUAAAGAGUUCAUCAAACUGCAAACAUUUUAGUCCAAGACUAAAAUAAACACAUACAUGCAUAUGCAUGCAUGCAUACAUACAUUUACAUAUGUGUACGUGUAUGUAUGUAUAUAUAUAUAUGUAUAUAUAUAUCUUUCCCCAAGCAAAGAUUAUUACACAAUGUUAGAAACAUCAACAUGCUAUACCUCAAUCAACCCUUCAACAACAAUCAAAUUUUAACUUUGAGUAAAAUUUGUAAAACGGAAAAAGAGACAAAAUACAAAAUGAAAACCCAGAACUUUAUUGACUCACCUGAUGAUCAGGAUUCUAAAACAUAAAAUUCCUAGGCUUUUUCACAUGCAAGAACCCCUAAUUCGGAGUGAACAAAACCAGCCACAACCCUCAACUUUAACAACUGAAAACACAAAUAACAAAAAUAAAAGACCACAAAUUUUUUGUACGCAUUAUUGGCCUCAGACGCAUGUGGAGCAGUGAUAAUGAAAGUUUAAAGUAAGGCUCAGGUCUGUUAUCAAAAGUCAGGCAGAGAUGAGGGUACUGCCAUGGCUGCAGAUCCAGUUGCAUUUGAAGGGGAAAAAUGAAUGAACCUCAAAUGCCAUCAGGGUUGCCUCACCAAAAUAUGGCAAUCAACUUAAAGCCUGAAAUGCAACUAAAUAAACUAAAAUUGUAACGUCAUAUUGCAAAAAACCUAUGAUGUUCCUUAUUCCUCCCUGUUUUGAUUCUAAAAUCUUCUAAUAAAUGUCUUGAAUUUUUGUGGCACUAUACUUCUAUUAUAAUCAAAAACUGGUGGUCUUAAAUUGUCCAGUAAUUCUGAAAGUCAUCAUUAAAAUCAAUCAGUAGCUAAAAGACAACGAAAUGAACUCCAUUUAGCAUACGAUUCCUUUUCCAAAAAGAACAAUCUUUUUUUUUGUUUCCAACAAAUUUUAGACGCGAAAAAAGAAUGUGAGAAGAAGUCCACUAUUGAAUACACAUAGAUACAACUAAGAAGUUGAAAAAUGGAGUAGCACAGCAGUCAUUUUGCAAUAUUUAGCAGGCUGACUAAUUCAAGUAGAGUUUAUUAAAACCUGACCAGAGAAGUACAAAAGAUGGAGAAUUAAGACCAGUGACAAUAUAAAUGAUGGAAAAGGAGCCUGAAAAUAUGCUUUCUCAUUAUCCCUGAAGCAUGUUUUGAUCAAUUUCAAGUGGAUUCACAGCUUUCGACAUCACACCUAGUGCCUGCUGCAGAAAACUUGCAUACAUACACACAUACCAUUUCCAUUUGACAAUAGAUUGUCAGCAGAUAGAAGAAAAGUAUGGCAAUAGAAAGAACAUUUUCAUUGCAGGCCCAACAUUUUCAACUGCCCAAAUACCAACAGAACAGAUCAGAUAUCAGACCACAAGAGAAUAUUACCUAUAAAUGGAAAAAGGAACAGAAACAGACAAAAUGCUCACCCAUGAUACAAUUUUCUGGUCUCUUCAAAUGUUCAGAUUUUUAUAGCAAUUUGCAGCAUACAAAUUGACAACACGUGACCAGAAUAGGUUUUCAUUUGUAUUCUUAUUAAUCCAGUCUGAUAAUUAUGGUCUAAACUUCAAGAAAGAAAUGAGUAGGACAUUUGCUAGCUAUCAAAUCAGGCACAAUAAGCAUAACAGCUAUGAAGAGAUAAUCUAAAGAUGGGAAAGAAGUUUCAUUUUGUAUUUCUUUUUGUAUGGGAGCAGAUAUGUGAAGAAGAAUAAGAAGAAGAAAACAGAAUCCAUUACCCAUGCUAAAACUUGUAACAAUGCAUAUAAAACAUUACCUAUGCUAAAAAAAGGACCCACCUGCAGGGGAAAAAAAUCUGCGCUAGGCAAACUGUCCUUAAGCAAAUUAAAGAGCCCAAGACUUGAAAUUCAUCUGAUACUGCAGAAGAUUACCAACUAUAUAAAAUUAAAAUGCACUAAUUGAACAAUUGCAUAAAUAAUUGAACAAAAUGCCAAAAAAACUGAUGAAAAAUAGUAUGCAAUUAUGCUGGUAUCCAGAACAAUGUACAGACAAUUUCUGUAUAAACUGAACUGCUUUGGCGGAAUUGUAUACAAAACUCAAAAGGGUACUCGGUAAACUAUUGCAAUUUGCAAUUAACAGCAUAUAGCGAUCACAGAAAUGCAGAAAUUUUCAAAAGGAAAAAUUUUUGUAUAGCACAAAAGCGAGAGUGCCAGACUUACCACUGUGACUAUGAAGCUCUGAACUCUUUACUACCUUCAAGAAAAUUCUGUAGCGUUCCUUUUUUUCGGGUAAUUGAUUGAAUUAAGUGCCUGAAGAGUGAAGAAGUUUGGGCUUCUGAAUGUUUAUAGUCAUCAACAGGUAAUAAAAGUCAUAAAAAAUGAAAGUUAAUGGACAUGCAAAGCUCGGUGGAUCUGGUCCGCACAAAAUACAGAAAAAAAAAAAUGGUAGUAGUAGAAUUGAAUACUUAUCCUCAAACACUAAUUCUUUUGUUUCUUUAUCGACUUGGUUGAUGUCACUCUGAACAGAAUCCAAGAUCAUUCCAAACCUGCUUAAUGAAGUUUCCAUCAUUACAAUCCUUUGCUCAAGUUCUUCAAUAAUUUGGCCUGCUCAAGAAGUAAAUACCGGAAACUUAGAAGAAAAACCUUGUAUAUCCUGGAAAACAAGCUUGUAAUUUGAUUGCAGAAUCUUCAGAACAAAAUUGUUCUUUCAAAUUUGAUAAUACUAUUUAAUUGAUAAUUGUAAACUUACACUUCUAUUCAGGAAGGGACCAUUUGCACAUUUGAUUGGCAGGAGAUCUAGAAAUUUGUAUUUGACUCUCUUCCCUUGGGAAAUCAAGAACACGUGGUCGACAACGAAGGAGAUGUCCAAGAGACAAACCAAAGAGAGGGAGCGGGUAGAACAAGGUCUACUUUUGAUAUACAUUGAACCAUUGUUCCUGAUACCAAGCAAGAAACAGAUGGCGGAACUUUGGGGUUUGGAGGAGAGAGAAGAAUACCACCUAAAAGCUUAGAAGAAUCUAAGCUUUGUCCUCAUUUAUCACAUACUUCUACAUACAGCAGAAAGGGUAAACGAAAGAAGGCAAUUUUGACCAAAAAAAUUAAGAAAACAAAAUAAAAGAGGAAGAAGAAGGAUGAAGAGGAGAGGGAGAUGAAUGAAAAAAUGAAGAAAGGAAAAGCACUGAGGGAGUGGGUAGAAACGUACGAAGUUGCCAGGCAAAGUGGGUAAGCUGCCGAUGUCCAUCGAGCCCCGCAUUAAAAAAUCUCCCUCAGAACUCUUUCUUCCAAUUGUUAAUUGUUAACCAACAAACAAGUGAGAAUCACGUGCAAAUGGAGGACGACUAAAAUGUAGCCAAUACGCUCCGAGUCUCUUUGUCUAUCUGAUUGAUGUUAAUAAAUGUCAAAAAAGUAUCAGCAUACCUUUCUGCAGAGAAAACCACAAAUUCUGAAAAACUUAUUUGGCAAUACCUUAUGCUGCCCAACCCAAACAGGUGACUGCAUAAUCACAUGAAUUUUCUUCCAAUUAUGGGAUCCUAUUGCAUUGAAUACAGUAUAAAUAUUCACUCCCCAAAUUCUGAGAUCCAAACUUCUUGCCAUCUCAAAGAAGCACUAUAACCAGCAUCCUUCAUAUUGGUGCUCAAAUACCCCAACAUUUCAUAUAUCUCACAGCAGACAGGAUGGGCUUCAUCUUUAGAUGCAAAACAGUGUGCUACACCAGAAAUGUUAAUCCAACUGCACCCUACCUCUUUUGUCAGACCUUUUUCCCUCAUUCCUCUUCUCACCCUAUUUACAUAUUCCCAGUUUCCUUCGGCUGCAUAAAUAUUUGAAAGUAGCACAUGGUAACCUGUCGUCUUAUCUCCUCCGGCCAAGGCAAGCAACUUGUCAGCAACAACUUUUCCCAAUUCAAAAUUUUUAUGUAUUCGACAAGCAGCAAGAAGUGAACCCCAGAUUCCCAGAACAUUACACUCCUCAUCUAUUUCAUCAGCAAACAUGUAUGCUUCAACCACUCUACCAACUCGUCCUAACAUGUCCACCACACAAGCAUAGUGCUCCAGAGAGGGCUGCACCUCAUGAUCUCUCAUUGACUCAAAAAUUUGAAGACCUUCAGUAAUCAAUCCUGAAUAACUGCAUGCAGACAAGGCUGCUAGGAAGGGAACUCCGUCAGGUUGGAAUCCACUUCCCCUCCAGGCAUUAAAAAGCAAGAUAGCUUUGUCACCCAUCCCAUGUUGGCCAUAACCCACUAUCAUGUUAGUGUAAGUAAUAGAAUUUUUAUUGGGUGACUUUUCAAAAACACUUUCUGCAUAGUGGAUUGCACCUGAUUUUGAGUACAUGUCCACCAGGGCAGAGCCCACAAAGACAUUAUCAUCUAGAAAGUUGCGAAUAGCAAAACCAUGAAUUGCCUUACCCAGAGCUAAACUUCCCGACUGACUGCAUGCAGGGAGAAUUGAUGCCAAUGUGACAGCAGUUGGAGUGAGAUCCAGCUCAAGCAUCUGCCUAAGGACAGCAAAAGAUUUCUCAAUUAACCCAUUAUGGGUAUUUGCUGAAAUCAUAGCAUUCCACAUGGCUGGGUCUCUAUCCUUUGAGCAGUUCAUAUUGAACACUGCUUGUGCAGCUUUCAUCAUACCAGAUUUAGCAUACAUAUCUAUUAGAUAAGUAUUCAUCCCUUCAAAUUGAAUUCUAUGCCUGAUCAAGUAAGCAUGGGUCUGUUUUCCAAUAUCCAGAUUUCUUAAAUUUGAUGCUGCAGAAAGUACAGCAGCGAUAGUUACACCAUCAAUCAUAAAUUUUUGAGAUUGCAUCUCGUGCACAAGCAUCAAUCCCUCAACAUCCAUUCCAUUCUGUACUAGUGCAGAAACCAUUGUAUUCCAAGAAACAAUAUCUCUUUCUUGCAUUCCAUUAAAAACUCGAAAUGAUUCACUAAUGCUAUUGCACUUCGAAUAUGUGGACACAAUGGCAUUUUGAAGGAUAGCAUGUGAUACCAAUGAAUUCUUAAUCAAGGAUGCGUGUAGCUGCUGAGCAAAACCUAGACUCUGCAAUUGUGAUGUUGCAGUUAACGCUGAAAGAAAAGUCACAUCAUCAACUCCAACAUCAUCUUGUGCCUGUAGUGCUUCGAGAAAAAGAUGAAGUGCUUCAAUGGCACAAUUAUUCUGAACACAUCCACCAAUGAGAGAGUUCCAAAUCUCUAUAUUCCUCUCCAAGCAAUGGUCAAAAAUCCUCCUAGCAUCAGCAAGGCAACCGAGCUCAGCAUACAUAUAUAUUGCUGAACUCACGACAAACAAAUCAUUAACAUACUCAUCCCCAAAUUUAAUAACCAUGCCAUAAAGAACAUGAGCAAUUUGAACAUCCAUCACUCUAGAAGUGGCCGGAAACACAUUAACAAAACUAACAGGAGUCGGUUUUAUACCCAUUUUCAACAUCAUCACAAAAUGGACUAGCCCUUCAACAGGUCUCUCUGUUUUCAAAUACCAAGAAAUCAUGGUGUUCCAAGCAACCACAUUUCUUUUAGGCAUAGUACUAAACACCCUUUUCACCAAGUCACAGCUGUAUAAAGCAUCAAAACUGCUCAGGCAAGUGGCAUACAUAUUCAAAAGAGAGUUAUAGACAAUCCUACCAGCGUAUAUACACGACCUCAAAAUAUGACAAUGAACUGCUUUCCCUAUUCUGAGCUCUUUGGUUUCGGCGCAAGCUUUCAGAACAGAUGAGAAAGUGUAAGGAUCAGGCUGGUGCUGACUGGAACUCUUCAUCAUUUUGGAAUACAAAGCAAUGGCUUCAUGGUGCAAGUCGUUGCAAAUAUACCCAAUGAUAAUCGCGUUCCAGAGAACCGUAGUUGGUUGAGGAAUUGAGUCGAACAGUUGGCGGGCAACAUGUAUUUGGCCCUCUUUGCAGAGCUGGCUGAAACGGUACCGAAUGGUUUUUGGCUUUUGAGGGAAGCCGUGGUCGAAAUGGCGUUUGAUGGAGUCCUGGGAAGAGCAUUGUUGAUCAAGGUGGGGAGAAGCCAAUGGGGCUUUGUUGUUUACAGGUGUUGAAGAAUAUGUAUGGUUGGAUUGGGCGAAUGAGGUGGUGGUGGUGAACGAGCAUCUGUGUGGCAAAGGCAAAGCGGAGGAAGACAUGAUGGUCUGACUUAGCCGCAUUUGGAUAGCAUGGCCCUGUUUGGUUCUCACACCUACACUAUACCUUUGAUAGGGGUUAUGUAAUGUCAUCAAAUUUAAUGGCAAGUUUUUAGUUUAAAUAAAUAUGCCAAUUCUUAUUUCUAGCCUUUUUUUUUUGAAACUUGAACAUUUUUUGGAAAUCAUUUUUAUGCUUAAGUCUUCAAUCAGUUACACAUUUCAAGUAUAACCGAAAAUCCAUUUUUUUUACUAGCUAGUGUUACAGUCCUUACCAUGGACAUAUGAAUUUGUUCUCAACUAGUAAGAUAUAUAGGAAACUAUUAUGAUAGUGUAUAAGAUAUGUAAGAUGGGAUAAUAUCAUAAACCACCUUUGAGGUUUCUCUUAAUAUCACUUGACGCUCCUAAGGUUUUAAAAAUAUCAAUUACCUCCCUUACUUUUUAUUAUUUGUGUAACAAAAUUUUUAAAAAACCGAAACUACCCUUUCACUUGCUAAAUAAAAAAUAUUCCUAAACCACUUUGUUUUCUUCAAGAAAACCAUCAUCUCAAAUAUAAUAUCUUGUAGUACUACCACAUCACAAUGCUAUACCACAUAAAAAUAUAAAUUUGAAAAAUAGAAAAGAUAUUUGAAAAGAAACACACUUGCUUCAAUUUUAUUCUAUAUGCUCAAAACUAAUUUCUUAUGAAUUUAUAUUUUUUUUCAACAUCUUCUCAGCCCUUACUCAAACCAUUAAACUAUGCCAAUCAUUAUAAAAACCAACUCAAAAUAAGCAAAUAAAUCAUACCCCACUUUAUCACAAUCACAAAAAGUAAAAGAUAAACAAAAUUUAAUUUAUUAUAAUCUAGAAAUAAAAGAUUUGCAUAAUCAUCCAAAAAAUGUGAGUGAGAGAGAAUGAUGGGGAAAAGGGAGAAAAAAAAGAAAGAAAGUGACUCUCAUUUUUUUAAAAUUUUUGAGUUCCAUUGAUACAAUAUAUUGUAAAUUAUGUGUCAAGUGAGGGUUAUUAUAGUCAUUUUAUAAUUACUAGUGGAGGUAAGUGAUAUUUCUAAAAUCUCAUAGGUACCAAGUGAUAUUAAGCCAAACCUCAAGGGAGGUUUCUGAUAUUAGAUUUGGUGGGUUCAAUUUAGUGGCUUUUACUGUUUGAUACCGUGAAUUUUAGGUUGAACUCUGGGAGGUCCUAACAAUUUUUUGAAGAAUGAAAUGUCCCGCUAAAACUAAAAGUAGUGUACUUGGAGGGCUAAAGGAAUACCACAGUCAGGGCCCCUACAACCCUCGCGCCAGGCUAUUAAGCCUUAUAUAAUUUUUCUAAUUCCUAUCACUAGAAGUAGUUCUUUAUAAAUUAGGAGGAGAAAAAAAUCUUUGCAUAAAGUUAAAUUUUUCAAGCACUAUCGUUUGCAAAAUUGGGCAUGUAGUGAUUGAAAGAAAUCAAAGGAGAGAAAGAUAAAUUAGGAGAUGCUCUAUAAUUGAAAGCUUGUUUAACUAUAAAUUACUAGACAAUUUUCUAAUGGUGCUCCUUAGGUACUAUGCAUAAUCAUUCUUCCUGCAUAAACCUUCGAACCCUUCCUGCAUAAUGUUCUUACUCAUUUCGAAUUCUUCUUGCAUUAGCCUUCGAAAAUCAUUAAGCCUAAACUUAUGAUAUGACGGGGUAGGUCACAAAAUCUACAUACAGGGCUCUUUGUUUCUCGAUUUUUGUAUUCUAUCUAUUAGUGUUGAAUAAAUGAGAGAGUCCAAAGAAGUUGAAAGAUCAAGGGUUGGAUUUUAGAAUUGGAAACACCGAGAUUGGUGCUUGAUCAAUGAAUUUGGAAUACAAAGAUUCUUGUCAAGAAAAAUUAUAAGAUGCUUGAGAUAUAUGUUAAUUAUGUGUUACUUAAGGAAUUAAAUGUUGUAAUCCCCCUAACAUUUCAGUAUUUUGGUAAGUAUUUAGAUACCUCAUUAUAUGGAAAAAAAAUUCUUUGACUUACAUUGUAAACAUAUUUUCGAUCCCUUUUUUUAUCUUUUUCAACUACAAUUUUAUCUCAAAUAUAUCAUGCACACUACAAAAAAUGUUAUAGCGUAUAUAAAUAAAAUUUUCAAAUAAUUGGUAAUUAAACAUCCUCUAUUUUUGUGCUACUUUAAUCCUUCUAUUAGUCAAUCUUAUGUUUGACUGUUACAUGCUAUCAAAAGUUAGUGCAGAGAAAGACAUGAUGGUCUGACCUGGAUGCAUUUGGAUAUCAUUCAAGCUUCAAAUGCUGCAUUUUGCUUUUUGGAUUAAAUACACAAUUGUUCUAUUAAAUUAGUAGCAGUUUUUGUUUGCUAUUGCUUUAAAUUGUCUUUUCUUUUCUCAUAUAUAUUGGAAAAGUUUCAAUUGCAUAAAUUCAAAAUUUCUUUGGUCAUGCAACUGAAGAUACGAGAUUAAAGACUAGCAUCCUAGUGUAUACCAAAUGGAUUUCAUGAGUUUUCAAGUGAACAUUUUGCGCAUUUGUAUUGAUCUUACUAAUGAAUCUGUCCAAAAGUCCAAAGAAUAACCAACUUUUCUUUUAUAAGAAUAUGGCACCCUUUCUUUAGUUUGAGUAAACAUAUCCUUGAAUCCAUAUUGUUGCUAUUCGCUACAACCUAGUCUAAAAAAUAAGGGUAAAAUAUCAAAAAAAAUUUCCUGUAAUUUGACAAAUGUUCAAUUUAAUUUCUUGUGGUUUGGAAACCUACACUAUAACUCAUUGUGAUUUCGACUAAAUUAAAAAUUGGACAGAAAGCGUCAAAUCUAAUGGUUGUAUGUGAAAUAUCAAUAUUGCCCCUACCAUAUGUGAGAUGCUUUCUAUUCAAUUUUUAAUUUAGUCGAAACCAUAGGGACGUCAUAAUAUAAUUUUUCAAACUAGGGGGAGUUAAAUUGAAUAUUCGACAAACCAUAGGGAGUUCAUUUAUAUAGAGGCAAUAUUGAUAUUUCACCUAUAACCAUUAGAUUGGAUGCUUUCGGUCCAAUUUUCAAUUUAGUUGAAACCACUGAGAGUUAUAGUAUAGGUUUUCAAACCAGAAUGAGCUAAAUUGAGCGUUUAGCAAACCAUAAGGAGCUUUUGGGUAUUUUACCCAAAAAAUAAUUAUUCUUUUAUGUUCUUCAACUUUAGAGCUAGAAAAUAAGAUUCUCCUCGUGUUUACUAUUAUUUUCUACCCAUUGAGCAUGCAUAUCUCUAUUAAAUUACUAGAACAACACUUAUAUUAAUAAUGAAUAAAUUUUUCCCAAUUAUGGCAUUGAAUAUUAAUAAUUCUUUUUAGUUGCUCAUUAUUUGAGUGAUUAGUGUCACCUCUUUGCUAGUUAAAAAAAAAUUACCUUUGCUUUGGAUUCUACAAAUACCUAUGGCCCGUUGUCUUGGUCGUCUUCCUCUAAAGUUUCAUGGGAUUUUGCUAUUGUUGAUUGAUAAGUGACUAUUUUGUGUUAUAUUUAAAUGAUAUUUUAUAUUACUUUUAGUCACUUUUGUAAUAUUAUAUGAAGAAAUGGUCAAAAUUUGCUGGAAUUGGUUCUAAAUGCAAUCUAAUGGUUAAUUGAGAAUUUGUCCCUUUUACUUGUAUUUUUUUUAUAUUUUUUAUAAAGUUGAAAAUGGACUUCAUUUUGGACAAGAAAUAAGCUUACAUUAUGAUGAUUGAAGUCCUAAAGUUUGCAAGGAUGAUGAGCUUCAAAUGUCGUUCAAAUCACUAGAAGAAGAAAAAUGAAGAAAUGUCGAAAACGACAGUCGACUCGAAUCCCUCCAAACAAUCAGACCAAUUUUUGAAGGGAUUCAUUGGAGAGAUUUGAGGCAGUGAGUUGGAUUGAAGAAUUAAAAUUUGAAAAACAUGGGAGGAAUCUGGGCAAGUUUUGGAGGGAUUGCCUGGAGGGAUUCUAGUCAAACUCUGCGGCUUCAACUUGCAUAACUUUGUUUCAACUCCAUUAGUUCACUUCUUAUGAGAGACGAAUUUGGAGAUUGUUUAGCUGUAAAUGAGUAGAUUGAGAACCAUUUUUUGGACCAUUUCUUCUCUAUAUAAACACAUUUGCUUCAAGAAUCAAAGGGAACUUGGAUAGGGGCAAGGAACACCACAAAAAUGUUGUUUCUUUACUCUUUAGUUUAGGUAGUGUAAGAUAGUUUAGUUUUAGUUAGUUCAACCUUUCUUGUGUAUUAGUUAGAUGAAAAUAAUGUUGGAGGAUGGAGAAGAUAAUGAGGGAAUUCAUGUGACAAGGGUUACUCUACCUUGCCAACUCUUCAUCUUUUGUAAUUGAUUUUAAAUUUAAUUAAUAUACAAGUUUGGAUUUUAUUUUUAAUAUGUGUUUCUAAAGUUUAUACCUUGGAUUUUGGUUAAACUUCUUAUAAUUGUAUUGUGUUGAUUUCUUGGCUAUUUGGUGCUAUUAUUUUAACCAAGUUAUUUAGCACUUUGGCUCUUCUAAUCAUGAUUAAUUUGGUAUCAUUAAUUUUGAUUAUCUAAAUGUGUUGUUUUUUUCAUGAAAAUUGGGAUUUAACACUAGUUCAAGAAGUGCUAAACCUAGGAGUACAUUCACAAGAGUAGAGGUGCACCUUUGUGACUUUCUGACUUCGUUUCAUAUAAUUUCACAGAGGUAAUGAAUUUGUAGCUAAUAUCAUAACCAUGAGAGUAAGUAUGGAUUAGUUAUUAGUAUAGUUGAUUCACUACGAUAGUAGGUUGUACAUGCAUGAGAAAAUUAUGCCAUAACUAGCCGAGUUAAUAGUACUUAAUGAUCCAAAAAUUGCACUUGUAUAAGUACUUAGAGAUACCAUGAUUUAAGUAGUUUUCAUCUGCUAUUUUCUUGCAUAGUUUAACUUAGUUUUAUUUCCUUUAAUUUUUUGAUUGUCUAAAUUGAUAGAGAGUAGAUUAUAAGAAUUUUAUAAGUAUUCUUGAGACAUAAUUAUGUUUUAUGGAUUUCAAUUGGCCGGAAAGCUGCUCAUUUGAAAUUAUUUUGAUGUCACAGGGAUAUAAUUGAGCAAUUGAAGGAAUUAGGUGGAGAAGAUGAGAAGAAUCCAAAGUUCAAAGGCUAAUAUAUAAAUUCUAGAAUUUGCUCAAUGACCAGCGUCGAGCAUUACCAAAAGCUGGAUAUUGCGAGUUGAAAUUCAAUGACCAGCGCCGAACUUCACGUCGGACACUGCACCGAUCCUCAUCGUACAAUUUUUGCACACGCUUUUUGUCUGCAAUAAGAAACCUAUUCCGAAAAUGAUUCGAAAGCAAUAUAUAAUAACUAUUAAUAGGGGUUCUUUAACUCAUUUUCAAAGGAGGAAAACAUUAGUUUUAGUAAGGGUAACACAUUAUUUCAUCUUUCCUCAUAGCUUUUCUUGAAAAUCAAGAUCAAGCAUGAGCAAGGAGAAUCAAUGAGCACAAGGGAAAGAGUUGGAGUCAAGCACUAAGAAGUUCAUUUCCCUCGACUACUAUCCUUUGUAUUGCUUCUUGAAUUGGUAGUUUAAUUUCUUCAUUAUGUUACACUAAACUUAUUCUAGGGUUAGGGUUCUUAUGAAUGAGAUUUGAUUGAUUCUUUCAAUUAAAGUUCUCGUCUUUUACUAUGAUUUAUCUAUCUUAAUUUUAAUUACGUGUUUAUACUUGAUCAUCAUGAAUAUGACUAUAGAGUUUGUAUUGAAUUAAGAAAGAAGAUACAACCUGGUAGUAGAUAGAUAAACAUACUUAACUUAAUCACAAGAGUAGGUUAGGAUUUGUGUGACGCACUUAUAUCACCAAGAUUCUUAGGGGGUUUAAUUGAAUAUUUGUGGUCUCGACAGAAACGUAGAAUUUGAUUAGGCACAAUUUAGAUGUAUCAAGAGAUAAUCUAAAAUACAAUUAUGUGAUGUGUUCAUAACUUGAUAAGAAAAUAAUUGGAAAAUUGAUUCAAUCUCUGGAUUAAAACCCGAACCCUAGACUUACUCAACUAUCGUUUUCUUACUUCUUAUUAAUUUAAUCAAAUCAAUUGCUAGUUCUUCUAUGAUAAUAAAAAUUUUCUACCAAUUUGAUCUUUUGUGAGAAUAAUUAAUGUAGAGAAAUUUGACUCAUUCCUAUGGAUCGACCCUGGAAUACUUCAGGUAAAUUAUUACUAAAAUCGACCUUGUGUGCUUGCAGGAAUUCAUCAAUCAUAAAUAAUAGAGAAAAUUUAGUAGUGCCGGUACUUGUCAAUUCUUCCCUAUGGGUUCAAUCAUUAAAAACCCUAUAUUCAAUUUCGACUUGUAUACUUGAAGACAAACACGUGUGGGGUAUUUAAAAAUUUAUAAAUGUAAAAUUUGACUGUGGAAUGAAUUUAAUUAUUAUAUGCAUAACCCGCGCUCGUCAAGUUUUUGGUGUAGUUGUUGGAGAAGAUUUGUGACAAUAUCAACAUGAAUAGCAACUUUAUUAAUUUAGACAUUUACUUAUUUUAUUGUGUUUGUUGUGUCUAGUUUUCUUAUAUGUUUGAUGAGUCUUUGUUUGUGUGUUUGUAUGUGUCGUGUCACCUAUUCUUCUUGAUUGAAUUUGUUUUGAAUUACUUUGAAAGUGUAUUUAGGGACUCAAGAAGAGGAGUAAAUAUGGUCUGACAAUGCAUGAGAAGUGAAAGUUGGGCAACGAAUUGUUAUCACAUGCAAAACUCCAUGAAUAGAGGUAACCAAGAGGUGACUGAAAGUAUGUCUUUUGAAAAUGGCUUAAGGAGUUUAAAGGUAAAACUCGAUUAUAUAAUGUUAAAAGUUUAAUUGGACACCAUUAUGCAUUUGAUUGAACAAAAAAGGAAUGUUAAUACUUUUAAUUAUGCAAUUUGUGACUUGUGUGGAAGUUAUUAUGCUACUCAUAUAUGUAGGCAAGUACAAAAUAUGGGUUCUUAUGAUGAAUUUGGACAUUGUAAUCUUUAUUUUGAUCAAUAAGGUCCUAAUUGGGAUAAUUCUUAUACUUAUAAUUAGGAUAAUUAAUGUAAUUAUAGUAAUUCUUCAUAUUUUUACAAUUACCAACCCGAAUGUGUCCACUAUAAAUCUAAGUCAUCUUAGAAAUUAGUAAUAGAAAGGCUAGUUAAUGUAAUUUCUGAUAGUUUUGCUAGGUUGAGGAUAGUUAAGAUGAAUUAGCUUCUCACUUUGGUAGAAUUCAAAACCAAUUGCAUGAUUUGUGUGAAAUUAUUUCUUCUAAUAAUAUUCAAAUAGACCCUAUUAUAAAUGGUGGGUAUGAUGCAUGUGAAAAUGAAUAUCUUUGUGAUGAUAAUGAUGACCCUUAGUAUUGUUUCAAUGAGAAAGUGUCCAUUUCACAAGAUAAUAUCUUUGGAACUAAUGAUGAAACUGAAGAGAUGAAUAUUAAUGAUUCAUACUUAACAACCCCUUUUGAGGAGUGCUUUAAAGGUGUAGGGUCUAAAGAUGUUAUAUCUCAAAAAGGUCAUGUGGACAUUUCUUUAGUAAGUAUUCAAGUAAUGCACAUUCAAGGUAAUAUCUAUGAAUCAUUUAAGAUUGGUAUGUCACUUCCAUCUCUUAUCUUUUGAGCAUGUGGCUUUUAUCAUUGAGCCACCAUUUAUUGAUCCACUUCAUCCUCUAAAGGUGGAUUACUCAUUAACAAAACUUUCUUGAAAAAUAAGGUUAUAUAGUAAAACUAAUAAUUAUAAAGAAGCGCUUGUUGGGAGACAACCUAACGAUUUCUUGUUUUUAGUACUUUUCAAGUGUUUUUGUAUGUUUUGUAGGUUGCGAAAACAAGAAUUCAUGCAAAUCAUUUCAAGCGCAAAAGUGUCUAUAUUGAGACAAAAAAAGAGUUUUCAUGUUCAAUUGAUGCAUUUCAUAAUUCAAAAUGUUUCAUGUUAGUAAGGAUGUCAAUGGAUCGGGUUUGGGUCCCGGAUCUGGUCCAUACCCGAUAAUUUUUUUUCGGGUAUGGGUUGAGAAAUAAUUUUGAUACCCAGAUUCAGAUUCGGACCCGGUUUACUCUAAUAAAAAAAAUGGGUCGGAUACGAAAUAUAGGAUUUCGACGCAGACCCAAAUAAUAUAUUAAUAAUUAUAAAAUAUAAAUAUUUUAAAUACAUUCUUUUAUCAAAUUAAUAAUUUAGUAAUGAAUUUGUAAAUUGAUUUGUGGUUAGUUUUGGAUUGACUAUUGAGUUAUUUGUGAUUUAGGUUUAUAAUUUGAUUUGUUUAAGUUUGGAGAUUAGAUUUGUGAUUAGUUUUGAAUUUAAUUUUAGAAUGUUUAAAUUUGUAUCUUUUCUUUUCGGAUAGAUCAGGAUCCGAUUCGGGACCCGUCGGACUUGGUUCCAGAACUCUAAAGUCAAGAUCUAUCAGGUAUAUGGGUUGGGUCUAGGUUUACUAUAGAAAAACAUGUUCGAAUUCAAAAUUUUCAAUUUCAACCCGUCGCCAGGCCUACAUGUUAGAAUUAUAUUAAUGCAUGAUCUUGUGUUUUCAAGAAUAAUUUGUUGAGAAAAAUGCAUUUUCUAGGUUAAAACUUGAUUUUGUACAUGGAACAUGAAAAUAGUUGAAAAUUGGGUGAAUGGUAGAAAUUUGGCCAAGCAAAUUUGGAAAAAAAACUGCAGAAAAUUACAAUUUUCUGCAGCAAAUCCAGCCAAGAAUCGGGCCAAUUUUCAACUGAAUUCAAGGCCGGAUAGGCAAGGCAAGAAAAAAAAAUUUCUAGCUUCUGGUUAGAAUCCCUACCACAAUCCCUCUACGAAUCCCUCCAAUUCUUGGCUGAAUUCUGCUGGGACUUCAAUUUUAAAGGAAAUCCAUUCAUGGAUUCCCUCAUUUUUUUCCCCUUCUUCUUCUUUCUGACCCUCACACACUCACCCCUAAAACACACACCACUUAUAAAACCUCAUUUUUCACCAUCAAAUUUUCAAAUAAACUUCACCACAUCACUCACUAAAUCCUCUAAAGUGGAUUUCAUGGUUUCAAAUCUUUCAAAAACAACUCUAACUUUGGAUUCAAAAUUCAUAAGAGUUAAGGUUUCAUCUUCUUGACCUUUCAAUUGAGAUCAAAUUGGAGUGAGUUUCUUGAGAAUUUUCACAUCAUUUUCAUCUCUAAUCAUCACCCAACAAGAGCGAGCUAACAAAUCUUCAUCUAACUUUAUUAUUUGAAUUUUGCCAUGGUUGAAUAUUUUUUAUUUUUAGGCAAUUUCAAAUUUCAUUAAUAUGUGAAGUUUGGUGUAUUUAUUUGAGUUUAUUGAUAUUAUUGGUAAUUAUUAAUGAUAAAUAAAUCUUGGGUUUUGUGUUUAUUAUAUUUAUUUGGUGAAUUUUUGCUAACUUGAUGCUUAAUUUGGCUUGGUGAAUGACAGGUGUCAAAUGUGUAAUAAUAAACAGUUAUUCAAAUAAAAUACAAAUUUUUGUAUAUAGCAGUAAGUAGGAUCGAAUCCACAGAGAUUGGAAAAAAUUUGUUUCUUCUAUAACUCAAAGUAUGGGAGAUUUUUAUAAAAAUGAAAAUAAUUAAACAACUCAAAUAAAAUAAAUAAAUAAAAACAAAAUGACAAUUUAUUAAAAUUGAAGUAAUAAUAGAUAAACUCCAGUCAAAGAAUAACUUCAAAAAUGGUUCACUCAAUUGAUCAUUGAUGUACUAAUAAUUUUAUUUACUCACUCAAGAACAAGUUAUAACUGUCAAACAACCGAUGACAAUCAACUUCUCCUUAUUGUAUUGGUAAUUAAGAUACGACCGUUAAUCACUGUCCUAAUCAAGAAAUAAUUUUAGGUAUGAUCUUAAAGUUCAAUUUUUCAACUACCUUGAGAAUUAGAGAAACUCUAUUCUCACUAAAUAACACGUUACAAGAGUUGUUUUAAAUUAGCUCAUAUAUCCCCCUAACACAAAUCCAAUCAUACCAGUUACCACUAGUUUAGAGCAAUUAAACAAUUACGGAUUUAACUGCUCUAAUUGAUUUUAGAUUAUUAUAUUAAUUUAAAUACUAGGCCCCUGAAUAUUUAAAUAACAUAAUAACCAUAUGAAAUUAAAUCAAGAAAUAUACGAAUACUAGUAAAUAAAAAUAAAUAAAUAUAACCAAUUAGAUCUCACAAUUUUAGAUAAAAAACCAAAUCCUACAUUGCUUCUUGACUAGAACAAAGAGUUUAGUUCAUCCCCAUUGAAGAGAUCUCACGCACAAUAGUUGAAUUAAUUGCCACGGCCAUUCUUCAAAUAUGAGAUGAAGUCUAGAGGAAAAGAAAAAGAAGAACAUGUUUCUUAUUUCUUCUUACUAGAAAAGCAAAGGGUCUCGCAUUAAUGUGGCCUUUCACGAAAGAAAAGAAUGACAACGAUGAUAUUUUGUUGCUUUGUUUCCAUCUCUACUAAAACUACUAUUGCUAAACAAAGUCUACAUCCUAAUAAAAUUAACCAACCUUUUGCAAAAGAUCCUAAAAGAUAGAUAAACUAGUGUCCUAAUAGAAGUAGAAGAUUAUCCAUUUUAGGGAUGGCAACGGGGCGGGGUUGGGGCGGGGGACGCUUCCCCCAUCCCCCGCCCCGCGCGGGUCCCUGCAGGGUUAAUAAAAUUUUUCCCGUUAGGUUAAUAAAAUUUUAUUAUAGUUAAAUUUUAAUAAAUAAUCAAGUACUAAAAUAUCAACACAUCAUCAAGUUAUUAUUCAUUUUAAUUUUACAAUUGAAACUCAUAAAAACAAUCAAACAAAAAUUAUUUGAAUACAAUCCAACAUAAUGAAAUAAAUACAACUAAAAUAGUUAAAUUUUCACUUUUGGUACAAAUACAAUCACUAAUUCAUUAUUAUGUUUGUGCUUUUUUUUUAUAGAAAAAGUGUUAUUCAAUUAAGUAUAAUUAGAAAUUUAGUAUAAAUGUAUUAGUAAAUUUAGUAUAACUAAUUAAUAAAUUCUAUUAGUAGAUAUGUCUAAUUAUUCGUAUAAUUGAUAAUAUUAAUUAUAUUACAUACACUAAUAUACAUUAUAUAAUACAUCUAACUAAUAAUAUCAUUAUUAUAAGUUUAUAACUAAUUAAAUUACAUAUUAUAUAUAAUUAUAUAUAUAUAUAAUUUUUUUUUACGGGUGGCGGGGCGGGGGAUGGGGCGUGGGUAUACUCCCCAGCCCCCCGCCCCUUUUCUAAACGGGGGUAAAAAAUUCCCCCCCACCCCCGCCCCGAGAGCCCCCCUGCGGGCACCCGCCCCCAUUGCCAUCCCUAAUCCAUUUGGUCAAGAAUUUGAUUCUUGCGACUUCAAUUUGAAAUUGGAAACCACAUGCCAAAUUCCGAACUUUCCGGACGUGUAGUGUAAGAGAUGGGCCACGCUCAAUUGCACAAAAAUUUAGUUAAAAAUCGCAUCUUUAAUCCCUUUUUGUUCCAAAUCUCUACAACCGACACCAAUUACCAAAUAUGAAUAGAAUCUACCAAUUAAUGCAAUAUUUGGCUAAAAUCAAGGGGAAAACAAUCAUAAAUUUUAUAACAAAAAUGCAAUCUAUCAACUUCUCCCACACCUGAAUUAUGCUUGUCCUCAAACACUAGAGUAGCUAAUCAAAUACUACUAAGUAAUUGAAUUCAAACUAUGGCUAUUACUCAAAUCAUCGAUUGCUAAGGUACAAUUAAACACAUGUUAAACAUUAAUGGCUAAUACCCAAGAACUAUCUCACCGGUUGACAUUUAAAACCAAAGACAUUUCCAAUUCCCAACUAACUAAUUUGAGAAUAUAAAAUAUUCAACCAGUAUUCGUCAGCAAAUAGUUCAACUGUUAAGCAAAUCUCAACAUUAAAAUCCUUUGAUCAGUUGGCUAAUAUAACCAUUCACACACUUCCACAUUCAUAUGCACUUUUUCAUCUUUCGCCAUUAGCACAACUUUUUUCUCUUUUCUAAAAUGUUCCUCAUACUUGAGUUUUGUUUUCUUUUCAGGGAAAAUGCUUAGUCCAUAGACAGUCAAAUCGUUUGACGUGAAUUUUGAUAUCUACCAAAUGAAGGAGUUCGGUUACUCAACUUUUAUCUCUUGAAAAUCACAUACUUAUAGCUAUCACCGCUUUUUAACAUAACUGUCCACACUCUUGGUGAAAACCCCCGGUUACUAGGCAACGACACUAGUGGAGUAUAGCUAAAUGCUAUUCACAAAUAAAUAACAAAAUAAAAUUAAAGAUCACAAGCCUACUUCAUUUUUUCAAACAUGGAGAACUAAGAUUAGUAACUGAACCAAUUCACACAAAAAAUGCCAUCAAAAUAUUUAUAAUGCCUAGAAAAACUAAUCAAAAAUUGUAAAAAUCAUAAAAUCUCAAAUAUUCAUCAUAGAGACAACUUUAGAUCUUGUCAUAUCAUACUUAACACAUUAGCACAUAAAAGCUUAGCAAUAGUCAAAUUUGAGAUAUCUAACCAUCAUUUAUCAAGGAUAACCAUAAAAAUGCACCAAAAUUGACAAAAAUUGGACGAAAUUUAAAGUCGAACAAAAAUUUUAACAAAAAUGCCUACACCUGUACUUUACCAAUAUACUACCCCCAUACCUAAUCCUUAAAUUGUCCCCAAUGCAAGAAAAGGUAAAGGGAUAACGAAACUCUUCUGAACAAGGAGGAGGGUAUCGCACUACUAAAGAUGUGUAGCAAAAGGUGGGGUGACACCAAUAUAAUGAAAGUAGCCACUAAAAUUUUGAAUUAUUUUAGAUGUGGGUACGUCUAAAAUAUAAGGAGUUUUCCGGUCAACAAUUUUUAACUCACCAAUUUUAGUGUGGCUCAUAGACGUGGGCAAAUUUUAUUGAUCAAUUGUUUUCUGAAAUUUUUGAACAUGUCUUUAGAACUCAUCAGUCAGUUAAGCGCGGGCACGGCUUGUCUAGUAGUAGUCUUCUACCCAUUAAAAUAAUAAAAUCAAAAUCAAAUAUACAAAAUUCUAGAAACCUAAAAUAAAAGUAAUAAAAAUGAACUAAAAACAAAUUGAGUUACCUCCUAAUAAGCAUCUUUUUUUAACGUCUUUGGUUAGACAUCAUCUUAUUUGUUCAAGGAGGAUAAAAUCUUAUUACUCGUUUCAAUACUUCAUCCUCUAUGUAAUUCUGAUAACCUUCGUAAGUAGAAUGAUUCUUAAGCACACGAGUUACUUUUUUUUAUUGACUAGUAGAUGGCGCCAAAUAAGCAAGUAAUAAUCGUAAUUCUUCACUCACUCCUCCAUCACGAGCACUUACUGAUUCAAGAUAUUUUUUCAUCGCAACUCUUAAUUUAUUCUUACUAUGAAACGCAAAAACUUUUGAUAUAACAAAAUCAAUUUCACUAAUAGAAAUUACAGAAUAAGAAUUAGGAGAAUGUUGGCUAGGGAAUGAUGGGGUGUCACCAUAUUUGGGAAUUGUUUACUGGAUUCGUUUCCUAGAGCGAUUUGAGAUUGGGGUAUCAUUUUUUCCUUUACAAAUUCUUUUUUAACUGCAUCUUUAUAUCCUUUUUUUUAGACUCUUUCAGUUCCUUGAUAGUUGUCGGGGUAAUUGCACUCUCAUCUUUGUUAAGAUCGAUAAUAAUCUAUGAGGGUAAUUUUUCACAAAUUUGAGAAUUCAAUUGCAUCACUGUAGAUGCCAAUAGACACAUUUGAUCCGCUAUAUUUCUGAUUCUCAUGUCUGUCUCCUAUUGAAAUCAAUAUGUGUUAGUAGUUAGUGAUUCAAUAAUUUCUUCAAGAAAUGUACCUGAUGUGGAUGACGGUUGUUACUGUUGAUAUUAAUGUUGAAAACCUAUUGGCCUUACUGCAUAAUUAAAGUUAGAGUUGUCUCACGAUUCUUGAUCAUAUAUGUUUGAAUAAGGAUCAUCCCAUAUUUGAAACAGGGUUGAACAACUUCCAAAAAUAUUGAUUGGAGCACUUAGAUCAUCUUGAAAUAUGAGGUACAUGUCAGUUGAAUGAUCCGAGACAUAACAAAUUUCACAGGUUGUAACAGCCAAUUUUUCUACAAGAGAAAUUAGUGUAUCUAAAUAUUGAUUAUUAGAAGAGAUAUGAGUUUCAUUAACCCUCCUAGAAACAAAAUUCAAUCUAUCACCAAAAUAUUGAAUAUUAAUAGCCAUAAACUAGUAAAAAAAUUUAAAAAAAAUUGAAGAAAAUAUGACGAAUUCAAAAAAAAUUAAUCCGGAAUCAAUCCCUGAUAAUAGCACAAAAAAUUGAUAAGUGUCGAUCAUGUGCAAUAAUGAAUACCUACUCAAAUAAAAUAUAAAUUUUUAUAUAUAGCGGUAAGUAGGAUUGAAUCCACAGGGACUGGAAAAAAUUUAUUUUUUCUAGAACUCAGAGUAUAUGAAAUUUUUAUAAAAAUAGAAAUAAUUAAACAACUCAAAUAAAAUAAACAAAUAAAAACUAAAUGACAAUUUAUUAAAAUUGAAGUAAUAAUAUAUAAACUCUAGCCGAAGAAUAACUUCAAAAAUGGUUCAUUCAAUUGAUCAUUGAUGCACUAAUAAUUUUAUUUACUCACUGAUAAACAAGUUAUAAAUGCCAAACAAAUGAUGACAAUCAAUUUCUCUUUAUUGUAUUAAUGAUUAAGGUACGACCGUUAUUCACUAUCCUAAUCAAGAAAUAACUCUAUGUACGAUUUUAAAGUUCAAUUUUUCAAUUGUCUUAAAAUUUAGAGAAGCCUUAUUCUAACCAAAUAACAUGCUACGGAGGUUAUUUUAAAUUAACUCAUAUGUCCCCCUGAUAUAAAUCCAAUCAUACUAGUUAUCGCUAGUUUAAAGCAAUUAAACAAUUACAAAUUUAACUGCUUUAAUUGGUUCUAGAUUAUUAGAUUAAUUUAAAUAUCGGGCCCUGGAUAUUUAAAUAACAUAAUAACCAUAAAAAAUUAAAUCAGAGAAUAUACAAAUACCAGUAAAUAAAAAAAAUAAAUAUAAUCAAUUCGAUCUCACAAUUUUAGAUGAACCAAAUCCUACAUUGUUUCUUGAUUAGAACGAAAAGUUUAGUUCAUCCUCAUUGAAGAAAUCUCACACACAAUAGUUGAAUUAAUUGCCAUGGUCAUUCUUCAAAUAUGAGAUGAAGUCUAGAGGAAAAGAAAAAGAGCAUUUUUUCUUAUUUCUUCUUACGAGAAAAGGAAAGAGUCUCAAAUUAAUCUGGCUUUUCACGAAAGAAAAGAAUGACAACGAUGAUGUUUUGUUACUUUGUUUCCUAUCUCUAUUAAAUCUAUUGUUCCUAAACAAAGUCUACAUCCUAGUAAAAUUGACCAAUCUUUUGCAAAAGAUCCUAAAAGAUAGAUAUACUAGUAUCCUAAUAGAAGUAGAAGAUUAUCCAUUCGGUCAAGAGUUUGAUUCUUAUGACUUCAGUUGAAAUUGGAGACCACGUACCAAAUCCUGAACUUUUCGAACAUGCAAUGUAAGACUUUGACGGGUCCACGCUGGAUUGCACAAAAAUUCAAUUAAAAAUCACAUCUUUAAUCCCUUUUUGCUCCAAAUUCCUACAACCGAUACCAAUUAUCAAAUAUAAGUAGAAUCUGCCAAUUCAUGCAAUAUUUGAUUAAAAUCAAGGAUAAAAUAAUCAUAAAUUUUAUAACAAAAAUACAACUUAUCAAUGAAAAAGUUACAUAUUAAAUGGCCAAUAUACCAUUUUAAUUAGUUUUGUGGAAGAUUAUAAUAUUCAUUUGAGUAGUUUAGAUUUCCUAAUGUAUGAAAAUGUGUUGGUUGAAUGAUUUCUUUAAUUCUUAGGUAAUUUUAGAAAAUGCGAUGAAUUGAAAAAUGACCUUUAAUAGAUGAAUUCAUGAAUGCACUUAUGAUAUUUGUGGUUCAAUGGUUAUUAGCAUUUCAUGAAUACUCAAAAAUGUCAUUUCUAUUUUGAUUUGAUGUGUUGCCUCCAUUUUGAAAAAAAUUUGCACUUGUUGAAAUUUUGAAAAAAUUGAUCAUUGAUUACAAAAUGUAUAAAUGGACUUACUUUGUUCACGAUUGUGGGAAUAUUUUAUGAAAUUAGCUUAAUUUGGAUAUUAAUGCAUGUACUUGUUUUGUGAAGUUAGCUAAUUUCAUAUUUUAUUAUCUUUGAAUAUUGUAUUAGUUCCACAUGCUUGAUCCCUUUCUUUUUUUUCCUUGAUUUGCAUGUUACUUCUUGAUAGUUGCAAAAUUUUCCUCUUAAGAUGUUAUUUUAUUUUGAUUUUGCCAUUUGAAGUAGGGUAUUAAUUAAACUCUCCUUUUUUUGUUAAAUAAGAUUGAAAAUUCAUCACAUAGUCAUGGAUUUGAACAGUGCAAGUUAAUGAGGGAGCAUUAUCUCUUAUUCUUUAUUUAUUUUCCUUUGCUCAUGUUGAAAAUAAUGUGAAAUUUAAGUAUGGGGAGGGAAAUAAUUGGCUUGCUAUUUUGUGUCAUGUGAUAAUAUUUUGUGGAUUUAAGUGCAUUAAAAAUGUUGAAAUUAUGUUUGAAAAAAUUGCCAUAUGAAAAAUUUCUAGAAAUUGGAUUUGCUAGCAAGGAAUCUUAUUUAGUUAUAAGGGGAAACUCUAUCAAGAAUUUUCCAAAAUCUUUUUCAAAAUUUCAUUAUGGCCCAAAUUUUUGCAAUUUUGUUUUAAGAGGGACAAUGAGAUCCAACCUUAAACGUUCUAAUUCUUCCACUUGUUGAAACUUUAUAUGUAUUUUAAAAAAUUUAGUGCUCAGUUAACUUGGAAAUGUUUAUUAUCCAAUUAGGAUUUUUGCAUUUUAAAAAGUAUAUGUUGUAAAGUGGAGAAGAUUAUGCCCAUAAUUUUGCAUGUUUAAUGAGGUUUCUCCCUUUUAUUUAGUUUUACAAGUAAGUGAUUGAUAUAGUUAACAAAAAUUAUACUCUUCUUUUGAUUAUUCUUAUGUAUUUGCUAAGAGGGAAUGUCUAUUUAUUGUUUUUUUUUACUUUUGAAAGGAAAGAGAGAUAAAAUUAAAAAAAAAAGCAAAAAAGAGAUUAAAAUUUUUUAUUCUACUCCAAUGAUUUUUAUACCAAGUAACCGGGAGUUGGCGACUACAAAUAUCUACAUUUGCAUUAAAAAGUAUUUGAAUCAAGAGUAUAUAGAGCAACUUGAGUAAAUGAAAUGUUGAGAAAUCGAGAGUUUUUACCUAAAAGUGUCGAUCUUUGCGGUAAAAGGCAUUUUUACUAUGUGAGUAAGAUUUUUAUGAAUAAAGUCCUUCUUAGUUGUGAAAUUUGAGAAAAAGUUUAUUGUAGGAGGAAAGCAUAAAUUGAAUGUGUGAUUUGCUUUUUUGUGAAAUUAGAUUAGGAUGAGAGAUUAAGUUUAACUUAUUAAAAUUAAAGUAUAAUUAUCUUUCCUUUACUUGAUAUUAUGAGUAUUUAGAGUAAAUUGAAUGAUUGUACAAUAAUUGUUUACUGUGUUAUGCGGAAUUGAAUUUGAAAAAGUGCAAAUAAUAUUUCACCUCUUGAAUCAUUGUGAUUGAUUAUGCGCGGAUUGCUUGAGAACAAGUAAAAAUUCAAGGAUGGAGAAGUUGAUAAGUGACUAUUUUGUACUAUAUUUGAAUGAUAUUUUAUAUUACUUUUAGUCACUUUUGCAAUAUUAUAGGAAGAAAAUGGUCAAAUUUUUCCGGAAUUGGUUGUAAAUGCAAUCUAAUGCUUAAUUGAGAAUUUGCCCCUUUUACUUGUAUAUUUUUUUAUAUUUUUUUGAAAAGUUGAAAAUGGAUUUCAUUUUGGACAAGAAAUAAGCUUACAUUAUGAUGAUUGAAGUCCUAAAGUUUGCAAGGAUGAUGAGCUUCAAAUGUGGUUCAAAUCACUAGAAGAAGAAAAAAUGAAGAAACUUAUCGAAAAUGAAAGUCGACUCGAAUCCCUCCGAACAAUCAGGCCAGUUUUUGAAGGGAUUCCUUGGAGACAUUUGAGGCAGUGAGUUGUAUCGAAGAAUUAAAAUUUGAAGAAAAAUGCGGGAGGAAUCCAGCCAAUUUUUGGAGGGAUUGUUUGGAGGGAUUCUAGUCAAACUCUGCAGCUUCAACUUGCAUAACUUUGUUUCAACUUCAUUAUUUCACUUCUUGUGAGAGGGACGAAUUUGGAGAUUGUUUAGCUGUAAAUGAGUAGAUCGAGAACCAUUUUUUGGACCAUUUCUUCUCUAUAUAAACACAUUUGCUUCAAGAAUCAAAGGAAGCUUGGAUAGGGGCAAAGAACACCACAAAUAUAUUGUUUCUUAACUCUUUAGUUUAGGUAGUGUAGGAUAGUUUAGUUUUAGUUAGUUCAAUCUUUCUUGUGUAUUAGUUAGAUAAAAAUGAAAUUGGAGGAUGAAGAAGGUAAUAAGAGAGUUCAUGUGACAAGAGUUAUUCUACCUUCUCAACUCUUCAUCUUGAAUUAUGGUUGAACUUCCUAUAAUUGUAUUGUGUUGAUUUCUUGGCUAUUUGGUGCUAUUAUUUUGACCAAGUUAUUUAGCACUUUGGCUCUUCUAAUCAUGAUUAAUUUGGUAUCAUUAAUUGUGAUUAUCUAAAUGUGUUAUUUUUUUUUAAUAAAAAUUAAAAUUUAACACUAGUUCAAAAAGUGUUAAAACUAGAGAGUACACUUAUGAAAGUAAAUGUGUACCUUUGUGACUUUUAGUGGCUUUGUUCCAUGCAAUUUCAUAGAAAAAAUGAAUUUGUAACUAAUUUCAUAAUCACGAGAGUAAGUGUGGAUUAGUUAUAGACAUAGUUAAUUCAUUACGAGAGUAGGUUUCACAUGCAUAAGAAAAUUACGACAUAACUAGCUGAGGUAGUAGUACUCAAAGUCCAAAAAUUGCACUUACAUGAGCAGUUAGGGAUACCAUGACUUAAGGAGAUUUCAUUUGCUAUUUUCUUGCAUAGUUUAACUUGGUUUUUUUCUUUAAUUCUUUGAUUGUCUAAAUAAUAGAUAAACUUUAGUAGUGCCGGUAGUUGUCUAUUCUUCCUUAUGAAUUCGACUCUUACUACCCUAUAUUCAAUUUCGACUUAUAUACUUGAAGAAAAUAACGUGUAGGGUAUCUAGGGAUUUAUAAUUGUAAAAUUUGACUAUGAAAUGAAUUUAUUGUUAUAUGCAUACCCCAUGUUCGUCAUUAAUUUAACAAUUGGGCAAUGUAGUUUGAAAGAUUAUUUUCUAUUUAAUGGUGUCUGCGAAUAUUAGAUGCCAUAAAUGAUCAACAUUUUGUACCAAUCAAUGGACAUAAUUGUCGCAUCCCAUUUUUUGCAACAAAAAUAUGUGUUUUUCAUUAAAAAAAAAAAAAGUGGAAAGGAGCCUAGAAUGAGACUUUAAAAAUGCAACAAUUUUGAUCCAAAAUUUAGUCUAAAACUUUUUGAAGAAGGGAGUCGCCACUUAGGUCAAAUUUAAGUGUAUCAAGUCACCCAAAAAUAUUUUUUAUAAAAAUAAAAAUAAAAAUAAAACUCUUUACGACAACUCCAGAUCUUUGAAAAAGAGAGAAAAUGAGAUCAAGAGUCACGGUUAAAGAAAGGGAAGGCAAGGUCUGAUCGGUUCAAACCUAAAGCACCUUUUCAACCUAAUCUAACCUAAUCUAGUUACAAGGUUUAAUCAAAAAAAUUUCUAAUCUAACCCUUAAACUUAUCACAUUUGGAUGUUCUUAUAUGGAUGCAAAACUAAACUUAAAGAAAAUAUCAAGGGGCAAAAUAUCCAUUCAAGAUUUAAUUGGUACUAGCCACAUUAAUUGCGAAACUCAAGAAUAAUUCUUUAAAGGGAUCACAAGUAGGCAACAAUGAAACUCAAGAAAAUAAAAAUGAUAAUGUAUAUAUAUAAGUAUACAUGAUCAAAAAGAGGGGAAUACAACAUAAUAUUAAUGGGUACGAGGAACGAAAAGCCGUGAUACAAUUUUCCUUAUAGAGAGGAUUAAUGGAGUGUUAAACCUAAAGAUUUAUAAUCGCUCAUUUCUCAUAUUUGAAGAGUGACUUUUCUAACAUAAGCAUGCAAAUAACUAACUUAUUUUUCUAAUUUUCUAAAUGAAAUGUGAAUCUAAGUGAUAUGGUUCAUGUAUAUAGGGAUAAAGGGAUAAUAUAAGAAGAAAUAUCAUACAAAUGAGAAAAGUUGCCUAAAAUGAAAAUAAUACAUUAAAAUGCAAUGAAUGACACACAAAAGAUGAAUCUACUGCAUAGAUGACCUAAGGAUCCAGCAUUAGAUUAGUCGAUUUCUAAAAAUUCUCACUAGUAUUGAACUAGUAAGGAAAUAGAAGAAGAAACCACAACUAGUAUUAAAUUAGUGUGGUGAUGUCAUGCAUUCAUCAUUUAAAAUAAAGCAUAUAAAACAUAGAUUAAAGCAAAUCAACAUAGAGGAUCACAUAAAGUACAUAGGCAUGAUAUUUGGAUGUAAAAUCCUAAAAAAAGUAGGUAAAACAUAUAAGCACAUAAGAUGCAUAAGCAUACAAAAACCUAUCUAUUACAAUGAAAGACCUAACUACAAUCGAAGAGAAAAAAUAUGAGAAAAUAAAUCUAUCUAACCUAUUUAUUACACUUAGGGACCUAGCUACAAUUUAAAAUGGAAAAAUAUAAUAAAAUAAAUUUAUCUACGCUAUCUAUUAUAUUUGUCUAUCUAAUUAUAAUUUUUGUAAAAAAGAAAGAAAAAAAUAAAUAAUAUUACCUAUCUAUUACAUCUUGAGGUAUUUAAGUACCUCCAAAUAAUUACAAAACAUAAAUAAGGUAGACAUAGAAAUAAAUGUGAACUCAAAAUGAAUAAAUAAAAGAAAUUUUAUAAAACAUAUAAACACAUUGGAGUACAAAAAAUCACAUGAUCAAAGUUCAAAGGAUAAUAGUGGUAUCUCUCUUUUGAAAUGGUGAUUAAAUGGGGGAAUAUUGUUCUAUUCAUACUAAAAAAAUCAACAAAAAGAGCAAGCCACCAAUUUAAUUGAACACACUUUAAAAGAAAUUAUAAACAUAUACAAAAUUCACUUUAUCAUUCCAAAAAAUGUAAAUAAACUUAAAAUACCUAAAAUUUAUAAAUUAAAUACAUUUAAAUGAAGCAUAAUUAGUAAUUAAAGAAGAGAAAUAAUUGUAAUUAAUAAAUAAAAAAAAACUAAUAGGGACUAAAUUACAAAGAUUAGAAAAUUUUCAAAAAGAUUAGAGGUUAAAGUUAAAUAAAUAUAAAAUUUAGGGGCCAAAAAUUAAGAGUUUGAAUGAAAAUAAUUCAAAAUAUUUGGACUUGAAUAACAUUACUCAAAAGAUUAGGGGUCAAAUCGUAAAAAUCAUUUCUGAUUUGAGAAAAAUAUAAACAAAAUGAUUUGGUCCCUUUGAAAUAACUUGGGCUAAACUACAUUAGUCCAAAGAAAGGUACCGGCUAUUUUCACUAAAACAGAAACAAGCCCAAAUGGAAAUUUAAACAAACCCGGAUAAGAAAAAAUAUCUAAAUUAAAUGUCAAAACUCAAAGUAAAAGAAAGCCCAUAAUCUUUUUCUCUCUCUUUUUUUUUUCCUUUUUUCUUUUCUUUUCGUUCUUCUUCUUCACUAUCUUCUUCUCCUUCUCCGACGAGUUGAAGCUUUUUCUCUGCCGGCAAUCAUGGCUGACUCCAGCAGCACCGCCACCAUAAAAUUUCACCAAAAAAUAUCUCUCCACUAGAUUUUUCACGUAGAAUCCAUUUCCGAACUUAGUUGUUACAAAAAAUAAGUUAAAAAUGCCCAAACGAGCAAUUUACAGUCGGGCCAUUAUUUUUUAAAACUCAAUCAAACCAUCACCAAAAUUCAUGAAAAAUAUAGUAAAAUAAACCUCUCCCAUUCUAUAAUGCCACUGCAAUAUUAGUUUAUUAAAAAAAACAAAUAAAUUAACAUAUUAAAGCCAAAAUAGCCCCACAACUUAAGAAACCCAUUUUAUGGUGUUUGGGCUCCAAAACUUCAAAAUUUUGAAUAAUGAAACAUUUUCAGGCCAUGAACUAGUUAAUACCAUCUGUUUUAGCAAAAAUAUAUACACAAAAUUUACUCUUUUAAUUCGGUUGUUCAUUUUGGCAUUUUUUCAAACAUGUGGUAGACAUGAUUUUGACUCACAUGUUUCAUGACAUUUAGGCAGAUUUGAAUCCCAAAUAUUUUUGCUAACAUUCACUGAUCAUUUUCUAGGUUGAACAAAAUAAAAAUGGACAAAAGAAUUCACAUAGUCAAGAAAAAUACUCAUAAAACAGUCAAGCAUGGAGUUCACUUCCAAAGCUAGAAAAAGCAAAAGAAAAGGAAACUAAGGAAACUCCACCACGUUUUGAUGAAAGGUGAGGAGGACGUCAAUUUCCACAACAACUAUAGCAGCAGCAAUCGCUCUUCCUAUGGUCCUUUGCCAUCUCCUUUUUUUUUUUUUUUUUUACAUGUGACGAAAGCCAAGGGAGAGAAUUUUGUUUGUGUGCAGGUGUGUGUCUAUCUGUUUAUGUUCGAGGGAGGAAAGGAAAGAAAAAUGAAUUGAUGUGUAUGCUUUUUGUUGGUGUGCAAGUGUGUGAUGGUGUGUAUCUGUGUGAAAUUUAGGGGAGGGGGAGAGAAAAGGGAACCGAGAGAGGAAUUGGAGAGUUGGAGUGAUUGUGUGGAGUGGUUGUAGUUUUUUUUGUGAUGAUUUUUUUUUUUU